UUUAUAUUUUAAAAGCUUACAAAACCAUUUUCUUAAGCACAUACCUCCCAAAUUCCUAACCCUCAACUAGGUUUCAGUCCAUAAACUUACAGCAGCCGAACCACCACCAGAUUCGGUGGCCGACAGCGCCGACGACGGCCUGAACCUACCAACAGUGGAGAACUUUUCAGCCUUGAGAUCUCUUUUCAACUUCGAUUUCAACGAAGUGAGAGGAACCUUUGGCAUAUCUGCAAGAUAAGGCUCCCAUCGCUUUUUCUUUAAACAAAAUUGAUUUCUUUAUAUUUGAUUCGCCCUCUCUUUUAUUCGUUUUUCAUGCGAUAGAUCAAUCAAAAAAACAUAAACUAAAUCGGAAGAAAAAAACGAGAAUCACCUUGUGGAGACUUUUUUUUUAGAAAAGCUUUUUUGUAUUGAUUUUCCUUUUGUGUUUGUGUUCGCUCUUUUUUAUUUCCUGUUGUGUAUUCGUGAAAAAAAAUGCUUUCCUCUUCUUCUUCUUUUUUUACAAAGAUUAAAAGCUGGGCUUUUAUAGCCGAAAAAGGGAAUAAACCGAAAAAAUACAAUAUACUUGUUUCCAUUCGCUGCUGUUUUUGUUUCCUUCUUGCAGGUACAGAGUCUGUUGGCAUGUGUACCGGGUGCAGGCGUGGCGUACGAGGGCUGUGGAGGUAUGGGACUGCUAUAGUAGAGGUAUGGGGUUGUUUCUUGGUUGUGGCGCAAAACGAAAAGAGGGGGGACCUAAGGUUUCUAGAGCUGUUAAGGGAAUGGGCCUAUUGGGCUUGUUUCGAUUUGGGCUCAUGAUGGGUAUCGGGCUAGGGUUAAUGUAUUUGGGCUGCUUUGUACCAAAGACCUGAACUGUGGUAUACAUAUUUUUUUUGUAACACCCCUUACUCGUAUUCCGGCUCGGAACAGAGUAUGAGGUAUUACUAAGUUUUUUUAAAAAAAUUUCGACAGCAUUUCUGCUUAAUUUUGCUUAAACCUCCUGCAAAUUUAAAUCACAAUCCAAUAUAUAUAUAUCAACCAAACUCAUUUAUAAUAAUACUCACAAUUUAACUAUUAAUGAACACCACAUUUUAAAUCAAACCAUAACAUAUAUUUACAUGAUGAUUCCAUAUUUCAUAGGUCGUCUAUACAUGCCAUAAUUUCCGGAACGAUAGUAGCAAAAUACCCCAAGUGUGAAGGAUAGUGUGGAUGAUUGUCUGACUUCGUUCCAAAUUUUCGAGUUGUCGGAAGUCACUAUAAUCAAGGGAAAAAUAAAAUCGAGUAAGCAUAUAUCUUAGUAAGUAAACACAUGAUAAAUAAGUAAUUACUCACAUAACUACACCAAAAUAUAAACUUAUUCAUGAAUAACUUCAUUGUUUAGGCAAUUUCCAGCAAACUGUUUUUCUGCGUCAUAGUCGCUAAUUUAUUUUUAUCCGGAGCUACAGGGCUCCAAAUUGAGUUUCGUAAAUUUUCCCUGAAACUAGACUCAUAUACCAUUUCACCAUAAAAAUUUCAGAAUUUUUUACCCAGCCAAUUAGUACAGUUUAUUCAUUAAAACUUCCCCUGUUUCACUGCCCAACGGUUCUGACCCUUCCUCAAAAAAAUUCACUUAACUCUCUGUAAAAAAUUUUAAAAAUGGUUUCGCUUGUUUCUAUUAAAAAUAGAGUCAAUAAGGAAUCCAGGAAUAUAAAUUUCACACCAUAAUUAUUUUUGUACAAUUUUUGGUGAUUUUCCAAAGUUAGAACAAGGGAUCCCGAAAUCAAUCCAGCCCUGUUUCAGUAAAAUUCAGAUAUCUCCAAAAAUACAACUCUUUUGCUUAUUCUAUUUAUUUCAUAUGAAAAUAGACACAUUCAGCUUCAAUUUCAUAUAUUAUUCAGCUUCCCAUUCAUUUUCCACCAUUUAUGGUGAUUUUUCAAAGUUACCCAUCUGCUGUUGUUCAACACAGUUUAUAACUAAAUCGUUCCUUUUUUCGUUUUUGAUAUUUUCUCCCAUCUCAUACAUGGAUCGAUUUAGUAUCCAACUCAAUAUUUGCCCCAUAAAAAUUUCCACCAUAUGGAAAUAUUCACCUUCCACACUUUUUCAUUGAGCACUCGGAAUGUUAACCGUUAUUGGUGGAUCUCGCACUUAGCACCACCACUUAAUCGGGGAAUCAGCACUUAGCAACCCCUUGGGGGAAUCAGCACAUAGCAACCCCCUUUUUAUUUCAGAGAUACGGUGGAUAUCGCACUUAGCACCACCAAUGAACUGGGGAAUCAGCACUUAGCAACCCCUCGGGGGAAUCAGCACAUAGCAACCCCCUUUCACAUUUCAAAGAUACGGUGGAUAUCGCACAUAGCACCACCAAUGAAUCGGGGAACCAGCACACAGCAACCCCUUUAUGUACAACAUACUUCGGCUUAUUCCGAGUGUUCAACCCAUAAAUCAUAUAUUGCAACCCUUUACCACCUUUCCCGAUUUAACAACAUUUUUAGGAUAUGGCCAAACAUUUAUUUUAAUUCCAAAUAAAUCUCAACAUAUAUCAAUUAAUGUCAAAAUAAUACAUCAAGUCACGUGUUUACUUACCUCGGUGCAAAAUAUCGUAAUAUUGCACUUCACUCCACUAUCUUUUCUUUUCCUUGUUUGAGAUAAUCUUCACGUCUUUCUUGAUCUAUAAUAGCAAAUUUAACUCAUUUAAUGUUCACAUUCAUUAAAAUAGUCCACCACCCAACUUUUUGAAAAAUUACAAUUUUGCCUCCAAACUUUUGCAUAAUUACACUUUUGUCCCCAAGCUCGGAAAUUAAACUUCAUCACUUAUUCUUAGGUUUUAUGACAUGCUGAACAUUUUUCCCUUCUAUGGCAACAUCAAAUUCUCACUCUAACAUACACUUAUGAACAAUAAUUAUUUUUACCGAUUAUGCCUAUUUACCCGUUUUCGCUUGAAAUCGCUUAGCAAAAGUUGUUUAACAUAAUUUAUAGCUUCAUAUUCCACCAUAAAACAGCAAAAUAAACACAUUUCACCUAUGGGUAUUUUUCCAAAUAUGAGCCCUAACACGAAUUAUUGCUAGAAUAAGCUAAACCGAGUUACGAGGAUUCCAAAAAUGCGAAGAACAUUAAAAACGGGGCUAGGAUGCACUUACUAUGAGCUUGAGAAAGCAAAGAAACCUUAGCUAUGGCUUCCUUCAAAUUUCGGCAGCAACUAAUGAGGAAGAUGAUGAUUUUUGUCAUCUUUUUCCCAUUUUAUUUUAUUUUAUUACCAAAUGACUAAUAUGCCCCCACUUAAAAAAAAUCUAUUUCUCUCAUUUCUUAUGUCUAUUUUUGUCCAUCAACUAACUAAUGGUCUAAUUACCACAUAAAGACCUCCAAUUUAAAAUUUCAUAUCAAUUAGAUACUUCUACAUAUAGAACUCAACUUUUGCACUAUUUACAAUUUAGUCCUUUUGACUAAAUUGAGUGCCCAAACGUCGAAAUUUUCGAACGAAAUUUUUACGAAAAUUUUCCGUGAAAUUGUAGACCAUAAAAAUAUAAUAAUAACCAUAUUUUCCCUCGUCGAAUUUGUGGUCCCGAAACUACUAUUCCGACUAGGCCCAAAAUCGGGCUGUUACAACUCUCCCCCCUUAAGGAUUUUCGUCCCCGAAAAUCUUACCGGAAAAGAGAUUUGGGUACUGUUUCCUCAUAAUUUCCUCCGGUUCCCACGUAGCUUCCUCCAUCCCAUGUUUUUGCCACAGUACUUUUACUAAGGAUACACUUUUAUUCCUUAACUGCUUGACUUCCCGAGCCAAAAUCUUUAUUGGUUCUUCCUCAUAAGUCAUAUCUGGUCUGACCUCAAUCUCUGUAGGGGAAACUAUAUGUGAAGGAUCCGAACGGUAACGUCGCAACAUCGACACAUGAAACACAUUAUGUAUCUUUUCCAACUCCGGUGGUAAAGCUAACCGAUAUGCUACAGGGCCAACUCUCUCGGUAACUUCAUAUGGUCCAAUAAAUCGUGGACUUAGUUUGCCUUUACGACCAAAUCUCAGAAUCUUCUUCCAUGGAGACACCUUCAAGAACACCUUAUCACCUACUUGAAACUCAAUUUUUUUUCUCUUUAAAUCCGCAUACGACUUUUGCCGAUCUGAGGCAGCCUUUAAACAGUCACGAAUUAUUUUCACCUUUUCUUCAGUUUCUUUCACCAAGUCGACUCCAUGAAUCCGGUUCUCACCGAGCUCAGUCCAAUAUAAAGGAGUUCUACACUUACGCCCAUAUAAUGCUUCAUACGGUGCCAUUCGUAUACUUGACUGAUAGCUAUUGUUAUAAGCAAAUUCAACCAAUGGUAGAUAUUUCUCCCAACUGCCUUUCAAUUCUAAAAUACAACACCGGAGCAUAUCUUCAAGAAUUUGAAUCACUCUUUCCGAUUGCCCGUCAGUUUGCGGAUGAAACUCAGUACUGAAAUUCAAUUUUGUACCCAAGGCUUCCUGCAACUUUAUCCAAAACCUCGAAGUAAAUCUCGGAUCUCUAUCCGAUAUAAUAGAUUUAGGCACCCCAUGUAAUCUCACUAUUUCAGCAACAUAUAAUUCUGCCAACCUGUCAAGUGAGUAAUCAAUGCGUAUCGGAAUAAAAUGAGCCGACUUUGUCAAUCUAUCAACAAUUACCUAAAUAGCAUCUUUCUUCUUUGGAGUUAAAGGCAAUCCUGUCACAAAAUCCAUCGUAAUACUAUCCCACUUCCACUCUGGAAUCGUUAUCGGUUGAAGUAAACCCGAUGGUACUUGAUGCUCAGCCUUCACUUGUUGACAGAUUAAACACUUUGAUACAAAUUCCGAGAUAUCCUUUUUCAUGCCUGGCCACCAAUACAACUUCUUCAAAUCAUUAUACAUUUUCACACUACCCGGAUGAACUGACAAGUCACCACUAUGUGCCUCACAUAAAAUGGUCUGAAUUAACUCAUCAUUUCUUGGUACACAUACUCUAUCCCGGAACAUCAAGCAAUCAUCUGAACCAAUUUGAAAAUCUGAGUCAACACCUGCUUCACACUGAGCUCUCUUGGCUUGCAAUUUACUGUCAUUCUUUUGAGAUUCCCGAAUUUGCUGAAGAAAUAAUGGUCUAGCUCUCAAUUCAACCAACAUUGAGCCAUCAUCAGAUAAAGUUAACAUCGUACCCAUAGCUCUCAAAGCAAAUAAAGAUUUUCUGCUCAAGGCAUCAGCAACCACAUUAGCUUUCCCGGGGUGAUAAUCAAUCACUAGCUCAUAAUCUUUGAUUAGCUCGAGCCAUCUUCGUUGCCGCAAAUUCAAAUCUUUUUGGCUCAUCAAAUACUUCAAACUCUUAUGAUCAGUGAAGAUUCGGCACUUUUCACCAUACAAAUAAUGACGCCAAAUUUUUAAAGCAAAAACAAUGGCAGCCAAUUCUAAAUCAUGCGUCGGAUAAUUCUUCUCAUGCGAUUUCAAUUGUCUCGAAGCAUAAGCUAUUACUUUGCCCUCUUGCAUUAACACACACCCAAGACCAUUCAACGAUGCAUCACUGUAAAUUACAAACUCCUUCCCGGACUCAGGUUGCACCAACACUGGCGCCUCAGUCAAUAAUGCCUUCAACUUUUCAAAACUCUGUUGACAUUUAUUGGUCCAUUCAAACUUGACAUUCUUCUGCAGUAACUUAGUCAUAGGAGAAGCAAUCAUCGAAAAUCCCUUGACAAAGCGUCUGUAAUACCCAGCUAAGCCCAGAAAGCUUCUAACUUGUGUCACAUUCUUUGGUGGCUCCCAAUCAACAAUUGCUGAAAUUUUGCUUGGAUCAACCCGAAUACCUUCACUUGAAACUAUAUGUCCCAAGAAUCCAACCUCACGAAGCCAAAACUCACUUUUGCUGAAUUUAGCAUACAAUUUCUUUUCUCUCAGAAUCUGCAACACAGUUCUUAAAUGUUCUGCAUGCUCAGAUUCAUCCCGAGAAUAGAUUAAAAUAUCAUCUAUGAACACCACCACGAACUUAUCCAAGUACGGCCGAAAAAUUCGGUUCAUCAAGUCCAUAAAAAUAGCUGGAGCAUUUGUUAACCCAAAAGGCAUUACCAGAAAUUCAUAGUGUCCAUACCUUGUUCUAAAGGCGGUUUUCGGCACAUCAGACUCUUUAACUCUUAACUGAUAGUAACCAGACCUCAAAUCAAUCUUAGAAAACACUGUUGCCCCUUUUAAUUGAUCAAAUAAAUCAUCAAUUCUCGGCAAAGGAUACUUGUUCUUUAUAGUCACCUUGUUGAGCUGACGAUAGUCAAUACAAAGUCUCAUAGAGCCGUCCUUUUUUUUUCACAAAUAACACAGGAGCACCCCAAGGAGAAAAACUCGGUCUCACAAAUCCUUUAUCUGUCAACUCUUGUAACUGAGCUUUUAAUUCCUUCAACUCAGUCGGAGCCAUUCGAUACGGUGCAAUAGAAAUCGGUGCAGUACCAGGUAACAGAUCAAUAGAAAACUCAACUUCUCUAAUCGGAGGUAACCCAGGCAAUUCCUCUGGAAAUACAUCUGGAAAUUCACAAACUACCGGCACUGAUUCAAGCUUUGACCCAGUAAUAUCCGUGUUCAGCACAUAAGCAAGAUAAACUUCACAUCCCUUUCUCAAGUAUUUCUGAGCAGACAUGUGCGAAAUCACCAUAGGCAACUUAUUCGGCUCCUUUGUUUCAACCCGGAGAAUUUCACCGUUUUCACAAUUUAAUUCAAGAAUUUUCUGUCUACAAUUUACCUUGGCAUCAUGCAAUAUCAACCAAUCCAUCCCCAAAAUAACAUCAAACUCAUCAAAUGGUAACAACAUCAAAUUAGCCGGGAAACAGUGACCUUGAAUCAUCAGGGGACAAUUCUUGCAAACCUUAUCGACUAAGACAUAUUUGCCUAAAGGAUUUGAUACUUUAACUACAAAUUCAGUGUUUUCAACAGGCAAUUUCUUACUAGACACCAAAUUCAUGCAUAUAUAUGAAUGAGUAGAGCCGGGAUCAAUCAAAGUAAUAACAUCAAUAUCAUGAAGAGAAAAUGUACCAGUAAUCACAUCGGGAGAUGAGGCAUCCUCUCGAGCGCGUAUAGCAUAAGUCCUGGCAGGCGCUCUAGUUUUUGAUCCUCCAGCUGCAUAUUUUAUCACACUCUUACCACUGGCUUUGCUUCCCACAUUUCUCGGUGGUCUGCCUCUACUGACAACAUCACCCGAUCCAGCUCUUUGUAAUCUUUCUUCUUCUAUUCUCUCAGGGCAGUCUUUUACAUAAUGCUCUUGGGAACCACAUCUGAAACAAGCUCGUUUAAAUCCCCAACACUCACCAGUAUGUCGCCUGCCACACUGUUGACAUUCAGGUCUGGUGUUUCCUACAUUACCCACACUUGCCACUGAGGUAGCUCGAGUUGUAGUUCCGGAAUAUGACCUCCCUCGGUCUCUGCGUGAAUACCCAACUGAACCGGUUGGUCGUGGAUCCAUCCCUUUAAACUUCUUCGGGUGAGAUUGAAAUGUUCUGCCCAUUGACCUCUUCCUUACAUCUCGAGCUUCCAUCUCUGCCCUUCUCUUUUCUCUACUCAGCUCUUCAGCUUUGCAAGCACGAUCAACUAAUACCAGAAAUUCUUUUAACUCUAAAAUUCCAACAUGUAAUCUGAUGUCUUCAUUUAGCCCCUCUUCAAAUCUUUUACACAUAAUAGCCUCCGUAGGAACACAUUCCUGGGCAUAUUUACUAAGCCGGACAAACUCCCGUUCAUAUUCUGCUACUGACAUUCGGCCCUGUUUCAAUCCGAGAAACUCUUUGCGCUUCUGAUCAAUAAACCGUUGGCUUACAUAUUUCUUUCUGAAUUCUUCCUGAAAGAAGUCCCAAGUAACUCUUUCUUUUGGAACCACCGUUAUUAAUGUUUUCCACCAACGGUAUGCCGAAUCCUUCAAUAAAGACACAGCACAUUUCAAACAUUCCUCAGGAGUACAAGAUAAUUCAUCAAAUACCUGGAUAGUAUUUUCAAGCCAAAACUCGGCUUUUUCCGGAUCAUCAUCAACAUUGGCCCUGAAAUCUUCAGCCCCAUGCUUUCGAAUUCUAUCAACGGGUGGUUUACUUGAUCUCACCAAUUCAGCACUUCGUGGAGCUACGGGGACCGGCGGAGGAAUAGGAGGGGGUGGAGGAGGUGGAACAUUCGGAUUUACACGGACAUAUUCUGUAUACCAAUCACUCAUCAUUCGGAGGAAGGCUUCUCGAGCCUCAUCCUGUCCAUGUGUCUCAUGUCUACUCUCUUCAUGCGCGGUUCCUUGUGCGGGAACCGGCGUGUUACUUUCAACAUCAUCUGCCAUACUUCGAUUAGGAUCCAUUUACUAUAUAAAACAAAAUUUUAAAUUGUCAGAAAUCAUCACACUAUCACAAUAUAUUGAUGGCAUGUAUAGACUGACUUUCACACAUAUUUUAUUGGUCCGAGAACCGAAUAAACCGUAGCUCUGAUACCACUAAAAUGUAACACCCCUUACUCGUAUUCCGGCUCGGAACAGAGUAUGAGGUAUUACUAAGUUUUUUUAAAAAAAUUUCGACAGCAUUUCUGCUUAAUUUUGCUUAAACCUCCUGCAAAUUUAAAUCACAAUCCAAUAUAUAUAUAUCAACCAAACUCAUUUAUAAUAAUACUCACAAUUUAACUAUUAAUGAACACCACAUUUUAAAUCAAACCAUAACAUAUAUUUACAUGAUGAUUCCAUAUUUCAUAGGUCGUCUAUACAUGCCAUAAUUUUUCGGAACGAUAGUAGCAAAAUACCCCAAGUGUGAAGGAUAGUGUGGAUGAUUGUCUGACUUCGUUCCAAAUUUCCGAGUUGUCGGAAGUUACUAUAAUCAAGGGAAAAAUAAAAUCGAGUAAGCAUAUAUCUUAGUAAGUAAACACAUGAUAAAUAAGUAAUUACUCACAUAACUACACCAAAAUAUAAACUUAUUCAUGAAUAACUUCAUUGUUUAGGCAAUUUCCAGCAAACUGUUUUUCUGCGUCAUAGUCGCUAAUUUAUUUUUAUCCGGAGCUACAGGGCUCCAAAUUGAGUUUCGUAAAUUUUCCCUGAAACUAGACUCAUAUACCAUUUCACCAUAAAAAUUUCAGAAUUUUUUACCCAGCCAAUUAGUACAGUUUAUUCAUUAAAACUUCCCCUGUUUCACUGCCCAACGGUUCUGAACCUUCCUCAAAAAAAUUCACUUAACUCUCUGUAAAAAAUUUUAAAAAUGGUUUCGCUUGUUUCUAUUAAAAAUAGAGUCAAUAAGGAAUCCAGGAAUAUAAAUUUCACACCAUAAUUAUUUUUGUACAAUUUUUGGUGAUUUUCCAAAGUUAGAACAGGGGAUCCCGAAAUCAAUCCAGCCCUGUUUCAGUAAAAUUCAGAUAUCUCCAAAAAUACAACUCUUUUGCUUAUUCUAUUUAUUUCAUAUGAAAAUAGACACAUUCAGCUUCAAUUUCAUAUAUUAUUUAGCUUCCCAUUCAUUUUCCACCAUUUAUGGUGAUUUUUCAAAGUUACCCAUCUGCUGUUGUUCAACACAGUUUAUAACUAAAUCGUUCCUUUUUUCGUUUUUGAUAUUUUCUCCCAUCUCAUACAUGGAUCGAUUUAGUAUCCAACUCAAUAUUUGCCCCAUAAAAAUUUCCACCAUAUGGAAAUAUUCACCUUCCACACUUUUUCAUUGAGCACUCGGAAUGUUAACCGUUAUUGGUGGAUCUCGCACUUAGCACCACCACUUAAUCGGGGAAUCAGCACUUAGCAACCCCUUGGGGGAAUCAGCACAUAGCAACCCCCUUUUUAUUUCAGAGAUACGGUGGAUAUCGCACUUAGCACCACCAAUGAACUGGGGAAUCAGCACUUAGCAACCCCUCGGGGGAAUCAGCACAUAGCAACCCCCUUUCACAUUUCAAAGAUACGGUGGAUAUCGCACAUAGCACCACCAAUGAAUCGGGGAACCAGCACACAGCAACCCCUUUAUGUACAACAUACUUCGGCUUAUUCCGAGUGUUCAACCCAUAAAUCAUAUAUUGCAACCCUUUACCACCUUUCCCGAUUUAACAACAUUUUUAGGAUAUGGCCAAACAUUUAUUUUAAUUCCAAAUAAAUCUCAACAUAUAUCAAUUAAUGUCAAAAUAAUACAUCAAGUCACGUGUUUACUUACCUCGGUGCAAAAUAUCGUAAUAUUGCACUUCACUCCACUAUCUUUUCUUUUCCUUGUUUGAGAUAAUCUUCACGUCUUUCUUGAUCUAUAAUAGCAAAUUUAACUCAUUUAAUGUUCACAUUCAUUAAAAUAGUCCACCACCCAACUUUUUGAAAAAUUACAAUUUUGCCCCCAAACUUUUGCAUAAUUACACUUUUGUCCCCAAGCUCGGAAAUUAAACUUCAUCACUUAUUCUUAGGUUUUAUGACAUGCUGAACAUUUUUCCCUUCUAUGGCAACAUCAAAUUCUCACUCUAACAUACACUUAUGAACAAUAAUUAUUUUUACCGAUUAUGCCUAUUUACCCGUUUUCGCUUGAAAUCGCUUAGCAAAAGUUAUUUAACAUAAUUUAUAGCUUCAUAUUCCACCAUAAAACAGCAAAAUAAACACAUUUCACCUAUGGGUAUUUUUCCAAAUAUGAGCCCUAACACGAAUUAUUGCUAGAAUAAGCUAAACCGAGUUACGAGGAUUCCAAAAAUGCGAAGAACAUUAAAAACGGGGCUAGGAUGCACUUACUAUGAGCUUGAGAAAGCAAAGAAACCUUAGCUAUGGCUUCCUUCAAAUUUCGGCAGCAACUAAUGAGGAAGAUGAUGAUUUUUGUCAUCUUUUUCCCAUUUUAUUUUAUUUUAUUACCAAAUGACUAAUAUGCCCCCACUUAAAAAAAAUCUAUUUCUCUCAUUUCUUAUGUCUAUUUUUGUCCAUCAACUAACUAAUGGUCUAAUUACCACAUAAAGACCUCCAAUUUAAAAUUUCAUAUCAAUUAGAUACUUCUACAUAUAGAACUCAACUUUUGCACUAUUUACAAUUUAGUCCUUUUGACUAAAUUGAGUGCCCAAACGUCGAAAUUUUCGAACGAAAUUUUUACGAAAAUUUUCCGUGAAAUUGUAGACCAUAAAAAUAUAAUAAUAACCAUAUUUUCCCUCGUCGGAUUUGUGGUCCCGAAACUACUAUUUCGACUAGGCCCAAAAUCGGGCUGUUACAUUUUUAUGAUUUUUUUUUUUGUAUUUUCGUUUUGUUUCUUGUCUUUAUACGGGCCGGGCAAAUUUGGCCCAUUACAGCUGCCCCUCUUUGCUCAUUUUCGUGUAACGAAAAUAGAGUAAAGACUAUAAAUGGGCCAAUUUUGCCGGGAUCUAUUGAGUCUCGACUUCUUGGUACUUCUUUUUUCAAGAAGCUUAAAUAUGCUCCACUGCAACUUCAGGGAGACAUGGUUCACGUGUUUUUUAUCCUGCUCUAUUGCAACUUCAAAGAGACAAGGAUCGUGAUUUUAAUAUUGCUCCAUUGCAACUUCAGGGAGACGAGAUCCUGUAAUCUUCGGCCUGUUGCCCUACUACUUAGGGUGUUAAGGCUUGUUUUCUUUGAUCUGCUCCACUGGAGACGAGGUCUGCAAUCUUGGGUCUACUCCACUACAACUUUAGGGAGCUAGGGUGGUGACUUAAAUCUGUUUCGCUGCAACAUCAGGAAACCUAGAUCCGCCGUCUUCGAUCUGCUCCACUUUAAUUUCAGAUCUACAAUCUUCAACCUACUCCAUUACAACUUUAGGGAGCUAGGAUGGUGGCUUAAAUCUGCUUCACUGCAAUAUCAGGAAGCCUAGAUCCACUGUCUUCGAUCUGCUCCACUACAAUCUCAGGGAAACAAGAUCUACAAUCUUCAACCUACUCCACUACAACUUUAGGGAGCUAGGAUGGUGGCUUAAAUCUGCUUCGUUGCAACAUCAGGAAACCUAGAUUCGCCGUCUUCGAUCUGCUCCACUGCAAUCUCAGAGAAACAAGAUCUACAAUCUUCAGCCUACUCCACUACAACUUUAGGGAGCUAGGAUAGUGGCUUAAAUCUGCUUCGCUGCAACAUCAGGAAACCUAGAUUCGUCGUCUUCGAUCUGAUCCACUACAACCUCAGGGAAACAAGAUCUACAAACUUCAGCCUACUCCACGACAACUUUAGGGAGCUAGGAUGGUGUCUUAAAUCUGCUUCGCUACAACAUCAAGAAACCUAGAUUCUUCGUUUCGGUCUGCUCCACUGCAAUCUUAGGGAAACAAGAUCUACAAUUUUUAGCUUGUUGCCCCACUUCUUAGGGGGUUAAGACUUGUGAAUUCACCGAUUCCACUGCACUGUCCUUUGAGGAACAUGAUCUAUAAAAUUAAUUUCAUGUAUCUAUGCUUAUGCCAAAUAAUUAAGAUGCUAUGAUUGAAAUAAAUCAAAUGCUCCUAACUAAAUGUGAUGAUUUAUGUCAAUUAAUUAGGAUGUUAUGAUUGAAAUGAAUCAAAUGCUCCUAACUAGAUGUGUCAUUAUAUGAAUGCAGAAAUGUCAUGAGAAUGAUUUCUUUUUAAAUGUUUAAGGUAUCGUUGCUCAUAGUUUACCCGAGUUCUAUCAUUGAUGCACUAUCGCCUCUUGCUGUUUUGUCGUUAUCUUUGAUAGAAGAUUCAAAGAAAUAGUCACAACUUGGACUAUUCUUUUUCCAAUGUUUCCCACUUUUGAGUCUGGUUAAUUCUGCCUAGUGGCCCUAUUUCAGGUCCUUGUACUAUUUAGAAACUUUCUAGAGUAAUAUGCGUAACCUUUUUUUUAUGUGAAUGUUAUAAGUCCAAAAAUUGUGAUUUCAAAAAAAUGCUCAAAAGAGAUUAUCAUAAUGGACAAGAUGGAAUUUUAUUGAGCAAAACUUGAAGUGAAUACAUUAAACAGGAUAGCAAAUCUGGUAAGGCUCAAAAUAAAAUGAGGAAAAAGGUGCCUCAGAUAUCGCAGCACGAGCUUCACUAUUUAAUUUCUCAAAGACUCAUUCGAGCUAAAUGUGUGCUUCAGAGAUCAAACGCAUUUUGUUGAUACCCCAAGGUAUACUGUUCUCCCCUCUUAUUGAUUUUGGGAGGGCAAGACUACCAUAUAUCCCACAUUCAAAAUUUGAGCUACCCGUUUACGGGUUUUCAACUCAAAAACCUUUUAGUCUCAAAGUGCCCUUUGCGGGUUUUUACCUUGGCCUCUCCAAAAUUUUUUUGUUUUUUUUUUAAAAGCGCCCUUUGCGGGUUUUCACCUUAGCCUCUUCUUCUUUAAGUGAAAUACUUCUUGACAAAAUCCGAAUUUACAGGAUUGGGCAAGUUUCUACCAUCCAUCUCGGCUAGAAUCAAUGCUCCUCCGGAGAAAGCUUUCUUCACCACGUAAGGCCCCUCCCAAUUAGGCAUCCAUUUUCCUCAAAAAUCUUUCUGUAUGGGAAUGAUCUUUUUCAAAACUAGGUCUCCCUUGUGGAAUUUUCUAGGGUGAACAUUUUUGUCAUAAGCCCGCACCAUUCGUUUUUGGUACAUCUGACCAUGACGGAUAGCUCUUAGCCUCUUUUCCUUAAUCAAGUUCAAUUGAUCGUAUCGAGACUGGAUCCAUUCUACUUCGUCUAACUUUAACUCUGAAAACACUCAAAGAGACGGGAUCUCAACUUCGAUUGGCAACACCACUUCCAUUCCGUAGACCAAGGAGAAAGGGGUUGCCCAGUUGAGGUUCUGACUGACGUUCGAUAAGCAAAGAGGGCAAAUGGUAACUUCUCAUGCCAGUCUCUGUAGGUUUCGGUCAUUUUCCCCACAAUUUUCUUAAUGUUUUUAUUGGCCGCUUCCACUGCCCCAUUCAUCUUUGGGCGAUAUGGUGACGAGUUGUGAUGUCUGAUCUUGAAUUGACUGCAAACUUCCGCUAUCGUACUAUUGUUCAAGUUUAAUGCAUUUUCAGAUAUAAUCCUCUCCGACUUUCCAUAUCGACAUAUGAUCUCCUUUUUCAGAAACUUGCUCACUGCCGACUUUGUCACACUAGCAUACGAAGCGGCUUCUACCCAUUUGGUGAAGUAGUCAAUAACCACAAAGAUGAACCGAUGCCCAUUGGAAGCUUUCGGCGAUAUUGGUCCAAUCACAUCUAUGCCCCACAUCGAGAAUGGCCAUGGAGUAACCAUGACAUGCAGCGGUGAAGUAGGCACAUGAAUUUUGUCCCCGUAGAUUUGGCAUUUAUGACAUCUCUUGGCGUAAUUGACACAGUCUCCUUCCAUGGUGGACCAAUAGUACCCGAAUCUCAUAAUUUGCCUGGAAAUUGUAAAGCCAUUAGCAUGCGUCCCACAGACGCCUUCAUGGACUUCUUCCAAGAUUUUCUGAGCUUCUACGGUGUAUACACAUCUUAGUAGCACUUGAUCUUUUCUUCUUUUGUAUAAUAUAUCCCCAUCUAAGACAUAGUCGAUGGCCAGUCUUCUUAGAGUUCUUUUGUCAUUCUCACAUGCCUGGUCCAGGUAUUCACGAUUCUUCACGUAUUGCAAUAUAUCGUGAUACCAAGGGUGAUCAUCUCUCUCUUUAUUUUCUUCAAUAUUGUAACAGUGGGCUGGAAUUUUAUAAAUACUCAUCCGGAUGGGUUUGACAUCUUCUUGUUUGUUCACCUUGAUUAUGGAAGCUAAGGUAACCAAAGCAUCAGCCAUCUGAUUUUCAUCUCGUGGAAGGUAGUGGAAGGUAAUGUCAUCAAACUCUUUAACCAAUUCAAGGACCAGUUUUCGAUAGUCGAUCAACUUGGGGUCUCUAGUCACCCAUUCUCCAUUGAGUUGAUAAAUCACUAGCGCGGAAUCCUCAUACACCUCUAGCACCUUAAUCUUGCGUUCUAUGGCUGCAUGGACUCUUAUGAUGCAUGCCUCGUAUUCUACCAUGUUAUUCGUACAAUCAAAAUCCAAUUUACUAGUGAAUGGAUAAUGAUCUCCAUUUGGGGACACUAAGACGGCCCCGAUUCCAUUACCCACAGUGUUUGACGCCACAUCGAAAUUCAAUUUCCAAGGAAGUUCUUCGAGAGCACAUUUUUCAGUGGUAGCAACACACAUUAGGUCUUCAUUCGGGAAGUCGAAGUUCAAAGGCUCGUAGUCUUCCAAAGCUCUACUGGCUAGAAAAUCUGCUAUUACACUUCCUUUUACUGCUUUCUAGUUCAUAUAGACUAUGUCGAAUUCAGAAAGCAGAAUCUGCCAUUGAGCCAUCCUUCCAUUCAAAGCUGUUGACUCCAUCAUGUACUUUAAAGGAUCCAAUUUUGAGAUGAGCCAAGUGGUGUGAUACAACAUAUACUGCCUCAGCCUUCGGGUUGUCCAAAUUAGGGCAUAACACAGUUUCUCUAUCGGCGGAUACCUUACCUCACAUUCCGUGAACUUUUUACUAAGGUAGUAAAUAGCAUUUUCUUUCCUUCCUGACUCAUCAUGCUGACCCAAUACGCAUCCCAUGGAAUUCUCAAGUACUGUCAAAUACAGUAUCAAUGGCUUAUCGGGGUUAGGUGGCAUUAGCACCGGAGCGUUGGAUAAGUACUGUUUAACCUUGUCAAAAGCCCUUUGGCAUUCUUCAUCCCAUUGACCCGGGUUGUGUUUCUUGAGGAGGCGAAAGACCGGGUCACAUUUCUUAGUUAAUUGUGAAAUGAACUGAGCAAUGUAAUUUAAUCUUCCUAGAAAGCCUCGAACCUCUUUUGAGUACACGAAAGAGAUAGCUCUUGUAUGGCUUUAACUUUGUCUGGAUCGAUCUCGAUCCCUUUCUCACUGACCACGAAUCUGAGCAACUUUCCAGACUUGGCUCCAAAGGUACAUUUGGCAAGGUUGAGUUUUAGCUGAAACUUUCUCAACCUCAAGAACAAUUUCCUCAAGGCUUGUAUGUGAUCAUUCUCUGUUCGAGACUUUGCGAGCAUAUCAUCGACAUAAACCUCAAUCUCUUUAUGCAUCAUGUCAUAAAAAAAGGUUACCAUGGCUCUUUGAUAGGUAGCCCCCGCAUUUUUUAGUCCAAAUGGCAUUACUUUGUAGCAGAACGUCCCCCACAUGGUCACAAAUGUGGUCUUCUCCAUAUUUUUAGGAUGCAUCUUAAUCUGGUUAUAUCCAGAGAAACCGUCCAUGAACGAAAACAGUGGGUGUCUCGCCGUGUUAUCCACCAGGGUGUCAAUGUGAGGCAGUGGGAAAUUGUCCUUCGGGUUGGCUUUGUUCAAAUCCCUGUAAUCCACACACAUUCGCACUUUUCCAUCCUUCUUAGGGACUGGAACGAUGUUGGGUACCCAAUCUGAGUAUUUUACCACCUUCAGGAAUCCAGCGUCGAACUGUUUCUGAACCUCCUCUUUUAUUUUUAGCAAGAUGUCAGGCCUCAUUCUUCGGAGUUUUUGCUGAACUGGCUUACAUUCCUUCUUUAUGGGGAUUCGGUGCACCACGAUAUUAGUGUCCAACCCAGGCAUAUCUUGGUAUGACCAUGCGAAGACAUCUUUGAAUUCCUGAAGUAAUUCAAUGAGGUCUCGCUUCAUUUCUAUGGUGGUACAUGUUCCGAUCUUCACCCCUUGCCCCUCUCCUAAGCUCACAAUUUCAACUGAUUCUUUGUAAGGUAGGAUUUGUUUCUCGUCUUGUUCUAUCAUUCUCAACAAAUCGGGAGAUAGGUUGCAACCUUGGUCAUCUUCAAAAUCUUGAGAAUCCUCCAUACACACAUUUCACUCAAAAGGAAACUCUGAGUUGCUAGUAGUGUCACUCAUAUCAUUGAUAUCUGGGGACCUGUUACGAGGAUGAAGGCAGAUACAAUGAAUCAAAAGAAUUCGAAACAUUUAUUUGUAUGGUAUGAUUAUGAAUGAUGAAUGAAAGAAUAUUUAGAAAAAAUGUUUCGAGAAUAAAAUAAUCUGAAAGUAAUCAUUUGUAUGAUUAUGAAUGAAAUUGAAAGGAUGAUAAUAACCGUGUAUUUUAUUGAAAUAACGUUUUUUAAACAUCAGCCUCUUUCACAAAAGAUUCUUAUUACUCCUAGGCCUAGAGCAAUAAGUAUGUUUUGGACAUUACUUUGAAUCAGUUCUAAAAACUACAGGAAUCUUUUCCGCAGUCCAGUUGUCCAGAACACUUCAAAAUGUGUAAGGGCAAAUGCCCAACAAAUUUUCUCUCCCAGUCUCUUCUUCGUAUGUGGCGUUGAUGUCCAAGCUUUCCAGCCUUUCUUCUAUGGUUUCCUUUCUGGGCGUACCCCGCUCGGGAUGAAUGAUUCCUCUGGACACAAAGGUUUUCGAUAUGUGGGGGAAUAUUAUUGGUUCCCAUUUGAUUUCUCCACCGGUCAACCGUGCUCUCCUUUUUUCUUACUUCUUUUCUAGCUCUCUUCUCCUUUGUUUCGCAUCUGGCUUGAAUCCUAAGCCGAAGCGGUCUCUCUUGUCCUUCAGCAUUAGCGUUUCAACCUUUCCUUGUAGAUAUCUCCCAAGUCCUCUUCCGGGUAGGGCUCCUUUUCCAAUCGUCAACUGGAGGCUCAUCCUCGUGGUUUUAAACAAUUUUGGCACCAGAAUCUUGCUUCCCUCGGCGAUGAAGGUUGCAUUAACAAAUUCUAAAGAUCGAAAUGAACAUUCGAUUGCUUCAUCAUCUGUCUCCAAAUAGGGCGCAUUAUUGCUCACAGUUGCAAUGAUAUCCUCUUCAGCAUUGAUCGUUAUCAACCUCCCAUCUAAUACCAGCUUCAACUUUUGAUGCAACGAGGAAGGCACUGCCCCAGCUGAAUGUAUCCAGGGCCUCCCCAAUAAGCAAUUAUAUGAGGGCUUGAUAUCCAUUACUAGGAAAUCCACCUCAUAUAUGUUUGGCCCAAUCUGAAGAGGUACCUCGAUUUUGCCCAUCACCUUUCUCUCCGUGCCGUCAAAUGCUUUCACUAUGUUCUGGCACUCCUUCAUGUGAGAGCUGUCUAUAGGUAAUCUGUUUAGUGUGGUCAAUGGCAGGACAUUCAAAGCCGAUCCGUUGUCAAUCAGUACGCCUGGCAGCGUAUACCCUUUACAGCGCGUGGUAAUGUGUAGUGCUUUAGUCGACCCCAUGCCACCGGGUGGUAUUUCAUCGUCAUUCAAGAAGAUAUAGUUGUCGACACUUAUGUUACUAACCAAACGAUCCAGUUUGUUAACGGAGAUAUCAUUGACAACAUAUGUUUCAUUCAAGACCUUCAUUAGCGCGCUACGAUGAACUAAUGAGCUUAGAAGUAAAGCCAGUACUGAGAUACGAGCUGGUUGUUUACGUAGUUGUUCUACCACGCUGUAUUCACUAUGCUUUAGGAGUUUUAAAAACUCUUUAGCCUCUUCUUCGUUAACUAGCUCAUCGACAAGAAGUUCAGAUUUCGUCAUUUUUUCCUUCACCCCUUCGACCACUAGGGCUUUUCCUUUUACGGGUUGUGCCUUCUCACUCGCUGCAUCGUAACGUCUUCUACUACGUGUAUAGGAGCCCUUAUCUUGGUCUUUUUUUAAAAUGUCAACCAGGUCUUCCUUCCCCGAAAUUGUCACAUUACAAUCAUAAUAUCAUGGGACCCUUUUACUAUCUUUGUAGGGGAAGACUGCAGGUCUUUGGAUUAUGACCCUUAGUGGUAGUUGAACUCUAGCUUCAUUAUUUUUGGGUCUCAAUAUGAUAACCACGGGGUAGUUAACUGUUUGAUUUUGUGCCAUCGACUCUCCCUCCGACGCACAUAUGUCUCCCUCUACAGGGUUUUUAGUCUCUUCAUAGAAUUCUAUUUCCUUAUUGUUUAUCAUGUUCUGCACUAGGGCCCUGAACUUGACACACUCUUAGAUUUCAUGCCCCACCUCGUUGUGGAACUCGUAGUAGUUCCUCUCUUCUUUGGAUUUUCUUCCCAAAUCCAAUGCGAUCAAACCUCUCUUGACCAUCUCCCUCCACACUUAUCUCAACGGAGUCCUGAUUUUCGCAACCUCACACUUAAUCUUCUUAUUUUUGCCUUCGAUUAUCAUGUUCACUCCUUGGUCGGUGUGAUUAGGGAGUGGGUUUCCUGCUACAUUGGGCGUGGCUGGGUCAUCAAAUCUCACGAUUCCCACCUUAAUGAGUCUUUUAACCACUUUCUUGAACGCAGUGUAAUUUUUGAUUGAAUGCCCGGUAAUACCUGCGUGGUAUUCACAUUGGGCAUUUGUGUCAUACCAUUUAGGAUACGGGGGUUGCACUGGCUCAAGGUAGAAAGGUGAUACCACAUGAGCGUUGAACAGGUUCUGGUACAACUCCUUAUGCGUCAUUGGUAUAGGGGUGAAUUGUGGCCUUUCUGUGUUCUUCCUUGCAUUGGAUUCUUGUCUUGCAAGGCUUUGUUGAUUGGUGGUCAUCAUUUUGAGUUGAUUUACGGUAAAUGAUUUGGGCUGCCCCUUGUUGAAUGUGCUCGUGUUGUUCACUUCAUUGUCCUUUUUCCUCGGGGCUGACUUCCUAGCACUCUCUCCCGAUUCUAUCUUACCGCUCUUUACAGCGUUUUUGAUCAUUUCUCCCAUCAUCACUAUGUCAGAGAAGCUCUUGGUGGUGCUUCCCAACAUAUGAGUGAUAAAAGGGGCUUUCAAGGUGUUAAUAAAGAGCAUUGUUGUCUCUUUUUCUAGAAGUGGUGGCUGAGCUUGUAUGGCCAUCUCUCUCCACCUUUGUGCAUACUGUCUGAAGCUUUCAUUUGACUUUUUCUCCAUAUUCUGGAGAGUGAUCUUGUCGGGGGUCAUGUCCGUCACAUGAUUGUAUUACUUCAUAAAGGCCUGAGCCAGGUCUUUCCAUGAGUUAAUCUUGGCUCGGCUCAGUUGAUUGUACCACUUAGACGCCGCUCUAACCAGACUAUCUUGAAAGCAGUGGAUUAGUAACUGGUCAUUGUUAAGAUAUCUCGUCAUUCGCCUGCAGAAUAUGGUGAUGUAGGCUUCAUGGCAGCUUGUUCCAUUGUAUUUCUCGAAUUCAGGCAUUUUGAAUUUAGGGGGAGGACUAAAUCUGGGACCAAGCUCAGAUCCUUAGCAUCAAUCCCUUGAUAAUGAUCCGCGCUCUCUAUGGCUUUGAAUUUCUCUUCAAGCCAUCUACAUCGUUCUUCUAAUUGUUUUUGCGAAUCCAUCCUCGCAUUUUCCUCUUCAGCCACUUCAUCCAAGUCGGGAAUGGGCAGAUAGUUCGGGUUGUUGACAAAGUUAGAGCCUGAGCCAAUUUGGAAGUUCAUCGGAAUUGAAGCUCCAGCCUGAACUUGCUGGGGCAUGAUUGUGACCGAUGGUUUUUGUAGGUUAAUCUCAGGCUUCAUCGGUAUAUGUAUCAGAGUAAAGCCAAUGGGUAUUAGAGAUCUUCAUUGGUUUCCUCAACUUGGUCCAUGGGGCCCUUUCCCUUAUCCAUUCCUCCCAGCAGUAAUUUGGAUAACUGGGACAUCAUCUCUCUCUGAGACUCCAUCAUUUGCUCCUUCAUCUCUUGUUGAAUUUUGGCUAACUGCUCUUCCAUCUGGGACUGCAUUUGUUCUUGCAUGUCGUUUUACAUUUGCUCUAAUUUCUCGAGUCUCUUAUCCAUUAAUUUUUUUCUCGUACUGUAGGGAUGCGUGGUUGGUUGGUUUUCGUUGGUUUCCAGGUUACUGAAAUAAUUUUUAAUUAAUUAAUUAGAAAACUAUUAUGGCCUUUAAUGCAUGAUGAUAUGAUGUAAUGCAAAUGUAUGAAUGCAAAGGAGGCAUCAAUUUUGAUUCAAUUGCCCUUAGAAAAUUUCACUUUGAAAAUAAAAUCUUUUACAUAAGGUCGAGUUAUAGAUAAAAUCUCGCUCUAACACUCAAAAUCCUAAUUUUUCUGAGCAACGAGGCCAGCUCUAGUCCGCGGUCUGACUUUAAUUCAUACUUCACGCUCAAUGUGUCCGCCUGAACCGCUAAAGUUUGCAAGUAGUCCACUACUUCCCGAAUCUGGGUUAUGGCUUCCCCCAUAAGGUGAUCUCUGUUUCUGACUUUGUCUUGCACAUGAUGAAGCUGCUCUUUCCAACGAUCCUCGUUUGCCUCGAAAAACUGGAUCCGCAUCUCGCAGUUUUGUAGUGACGCCUCUAAAUCUUUUAUCCUUCCUUUCAUUUCUUCUAUCUUGCUCAAGCUUGCCCUCAAUUUUAUUGCGGUGUUACGGUUUCGGUACUGAUGCAGAGACUUCUCGAGUUCAGCCACUCUAGCCCUUAAUUCCCCUCGCUCAUUUCUACUUUCCGACAGACUCUUCUCCAAAUCUUCGUUUCGUGAUUGAGCUUCUCGAAAUUUUUUUCCCCACCGAUCGGUAUUUGUUUUUUCUUCUCGAAUUUCGUAGAACCAUUGUUCGGAAGUCUUACCUAAAUCCACAGUCCUUAUAGAUAGGCGCAACUUCUUGUAGUCUGUCUUUAAGCUGUCCAGGUCUUCUUCGGCCUUAGUUUUUCCUUUUCUCCAUUUAUCAACUUCUGACCUCUGAACAUCAGCAUCUAUCCUUAGAUGCAUCUUCUCUUCCUCUAAUUGUUCGAUCUUCUUCCCGAGCUCCGAACUCUUCUUCUCGAAAUCUUGCCUUAUAAUUUCCAAUUCUGAUGGGGCGACUUGUAAUUGUUCCUCGAUAGGUCGAGCAUUCUCCAAGCUUGGCCUAGGAAUAUUAUCAUUAAUCCUCUUCUUAAACCACUUGCUAUACUCGGGCGUUACCAUGGAACCGAUGUCUAACCUCAUCAUCCAACAAGUUUGCUUUCAAGUAUCCGAAAACUCUCGAACUCUCUUCUUAUAAUGAGCACCUUUAAAUGAGAAUUCACUCUGAGCAAGCCCAUAGGUCGUGGGUACAAACUGCCUUGACUUAUAUUGCCUCAAGGCUAACAGUAGAGUAUACCCGGUAGCUCCCCAAAUUCCUAACAGUGGCACCCAAUCAAAGCUACCACAUCGGUACAUGAUCUCGUCAGGAACCAUCCAAUAAGCUCUCCACUUGAUAUCCCCCUCCUUGAGGUUCUGAAGAAUGUCCAUCCACUUCUCCUCAAAGAUAUUCUCUCUCCUCUGUAUAGCUGCCUCUUCCUUCAACGGGGAAUAACCCUCGGAGAAAACUCGAUAGGAAACUUUAUCUACCUUCCAAAAGUGCCCGUGGAACCAUGCCAUCAAUAAUUACGCACAUAUGAAUCGCCCCUCGCCUGUCUUCCGACAUGAGCUCAAAGAUCUGAACAUUUCUGCCAAUAUUACCGGUACCGGUGUGAUUCCCUUUUCAAGGCGAUCAAACAAGUCAAUGACCGCCUCGUCCACGUGCCUCAAAGCCUUAGGAAAGAUCACUAAUCCGUAGAUGCUUAAGGCAAAUAUAUCAACCCUCUUUCUUUUAUCUGGAUGUGUCAAGAUCAAAUCUCGCAAAUUCUCCCAAGGGAUACAUUUGCUAUCUCCUUUUUACUGAAUCCGAGCAGUGACCCAAGGCUCGCUCAUCCCAGAAAUGCUAAUCAGUUUCUUCACGAAAGUUUGACUACUAAAAACUCGAGCAUAAGUCUUCCGGACCUGAAUUUUGGGACACUUGAGCAAAGUAGUGUAUUCCUCCAUGGUAGGUACCAAAUCCACUUCUCCAAAAGUGAAACACUUGUAUGCAGAAUUCCAAAACUGCACCAAGACUCGGAACAAAUGCUUAUCCACUCUAAUAUCUAGCAGGUAGGAUACGUCACCAUAAUUUUGGUCAAACAAUUACUUGAUUCCUUUAUUCCAACUAGCCCAAAUGUCUCUCAACUCUUGCAGCUCGUUCUGUACUACAUUGACGCGAGUGAAAUCUUGCAGCUCCGAUACAUACCCUUCUGCCAAGCUAUCCCCUCUCUCUGAUCGUAGCCUCUCCGACCAUGCACGAACGGCCACAUUAUCCUCGACUUUACUAAGAAAUUCAUUCUCCAUGUCAAAUUUUCUAACUUAGUAAUUGAAUACGAAUUAACGCCUCCUUUAGUAUGUAAUGUUAUGCAAAAAUGACAAAACAAAACAAAAUACCGGUUAGUGUCAAAUAAUAGUGAUAGAAUGCAAGCACAUAAAUGAUAACUAUGACGCAUAUACGGGUAAGUACUAAGGCUCGACGUGGCUUCACCCAAGGAUGGUUCUUAAGGUUCACUAUAUGCGGUUUAGUUUUAGAGAUAAGGUACCCGACCCAGUAGAUUCCUCAAUCCUCACCCAUUAUAAGCUCAGAUAGAUCGAGUUCGGUUCGGGGGGAUAUAUUUCCCUAUGACCAUGCGGAGAUUGAAAUCUCACGAAAUCAUAGGUACGGAUGUACCCCGAAAGUAAUUCACUAGCCCUUGCGGAGGUGAAAACCUCACGAAAGCGUAGUUUCUUACUCCCACUUAGAAGGUGUGACCACAGUGGUCAUGCAAUAAAAUGCAGUGCUAUUUUACAAGACCCGCACUAAGACAAUCACACAAUCAAACGCAAUCGAAAGAUACAUGAUUUUUAAAGUAAAUUUUUGGUUUUCGACAAAAGGACACUAAAUAAUUGAUUUUUAUGGCUCGACUCUCAAGUUCCCCAGUGGAGUCGCCAAGCUGUCGAAACCAUUUUUAUUUAAAUUUUUUUUAAUGAAAAACGGGGGCAUCAACUUUUGAAAAAUAGAAAUAUGGAGUCGCCACCGAUCUUUUUAUUUUGGGGUGAUCGAGUCACCUAAGAAUUUGGUUAUUUUAAUGAAACAUUUUUGAUUUACUAAAACAACGAUGCUGGUCUACGAAAAUUAUGAGAAAACGGGCUUGAGAGUCGGUUACGUAUGAGGAAGGAUUAGCACACUCAUAACGCCCAAAAUUGGUACCAAAUCGAUUAGAUACUGUCCUUAUGUCUAAAAUUAAAAAUGUUUUUGAAUCGUGGUUCUUUUUAAAUAACAUUUGAAUAACCCGAGUUGAUUGCCAAAAAUCUUCUUGUUUCGACGUCCGAAAGUUUAUAAUUUGAAAUUAACAGAAGGAUGCCCAACUAUUUGGUCCAACGAAAAACUGAAACCCCAGCACAAUGGGGCACGAUUCCUCGAAUUUCCAAACAUCGAACAUUGCCUCACCUUAGAAAAUAUGAGUGAAAUUCUGAAGGGAUAUUAGAUUGUUUUGAACGAAUGAAAAAGCGCAACCCAGUACAAUAGGGCUCGAUUCUCAGGUCCCCAGACAUCGAACAUCGCCUUCGUUUUGAAAGGUUUUUAAUAAACAUGAACGAAAGCCUAAGGGAAUAUUCGAUUGUUUUGAACAAACGAGAAAUCACAAUCCAACACGAUAGGGCAUGAUUCUCGGAUUGUCAAACACCGAGUAUUAUCUUUGUUUUAAUGGAUUUUUAAAAGACCUGAGUGAAAUUUUAAAGGAAUAAUUGAUCAUUUUAAACAAACGGGAAAUUGCAACCCAACACGUUAGGGCACAAUUCCACGAGUUUCCAAAUAUCGCAUACCGCCUUCGUUUAAGGGAUUUUUAAAAGAUAUGAGUGAUAUUUUGAAGUGAUAUUCGAUUAUUUUGAGCAAACACGAAAUUGCAACCCAACACGUUAGGGAACGAUUCCGCGAAUUGCCAAAUAUCAAAUCUCGCCUUCAUUUUAAAAAAAAUUUGAAUGAAUGAUUAUAAAGCUAGCUUAAGACGUAUUAAUUCGAUUUGAAAUAAGAUGAAAUUAAUCAUAAAAUUUGGGUUUUAUAGAACCACAUUUCACAAACCAAGUGGAAAAUAAUGAUAUGCGAUAAUAGGCACAUAGGAGAUACAAUCAAUUAACAAACUAAUAAUUAAAUAUAGCUAUCCUAAAAAUGCAACCCAAUUACAAUAAUACAUGGAGAAUAGUUGAUAUAAUAAUACCAUGACGAAAAUGAUAACAUAACAAUCACACAAGCAAAAUAAUGCAUACAAUAAUAUGCCCCAAUAAUGUACAUACCAUGAUAUAGAGUAACCAAUGCAAGAUAUAAAAACAACAUAGCAGUUAGAAGCCAAUGUGCUAUAAAACGGUUUUAAAAUAAUAAUGAAUAAAUGGAUUCAUAUAUAGGUUGACAAAUUUGUAUGAAAACUAGGGAUAGCUAUAGGAUUUUCGGAAUAGAUAUUAUAGAAUAAAAAUUUGAAUCAAAUUGCGUGUAAAAUAUUUUAGACACAAGUGCAUUUAAAAUUUGACAAUGCACAUGAUAAUUUAAAUAAUGUAUAUAAUAUGAAAGGAUAAUAGAGAUAUAUGACAAGAUAUAAUGCACUAAAUAGAUUCACAAAAUAUAUAUGCAUAAAUAACUAAAAUAAUAAUAAUAAUAAUAAUUUGUAAAAACAUAGAAAUACCUACAAGCUUAAAUUAAUUUUAUAACAAAUUGUAUAAUGGAUUUAAAAACAUGCUUAUAUAUAUAAAGAAGACUAUAUGCAUGACAGAAUAACAAAUAAAAUAAUAUAUAUAAAAUAGUCUUAAAUAACAAGGAAAUAAUAAAACAUAUUUUCCAAAGAAUAAACUAUAUAUAUAAUAAAUUUGAAAGGAAAUACAAAUAAAUAGAUUAAAUAUAUAUAUAUGUGAAAUAACAUGGAACUAAUAAUGUGUAUAAAGUAAACCUAAUUUUGUCAUAACUCAUAUAUGUAUUAAUAUAAGAUUAAUUUAAAUUAAAUAUUAUACAAAGUUUUAGAAACAAUAUGAUAUACAAGGUAAUUUUAAAAUAAUAGCUUUAUAAUUAAAUAAUAACAAAUCAUUAAAGUAAUUUAAAAAUAUAAAAAAAAGGAUGAAUGCCAAACGAAAAGAAAAGAAAAAGAAUGAACUAUGCCAAAAAUAAAAAACUUAAUUGAGAUAAAAGCAAAUUAAAAGAGAUAAUUAACAAAUAGAAUAAACCGUUGAAAGGACCAAAGCGUAAGGCGCUCAAAUGGCCAAGGAUUAAAAAUGAAAAUAGUCCCAAUUCCAAAAUGAAACGCUUAACCGCUGACUAAAUUGGAGUGGCGCGCAAAGUUCUGGGCAAAGAUGAAAGACAUGGGAUAGGAUUAAAUUAAAAGUGGUACAAAUGGGAGGGACUGUCCGCAUAAAUUACUCCUUUUAGAUGGAAAUGUGCAAUUCCAGCUAAUGAGCAGGUCAACACGCGGUUUCUAACUUCUUAAUUGCACCACUUUAAAAUUAAUAGCUUUUAUUAUACAUUUAUAUUUUAAAAGCUUACAAAACCAUUUUCUUAAGCACAGACCUCCCAAAUUCCUAACCCUCAACUAGGUUUCAGUCCAUAAACUUACAGCAGUCGAACCACCACCAGAUUCGGUGGCCGACAGCACCGACGACGGCCUGAACCUACCAACGGUGGAGAACUUUUCAGCCUUGAGAUCUCUUUUCAACUUCGAUUUCAACGAAGCGAGAGGAACCUUUGGCAUAUCUGUAAGAUAAGGCUCUCCUCGCUUUUUCUUUAAACAAAAUUGAUUUUGAUUUCUUUAUAUUUGAUUCGCCCUCUCUUUUAUUCGUUUUUCAUGCGAUAGAUCAAUCAAAAAAACAUAAACUAAAUCGGAAGAAAAAAACGAGAAUCACCUUGUGGAGACUUUUUUUUUAGAAAAGCUUUUUUGUAUUGAUUUUCCUUUUGUGUUUGUGUUCGCUCUUUUUUAUUGCCUGUUGUGUAUUUGUGAAAAAAAAUGCUCUCCUCUUCUUUUUUUUUUUACAAAGAUUAAAAGCUGGGCUUUUAUAGCCGAAAAAGGAAAUAAACCGAAAAAAUACAAUAUACUUGUUUCCAUUCGCUACUGUUUUUGUUUCCUUCUUGCAGGUACAGAAUCUGUUGGCAUGCGUACGGGGUGCAGGCGUGGCGUACGAGGGCUGUGGAGGUAUGGGACUGCUGUAGUGGAGGUAUGGGGCUAUUUCUUGGUUGUGGCGUAAAACGAAAAGGGGGGGACCUAAGGUUUCUGGAGCUGUUAAGGGAAUGGGCCUAUUGGGCGUGUUUCGAUUUGGGCUCAUAAUGGGUAUCGGGCUAGGGUUAAUGUAUUUGGGCUGCUUUGUACCAAAGACCUGGACUGUGGUAUACAUAUUUUUUUUUGUGAUUUUUUUUUAUAUUUUUGUUUUGUUUCUUGUCUUUAUACGGGCCGGGCAAAUUUGGCCCAUUACAUAUAACAAAAAAAUUAUUAAAGAUGGAAAGAAAUAACUUAAGAUUUUGUGCUAAUAAAUGUUAAACAAUUUAUACUAAUAAAUACUAAAUCUUCUAGAAAAAAUAUAUCCUGUAAACUAAACUUGCACCCAAGCCCUCAAAUUCCAGUUGCUUCGCAUGGUUUAGUUUUAGACAGGUCGCGUCUUUUACUGUGACCCCAAUUUGCAUCUUUCUCACGAUCCUAUCUCGCCAGAGUAAGGAUCUCAGCACUUUAUGGUAGCUCACCAAUCUUAAAGGGUUCCCAAAUAUUGGUGUGUUGGCCAACUUAACAUGUGUUCAUUAAAGGUAGCUUGCCAUACCCAGAGGGUUCGCCAAUUUGACGAGCUCGCAGUUUUGAUGAGCUCGCAUGUUUGAUUGAGCUCGCAUGGAUGGCAACUUCGAAACAUUCCUCCUUAGGCUUUAUAUUGUGAACACCAAUUUUAUUUCUCAACUUUUCAAACCUUGACUUUCCUAGUGGUUUGGUCAGGAUGUCAGCAAGUUGAUUUUCAGUACUACAAUGGACCGGAGUAACUUCUUUACCUUGUUCGACUUUUCUCACAAAGUAGUACUUGGUUUUAAAAUGCUUUGUCUUUUCAUGAAAAACUGGAUUAUUCACAAUUUCUAUAGUGGACUGGUUAUUGCAAAAUUUUAGUUGUUUCGCCCUACAUAAAAUUUAAAUCAGCCAAAAAAAUUUUCAACCAAAUUGCUUGGUUAGCUACUGCUAUUGCAACUACAUAUUCAGCCUUGAUUGUAACACCUUCUACCCUUAUCCGUUGCCGGAAUAGGGUACCAGGCAUUACCAGAGUUUACUGAGCAUUUUCAGAUAAUUCUGAAUAAUUUAUUAUUCAUAUUCUGAAAAUAAUCAUAUUGUCCUUCUAUUGGGCCCUUAAAGCCCAAAACAUACAUUUAAACAUUCAAUUCACAUUCAUGUCACAUAAAUAUAUAAUUUAAACAUUCAAUAACUCAAUUCAAGUUGCACGAACUUACUUCAUUGCUUAUUCGUAUUUAUAGUUUUACUAAUCUGAAAACUUUUUCUUUUUCACGUUCAAGUCUUAUAUUUGAGCCACCCGGAUCUUUAUAAGUAAAUUUGAUCAUCAUUUUUAUUUAUUUCAUAUUCUAAUACAUUCAAUUAAUCUCUAGGCAAAAUUACCAUUUUACCCUUAAACCUUUGAUUAAUGACGAUUUCAUCCUUAGACAAAGAAAAAUAAAGUUCUUGUAAUUAAAUUCUUGUUUCGAACCUAAUUAUUCUUAUAUAUAUUGAUAAAAACCCAUAAAUUCUAUAAAAUAAUAAAAUUUUCCACAAUUUCAACACUUUUUAAUUUAAUCCCUAAAACAUGUUUUCACACGAUCUUGAUCUAAAUUAAUAGUUUCAUUCAAUUUUAUAAUUUAAAUAAUAGAACAAUUCAUUUCCUUCAUUUUGGUCAUUUUUUUACAUUUUUACAAAAUUGCCCCUACAAUUUUUCUUUUAUUCAAUUUAGUCCCUAAGUCUAAAACAUACAAAUUAUCCAUUUUAAAUGUAAACCUAUUAAGGGUGGCAACAAACAACAGUAUGUAUGUUACCCGGAUGAAAUAUUAAAUACUUCUCUAAAUCUUUCAUCCCAUUUGCUUCUGUUCGUUUGGUUACAACUCCUAAGUCUUUGAAUCUCAAACUUACUUCAUACUUCAUCUGGAAUUCUUACCUUGUUGCUCUAACUUCAACAAGAGCUUCAUAUUUCAUCCGAAAUAAUUACUUUGUUGCUCUAGCUUUAACAAGAGCUUCAUAUUUUAUCCGGAUAACUUAGUUAUGUUUUUCUUCCUGUGAGAAAAACCCAACAAAACCCUUGCUAGCUGAAAAUUCAUAUAUUUAUUUUCCUCCUCCUCCUCUCUAUUCCACAUCCUAAAUGUAUAUAUCAUUCUUAUAAGUAACAUUAUCUAAGAUCUCACUAUUUACUUAUAAAUUUAUUUAAAGUUGUCCAUCUGUGUCAUAGUCACUAAAUUAUUUUUAAUUUGAGCUACAGAGAUCCAAAUUAAGAUCCGUAAAUUUUCCCUAAAACUUGACUCACAUAUCUUUCUACCAUAAAAUUUUCAGAAUUUUUAGUUUAGCCAAUUAGUACAGUUUAUUCAUUAAAGUUUCCCCUGUUUCACUAUCUAACAGUUCUGACCUCUCUUCACUUAAAAUUAAUUAUCUCACAGUACAAAACUCAGAUAAUUUUCUCGUUGGUUUAUCUUGAAAAUAGACUCAUUAAGGAUUCUAAAAAUAUAAUUUUGAGCCCCUAAUUAUUUUUCUCCAAAUUUGUGUGAUUUUCCAAAGUCAGAACAGGGGAACCCGAAUUCAUUCUGACCUUGUCUCACAAAAUUUAUUAUAUCUCGUAACUUACAAUUCAAUUGCUUACACCGUUUCUUCUAUAAGAAACUAGACUCAAUAAGAUUUAAUUCAAUAUUUUUUUCAUCCUCUGAUUCAAUUUUUACAAUUUAUGGUGAUUUUUCAAAGUUAACAUUCUGCUGCUGUCCAAAACUGUUUUAGUUCAAGAUGUUUAUUACCAUUUUUCCUCUAAAUUUCACUGGUCAUACAAUUCAGUCCUUGCUCAAUUAGCCCAUCACUUAAGCUAAUUUUUUUCUCAAUUAGCAUUUUAUUUCAUCAUUCAAAACUAUUACACAACCUUUAAAAAUCAGAAUUUCAACACUAAACCUUAAUUCACAACUUUUUCACAAUUAGGUUCUAAAAUCAAUUUCUAUUGAAAUUACUUGAUAAAAUCAUCAAACAACAAAGUAAAAGCUUCAAAUCUAUUUUAGUUCAUCAUAAACAGCCAACACUUAUCAAUGGUAGCUUUCAAUUUUGUCCAUAAAAUCAAAAACUAAUGAAUUAAACACUUGGACCUAAUUGUAAAAGUCACAAAAACAUAAAAAUCUCAAAGAAAAGGGAAAAAAUUGAACUCACAUAUGUCAAACUAUGAAAAGCAGCAACUUUCAGACCUCCCAUGGCGUUUUUGCUAAAGAAGAAUGAUGAUAUCUCUAGAUUUUUCAAUUUUGUCUUGUUUUAUACGCUUAAUUUGCAAAAUUUCCAAUUUUGCCCCUUGUUCACACUUGAUUUUUAUUUUUCCUGCACACACAUGCCUUUCAGCCCAAUAAUGGGUGUUUAAUUUCCUAUUUAGUCCUCCUUUAAUUAUUACUAGAGCUAUUUAAUCACAUUUCAUAAUUUUGCACUUAAUUCAAUUUAGUCCUUUUUACCCAAUUGACUACCAAAACCUUAAAAUUUCUUGACGAAACUUUAAUACUGACUUAGUCCUUAAAAUAUUUAUGGCUCGGUUUAUGAAUUUGAGGUUUCGAUACCUUGUUUUCAACCCAAUUUACUUGAUUAAUUCUUUUAAAAUCGUAAAAUUCACUAAUUCAAAAAUUCUUUUAAAUUUGCGCUUGGCCCAUAAUUAUUAUUUAUUAAAAUUUCUAAACUUACUCAUUGAAUUUUGUAAUCUCGAAUCACUAUUUUCCGAAACCACUGAAAAAUUUGGUUGUUACAUCGGUUGUGGGUUAAAUUACUGUUAAUAGCUUUUUCAGACUUCAAGAGAGUACCCGAAAUCCAAUUGAGAAGAAAUAUUCGGAGGUACUUGGCAUUUCAUCCACUAAUCCAGCCCAAUCACUAUAAGUGUAGCCAAUAAGUUUCAAGGGCUUCUCCUUUGCGACCCAUACACUAAAAUUAGUUGUUCUUUUGAUGUAUCUCAGUACUCUUUUCGCAGCCUUGAAAUGAGAUAUAUCACAGUAGUGCAUAAAUUUGGACAAGAGGCCAAUUGCGAACAUGAUAUCAGGUCGUCUUGCUAUUAAGUACAACAAGCAACCCACGAGGCUUCAAUAGUUUUUUUCAUCAACCUUUUGGAACUUUUUACUGCUUCAAAGUUUCUCUCCAAGUGCAAUAGGCAUGCUGAUUGGUUUACACUUCCCCAUGCAUAACCUCUUUAAAAUCUUCUGUACGAUGUGAUUUUGAAAAGAAUGUAUGUUUGCACUAUAGGCUAUAGCUUUAUCAUAUAUGGAUGAUGAGCUACUUGGCGAGCUAAAGAAAAUAUAUAAACCGCUGAUGAUAUUGUGAACAAGGGAUUUAUAUAAUAGACAAGGAUUAAUUUUUUUCUUAGUCCAUUUACAGGGUGGAUUUGGUAAGAGAAUGAUGAUGUUUCUUUCCAAAGUUAUUCAAUUUUUUAUAAAAUGCAUGCAUUGUGUUCUACUAGUUGGUCUAAUCUUUUCCCACAUUGACUUCGUGAUGGACAUAAACAGAAUAUACGCAAAGCAAAAUAAGUUGAAACAAGUGGCCAGCCAUGAAGCCAGGUACUUUGCUAUCAUGUCCAUGGUUAUAUACUACUAUGAACUGGGGAUCAAAUACUACGCUGUUAAUAUCAAUAAUUUCAAGCGUAGGCCUGAAGAAGUUCAAUUCAUCAUGGUCUCAUGAUCGAGAAGUUCGAGCUCUUGUGUAGAAAAGACAGCUUCAUUAACGGUUACGAUGUCAAAGUUCAUUUCUCUAAGAACCUAUAGUUGUUACCUCAACAUUCAAGGGAUGCUGCAAACAAGUUAAUGGCGUUGACUAUUAACAAUUCUGGUCUUUUGCUUACGAUUUACGUGGCCUAUACUUCCACUGAUGAAAUUAUUCAUGCUUGUUGAAAAAUGUUGUGAAGAAAAAUGGGUUUAAAAUGAUGGUGAGAUUAUUAGUUUAGCGGAUAUUGAGAAGUGAAUGUAUAUGGAGAUUGCACUUAAUCCUGAUAUUGUUAUAUGAAGUUUGGAUGAAAACCGACUGAGUAAUUUCCUGUAACGCCCCUAACCCGAAUCCAUCACCGGAAUAGAGUUACGGAGCAUUACUGGAGUUACCGAUUUAUUUAUCAGAUAUUUCAUUUCAUCUAACGUUCAUAUUUGAAACCACUUAAAAUCAAACAUAUUGUCCCUUAAUGUACUUAUUUUUCUCGAUAUGUUUUACUUGAAUUUAUUACUCGUCUCAAUUUAAUUAAUUUUCUUGUAUCAACGUAUCAAAAAUAAUCACCUAUUUACAUGUCAUGAUAAAUAUCAUUCUCUUGCCAUUUCUUCAUAAACAUAAAUCAGGUAAUUCAUUAUAUCGAUAUUUCAUGCCAGCUGAAUAUUCAUACAUAUUUUCUUCCUCCUCCUCUCUAUUCCACAUCCUUAAUUUAUAUAACAUGCAACAAGUAACAUUAUCAAUAAUUUCACUAUUUACUUAUAUAUAUUCAAACUGUCUAUUUGCGUCAUAGUCACUAAAUUAUUUAUAUCUUAAGCUACAGAACUCAAAAUUAAGAUCCGCUAAUUUUUCCUGAAACUAGACUUACAUAUCUUAUUACCAUAAAAUUUUCAGAAUUUUUGGUUUAGCCAAUAAGUACAGUUUAUUCUUUAAAGUUACCCCUAUUUUGCUAUCUGACAGUUCCGUCCCUUCUUCACUAAGAAUUAAUUAUCUCAUCAUACGAGAUUCGGAUGAUGUUCCUGCUUAUUUCUAUUGGAAAUAGACUCAUUAAGGAUUUUAAACAUAUAAAUUUAAUCCCUUAUUUAUUUUUAUCCAAUUUUUUAUGAUUUUCCAAAGUCAGAAUAGGGGAACCCGAAAUCAUUCUGAUAUUGUCUCACAAAACUUAUUAUAUCUCAUGAUUUACAAUUCAAUUGCUUACACCGUUUCUUCUAUAAGAAACUAGACUCAAUAAGCUUUAAUUUCAUAUUUUAUUCAUCCUCUAAUUCGAUUUCUAAAAUUUUUGGUUAUUUUUAAAAGUUAGACUAUUGCUGCUGUCCAAAACUGUUUUAGUGCAAAAUAUUAAUUUUCAUUUUGCCCCAAAUUUCACAGUUCAUACAAUUCAGUCCUUGCUCAAUUAACCACUCAAUUAAGCUAAUUUUCUCAAUUAAUACUUUUCCUAGACAUUAUAAGUUAUUUCGUAACUAUUGAAAUUCAGAAUUUCCACAUAAAACUCUAACUUCAAACUCUUUUACAAUUUAGGUCCCAAACAUUCACUUUCUAUUCAAUUCUUUCAAUAAAAUCAGUAAAUAAACAAUUUAAAGCUCUAAUUCCAUUCCAAAUCAUCAUGUACUUCCAACACAUAUUCAUAGCAACUUUCAAUUUCUUUCAUAGAAUCAAAAACUAAUGAAUUCAACAAGUGGACCUAGUUGUAAAAGUCACAAAAACACAAAAAUUUCAAGAAAUAAUCAAGAAUUGAACUUACUUGCAGUAAAAAUAUGAAAAACCAGCUUAAGGAAACUCUUCCAUGGUGUUUUUGCUUAUGAGAAUGCAGAAAAAUAAAGAGAAAUCUAGAUAAUUCCACUUUAGUCCUAGCUUUAUUAAGUAAACUUUGCAAUUUUCCAAUUUUACCCUUAAUUCUCCUUAUUUUCUUGCUGAUUUCAUGCCCUUGCCGUCCAGCCCAAAUAUACCUUGGGUCUAUUUUCCUUUUAAAACCUCUUUCUUUUAUCAUUUAAGCUAUUUAAUCAUUUCCCACAAUUUUACAUUUGCUACAAUUUAGUCCUUUUUGUUCAAUUAGCUAUCAGUACUUUAAAAUUUCUUGACGAAACUUUAAUACUAACUUAUUAACACUCCAUAAAUAUUUAUAAAAUUAUUUAUGGCUUGAUUUAAAAUUCCCGAGGUCUCGAUACCUCGUUUUUGAUUCUAAUUAUUUUAAUAUAUAUAUUUUAGUACGCUAUUGUAGGCCAAUUUUAACCCAUUUACAUCAAAACCCAAUUUAGCCUUACCUAACCCACCAAAAUUAAACCCAAAACCCAAAAUCUUAACUACCCAAAGCCCAAUUUACAUCAAAACCCCAAUGGCCCAAACCCUAAGCCCAAAUCAAGAUAAAAAACCCUAGCCCAUAACCUAAACUUUUCUCAACUAAAUCCUAGCCUUUGCCACCACCAACUCCACUAGUCACACUUGCUCCACCACCAACUCCACUAGCCACACUUGCUCUACUACCUACUCCACUAGCCACACUUGCUCCACCACCACUUGUACCUACAAAUGAAGACAUAAACAAUAAAAAAUAUUUUGUAAAUGGCUAUAUAAGCCUUCUCAUAUUUUGUAUUUAGGAGAGGAAGAAGUUUUGGGGGAAAAAGUUAUUGUAAAGGAUUUUUGAGAGGUUUUUUGAGAGUAAUCAAUGAGAAGAGUUAUUGUAAAGGCUAGUUUUUGGAGAGGCUAGUUUUUUUUUUUUGAAGAUUAAUCAAAGAUCAAAGCAAAAGAGGUUUCUUUGUCAAUUCUCGUUUUAAGUUCUUUGUUUGCUUAAUGUUUUCCUUUCAGUUUUAUUUUGUUUCUUUUAUACGAAAGUAAAAAUAAAAGGAGGGAGCUUUCCCAUUUUUACCGAAAAAGUUUUUUUUGAGGUCCGGCUGCCUUGUACGGUGGCACCGACGGUGGCUGGCGGCGGUCUGGUGACCGGACGGUGGCCGGCCUUGUGGCCAGAAAUCACCCACUCUCUCCCUCUCUUUUUUUGUUAUUAUUAUAUUUCUUAAUAUUAUAUUAUAUAUAUUCUUUUAAUAUAUUAGGUAUAUUCUAAAUUCUAUAUUACGUAUAUAUAUUAUACUAUUUUAUGUAUAUAUCUUUAAUACUAUAUUAUUUAUAUUUUUUUUCUACAUGUUAUCUUAUGUAUAUAUUUUAAUUAUAUUAUGUAUGUAUUUCUUACACUAUAUUAUGUACAUAUUUUUAAUAUUAUCACGUAUUUAUUUUUUAUAUAUGUACAUAUUUAUGUAGUAUUAUUAAUAGUUUUAUUUUUAAAUAUCAUUAUUAUUUCUAAUAUAUAUAUUAUGUACACUUUUUUAUUUCUAUUUUAUUUUUUUAUUUGUCAAUAUUAAUUAUUAUUAUUCUAAUAUUUUGAUAUUUUAAUAUUUUAUAUUUUAUAUACUUUAUUAUUCACAUCACUAUUCGCAUUUUUUACAAUAAUAUUCUUAGAUUUUUUUUACUAUCAUUUUAGAAAUUUUUUACAUUUUAAUUUUAAGAAUAACACAAUGUACCGAUUUUAACAUUAAGUCAUUGAUUUCAUCGCUAUGUUGGGUGAAGUUAGUCAGCUCGUGUUAAAAACGGGAUAUCCUUCUAAAAAACCAAAAACUUACAACUUCUCAUUUCCUUCAAUCGGAUCACACUUAAAUUGAAUUCGUAUUUUUGAAAAUCAAGACAACACGUGUUUAAUAAGAUACCAAUUUUGGGCGUUGCGAGGGUGCUAAUACCUUCCUCGCGCGUAACCGACUCCCGAACCUAACGUUACUCUGGCUUUUGACGUAGACCUAAAUUCGGCCUUCAUUUUUGUGCAAGAAUAAGUUUUCUUUUCUAAAAAAGGAUGAUUUAUUAGGUGUCCAAUCACACCUAGAAAAAAAGAUCGGUGGCAACUCUUUUUUUAAUAAAAUCGAAAGUCGGUUUUUAAAUUUUCAAAUAAUCGCCUUAAUUAGUGACCGAAAGCGAAAUUUUUUACGUCGCUACAGCUGGCGACUCCGCUGGGGAACCUUUUUGAGAGUCGAUUCGAAUUAAACUCGCGUUGUCAAAAUUUUCAAAGUUCAUUGUUCAAAUUAACAUUUAGUCGUGAUCCUCAAAUUUUUUGUUUUAAAAAAAAUCAUGCAUUUGCAUCGUGUUGUAUAUAUUCUAACUUGUUUUAUCCGGUUGUUUUUCAGCUUUAUAUUUUUGUGAUUUUAGUUUUGGUUUAGUUUUUUAAAUAAAACGUAAAGGUUUGUGAGUUUCUCCCCACACACCGUGCACGAGCAUCUUUGCAUAACAUGAGCUCUAUACCUGGGCUCCGUCCGUUUAAGUGAAAGUAAACGCUAUGCCUUCGUGAGUUAACUCGUCCCUUCACACAGGCUAGUGAAUACUUUCGGGUUACAUAUGACUUAUGCUUUCGUGAGUUAACUUGUCCCUCCGCAUAGGCAUAAGUAAAUGUAAUCCCUCGAAUUGAUCUCGUAAGCCUAUGAUGGGCCAUGACCGAGACUUCGUACUAGUUUUAGUAGACGAUAGGACGAACAAUUCGAGUACCUAUCUAGAACCAAAACCGCAUAUAGUGAACCGUACGAGCCCCCUAACUAGAGCCAUGCCGAACCUCCGCUUGUUCCAUAGUUACCAAAAUAAGUACACAGGAGAAACGCCUCUUACCUUUUGCACUUUCACUUUGUAUGCAAGGGGAUUGGGUUGGUUUAAUAAACUAGAUCGGGUAGCGUAAUUUGAUAAAUUUUCCAUGAUUUUUUUUGCCUAUAUUUGACUACAAGCCAAGGUUGUUCGUCUUUGCUUUAUUUUCAUCAUGUAUUAUAGGCAUCUUGUUAAGAAUGUGUUCAUUAGAGAAUGGUUGCCAAAAACGGGUUUCUAAUGGGGGAGUCAAUUAUACGAGUGACCGAAGCAUUGUGUAAUAGACUCUUUUGAUGAAUGAAAUGCCUAAAUAGGGGCUAUCUUGAAAUCAACACCCAUUUCUUGCAUAUCUUUUAUGAUUGACAUUCAUUUAUGCACUCAUUCAUUCAUUGCAUAUAUCUAUCCCAUGAUCAUUCGCUAAGGUUAGAAUCAUAUAAUUCGCAGUCACAACACUUCAAAUCUGGAAUCACGCCAUUCGUAUAGAACGCGUCGACAAGCUAGAACAAUUGAGGCUGAGUUCAAUGAAAGAAUCGAAAGAAUGGAAAGAGUCCAAAGGAAAUUACAAGAACAACUGGCUAAGUCACAGCAAGAGACAAGAGACUUGAUGGUGAGAUCUCGAGAGGAAUCGCUCGAGCAAAGGGAUCAAAUGGCUAAAAUGAUGGAGAUGAUGACUGCUUUGGUCAAAGGAAAAAGAGCUCGAGUAAGGAAAGGUUUGGGAAGGUAUCUGCAAUGAAUAGUCAAGGCUCUAAAGCCAGUGCACCACAAGGCCCGAUACGGUUUGGGGUUCUAGCUAGACAUGCAAAAAAGAAGAAAAUAGUUACAGAAAGAUCGAGAAAGGCGGAUUGUAAGAGUCUUAGGCUGAGAAUUAGAAUGGGAGCCUAUAACGUACCCUCCUUUGUCAAAAACAUUUACGUCGCGGGAAUGAUAUACCCAGGGCAGUAUAAUGCACAAAGCAUAAUGUUAAUGAUCGAAGAGGGUUUUCAGAAUAUUAGUAUAAAUGUCAUUGACAAAGGAUCUGACUCGAGUAAAGACGUCUCAAAGAUACGCCCUUGUCUCCCGGGUUUCAUGUUGAACAAUUGGACUGCCGAGGAUCUUCUUGUAGUUUAUAAGUCUUCAGAGUAAUGCUCAAACGUUAACAUUCUGUUAUGUCCUUAGAUGUAAUAGAAUUCUUUUGUAAGAGCUUGCAUUCGCUCUUUAUCAUUUAAAUGAAUAUCAAUGAAGAUGCAUUUUGUCACAAUUUUCCGCAUUAUCACUAAUUCCAUAAUCAUUUCAUAGCCUAUCUUUACAUUUGCCUCAUGCCAUACCAUAACAUUCAGUUUGUUGGUUUCAAUACUUAGAUGCCCCUCUAUAGUUUCCUUUUUCCAUUCAACUUUCAGGUGCUCAGAUAUCAAUUGCAUGAACAAACCCGUUACGAGUCCUGAAAUUGAUUUUGAGAAGGCUGUUUGUUUAGGAGAAUUUGAAGCCGAAGAAAAUACUGAAGACUAUGUCUCGUCUCCUAACUUGCUAAGAAUGGUGGAACAAGAGGAUAAACAGAUUUUGCCUCAUCAAGAAUCUGUUGAAACAAUAAACUUGGGAACUGAAGAAAAGAAGCAAUAAGUGAAAAUUGGGACCUCUAUUUCAGAGGACACCAGGCAUAAUUUGAUUACUUUGCUCCGCGAGUACAAAGAUGUAUUCGCAUGGUCAUAUCAAGACAUGCCAGGAUUGGAUGAAGAUGUAGCAGUCCAUAGACUCCCACUGAAACCAGAAUGCAAAUUCAUUCAGCAAAAGCUAAAACGGAUGAGACCUAAGAUGCUGUCAAAGAUAAAAGAAGAAGUCAAAAAGUAAUUUGAUGCGGGUUUCUUACAAGCUUCCAAAUACCCAGAAUGGGUGGCUAACAUAGUCCGGUACCAAAGAAAGACGGCAAAGUACGAAUGUGUGUGGAUUACCGUGACCUGAAUCGAGCAAGUCCUAAAGAUAAUUUUCCCUUACCACACAUUGAUACGUUGGUGGAUAACACAACAAAACAUUUAUUUUUUUCUUUCAUGGAUGGAUUCUCGGGGUAUAAUCAGAUUAAGAUGACCCCUGAGAAUAUGGAGAAAACUACCUUCGUAACAAUGUGGGGAACAUUCUGUUACAAGGUGAUGCCAUUCGGGUUAAAGAAUGCUGGGGCAACAUAUCAGAGGGCUAUGGUGACGUUAUUCCAUAACAUGAUGCAUAAAGAAAUAGAGGUCUACGUCGACGAUAUGAUUGCUAAAUCCCAAGGGGAAGAAGAGCAUGUAGUGAACCUCAAGAAGUUGUUCGGAAGGCUGAGAAAGUUUCAGCUAAAACUUAAUCCAGCCAAAUGUACGUUUGGGGCUACCUCGGAAAAGUUGUUAUGCUUCAUUGUCAGUGAAAGAGGUAUCGAGGUUGAUCCAGAUAAAAUAAAAUCCAUUCAAGAGUUACCACAUCCGCGCACACAAAAGGAAGUCAGAGAAUUUUUAGGGAGAUUAAACUACAUCGCCCGAUUCAUCGCUCAACUUACCAACCAAUGCGACCCAAUUUUUCGGCUUCUUCGAAAACAUAAACCUAGAGAAUGGAAUGAGGAAUGCCAGGUGGCCUUUGAUAAGAUAAAACAAUAUUUGUCUAAUCCUCCAGUUCUAGUACCGCCAACUCCGGGAAGACCAUUGAUAUUGUAUUUGACUGUGUUUGAAAAUUCAAUGGGUUGCGUACUGGGGUAACACGACGAGUCAGGAAAGAAAGAAAAGGCGAUCUACUACCUCAGCAAAAAGUUCACUGAAUAUGAGGCAAAGUAUCCAUCCAUUGAAAAAUACUGUUGCGCUCUAAUUUGGGUAGCUCGGAGACUUAGGCAAUAUAUGUUGUAUCAUACAACAUGGUUAAUUUCAAAGCUGGACCCAAUAAAGUACAUGAUGGAAUCACCUGCACUCUCAGGAAGAAUGGCACGAUGGAAGAUUUUACUGUCAGAGUAUGACAUCGCCUAUGUGAGCCAAAAGUCGAUAAAAGGAAGUGCAAUAGCUGACUUCUUAGCAACUCGAACAACAGAGGAUUACGAGCCAUUGAGAUUUGAUUUCCCAGAUGAAGACUUGAUGUGCAUUACAGAAAAAGAAUGCAAGUCACUAAAAGAGAAGUCAUGGAAGAUGAGCUUUGAUGGUACAUCGAACGCAUUGGGGCAUGGGGUUGGAGCAGUCUUAGUAUCGCCAGAAGGGAACCAUUACCCACUCACUGCCAGGCUGAACUUCUUCUGUAUUAAUAACAUAGCGGAAUAUGAGGCAUGUAUCAUGGGACUUCGUGCAGCUAUUGAACAAAACGUCAAAACUUUAGAGGUAUACGGAGACUCAGCCUUGGUGAUUUACCAAAUCCGUGGAGAUUGGGAAGUGAGAGACUCGAAACUGGUUAAAUACAGUGAUCUAGUGGCAGAAUUGAUUAAAGAAUUUGAAGAAAUAACUUUUAAUUACCUCCUACGAGAAGAAAACCAAUUGGCUGAUGCCUUGGCUACUUUGGCUUCAAUGUUCAAAGCAAACAGAGAAACAAAAAUAAUGCCUCUUCAAAUGAGCAUAUAUGAAGUUCCUGCAUAUUGUUUCAGCAUUGAAAAAGAGCCAGAUGGAUGGCCAUGGUUCUAUGAUGUCUUAGAAUAUAUCAAGAAUCAAAAGUAUCCCGAACAAGCAAACGAGAACUACAAAAGAACAAUCAGAAGAAUGGCAGCGGGAUUCGUUCUUGAUGGGGACAUCCUGUACAAAAGAGGAAAAUAUUAGGUGCUCUUGAGAUGCGUAGAUGCUGUUGAAGCCAGAAAAAUACUUAAAGAUGUCCAUGAGGGAAUUUCCGGGACACAUGCCAAUGGUUUCACUAUGGCCAGGAAGAUUAUGAGACUAGGAUAUUACUGGCUGACGAUGGAAAGCGACUGCAUUAAUUUCGCACGAAAAUGCCACAAAUGUCAAAUUUAUGGUGAUAAAAUUCAUGUAGCCCCUUUGCCCUUUCACGUCAUAACUUCUCCAUGGCCUUUUUCUAUGUGGGGUAUGGAUGUUAUAGGGUCAAUUUCCCCAAAAGUUUCUAAUGGACACUGAUUCAUUUUUGUGGUUAUUGAUUACUUCACAAAAUGGAUAGAAGUCGCAUCGUUUGCCAAUGUGACGAAGACUGCGGUUUGCAGGUUUUUGAAAAAGGAAAUCAUUUGUCAAUAUGGUUUGCCUGAAAGGAUCAUUUCAGAUAACGCCUUGAAUUUGAACAACAAGAUGAUGAAAGAAGUGUGUGAGCAAUUCCAAAUAAAGCAUCAUAAUUCCUCACCCUAUCGCCCAAAGAUGAACAGAGCUGUUGAAGCAGCCAACAAGAAUAUUAAGAAGAUUAUUGGAAAAAUGACCGAAACAUAUAAAGACUGGCACGGGAAGCUACCAUUUGCUUUGUAUGCAUAUCGCACAUCUGUACGGACAUCUACAAGGGUAACUCAUUUCUCUCUGGUCUAAGGAAUGGAAGCUGUGUUACCCAUCGAAGUUGAGAUCCAUUCUCUACGAGUCCUAAUGGAGUCGAAAUUAGAGGAAGAAGAAUAGGUUCGAGCUCGAUAUGACCAAUUAAACCUCAUCGAAGAAAAAUGUCUGAAGGUAAUCUGCCAUGGACAGAUGUACCAGAAGAGAAUGAUCGCAGCCCAUGACAAGAAAGUACGGCCAAGAAAAUUCCACGAAAGAGAGCUCGUGCUGAGAAAGAUUCUCCCAAUACAAAAAGACUUCCGAGGAAAAUGGGCACCAAAUUGGGAAGGUCCAUACGUCGCAAAGAAGGCAUUCUCGGGCGAAACUUUGAUUCUCACUAAGAUGGAUGGGAAGGAGUUAUCGAAUCCAGUGAACUCAGAUGCUAUGAAGAAAUAUUAUGCCUAAAAAAAAGGGUGAUCAAUGUGAAAACCCGAAAAGGGCAUCUUGAUUAACAAAAAAGAUUAGGAUGAAAACCCGAAAGGGCGUUCUAAUGAAGCAAGCAUUGGCUUAAAAAGUAAGGCAUUUUGAACGGUGGGUCAAAUAGUGAGACUACCGUAUUUGAAGCAUUUCUGAAAGCUCAAAAUCUUUUAUGCAAGAAGCCAUGCUCGAAAAGAUUCUUGAUUGAGGAACGUGGAAGAGUUCAUGCAUUGAAUAUCUAGAGCAUUUGUAUUCAUUGAAUGCAAUCCCUUUUCUCUUUAUGACACUCUUUUACUAUCAUUGGUUAACUUUCUUUGUUUGCUACAUUUGAAAUGAAUAAAUGUGAGGUAUCCUUUUGUCCCUACCUGACCAUUUUCAUGCAUCUCAUUAUGUGGUUCAUUUACAUGAUAAAUAGUGAAAUGAAUACUCUAAACAAAAGAAAUGUUAAGCAUUACCUGGGUAAGAAUUUGAUAAGUACAAGAGCCUCAACGCAAGGACAAAGCUCAAUCAGGGGCAAAAGAGUGAUAUCUGAGAAACACAGAUUAUUCGUGAAGCUUAAGGACGGGUACGGGUAUUGAAGAGAAAGUCAAGAGUCGAAGCAAUGAACGCGGAUCAUCAAAAAUUGUGACGAAAAAUGGAUAUAUGACAAACAUGCCUAAAGCUCAUAGCAUAAUUAUAUAGGCAUAAAGGCAUUUAAGACAAACAUGUGCAUAUCAUGAUAACAUCAUGAAUGACAUAUACAGGUAUUCCAGCGGAGCAAGAGGAUGCAAUGUUAGUUAUACUGAAUCAAGGAAAAGACACCUGAGCUCCACCAGAUAACAUCUUUUGGUAUGUGGAUGUUUCAUUUCUGUUUUCAAAAAAAUCAACUCAUAUUGCGAUAGGUGAGUUGAGCCUUGGCUCACGUGUUGAGUCACUUUCAAUUUCUGUUUUUAUGUCUGUUUUUUAAAUCAACUCAUAUUGCGGAAGGUGAGUUAAGCCUCGGGGCACACUGAGGUAUUUUCAAUUGCUGUUUGUCAAAAAUCAACUCAUGUUGCGGGAGGUGAGUUGAGCCUCGGGGCACACCGAGGUAUUUUCAAAUUCUACUUUCAAAAAAAUCAACUCAUAUUGCGAGAGGUGAGUUGAGCAUUGGCUCACGUGUUGAGUCACUUUCAAUUUCUGUUUUUAUGUCUGUUUUUUAAAUCAACUCAUAUUGCGGGAGGUGAGUUGAGCCUCGGGGCACGCUGAGGUAUUUUCAAUUGCUAUUUGUAAAAAAUCAACUCAUGUUGUGGGAGGUGAGUUGAGCCUCGGGUCACAUGCCAAGGUAUUUUCAAUUUCUGCUUUUCAAAAGAAUCAACUCAUAUUGCGAGAGGUGAGUUGAGCCUCGGGACAUGCUGAGGUAAUUGCAAUUUAUAUUGUCAAAAAAAUCAACUCAUAUUGCAAGAGGUGAGUUGAGCCUCGGCUCACGUGCUGAGGUAUUUUCAAUUUCUGUCUCUGUUUGUCAAAAUCAACUCAUAUUGCGAGAGAUGAGUUGAGCCUCAGGGCACGCUAAGGUAUUUUCAAUUUCUGUUUGUCAAAAAAAUCAACUCAUAUUGUGAGAGGUGAGUUGAGCCUCAGGGCACGCUGAGGUAUUUUCAAUUUCUGUUUGUUUUUAAAAAAACAAACUCAUAUUGCAAGAGGUGAGUUGAGCCUCGGGUCAUACGCUGAGGUAUUUUCCAUUUCUGUUCUUUAAUUUCUACGGUUCAAAAAAAUCAGCUCAUAUUGCGAAAGGUGAGUUGAGCCUUGACUGACACGUUGAGGUAUUUUCAAUUUCUGCCUUUCAAAAAAAUCAACUCAUAUUGCGAGAGGUGAGUUGAGCCUCAGGACACGCUGAGGUAAUUUCAAUUUCUGUCUUUCAAAAAAAAAAUCAACUCAUAUUGCGAGAGGUGAGUUGAGCAUUGGGACACGCUGAGAUAAUUUUUAUUUCUGUUUCAAAAUUCAACUCAUACUGCAAGAAGUGAGUUGAGCCUCAAGACACGUUGAGGUAUUUUCAAUUUCUGUCUUUCAAAAAAAUCAGCUCAUAUUGUAAGAGGUGAGUUGAACCUCAAGAUGCUGAGGUGUUUUCCAUUUUUGUUCUUCAAUUUCUGUGUUUCAAAAAAAAUCAGCUCAUAUUGCGAGUGGUGAGUUGAGCCUUAACUCACACGCUGAGGUAUUUUCAGUUUUUUUUUCAAUUUAUGUUUGUCAAAAAAAUCAACUCAUAUUGCGAGAGGUGAGUUGAGCCUCGGGUCACACGCCGAGGUAUUUUCAAUUGAUUUUUUUUUCAAUUUAUACUUUGCAAAAAUUAACUCAUAUUACGAGAGGUGAGUUGAGCCUCGGGUCACAUACCGAUGUAUUUUCAAAAUCUGUUUUACAAAUUUUGUUUUAAAAAUCAACUCAUAUUGCGAGAAGUGAGUUGAGCCUUGGCUCACGUGCUGAGUUAUGUUCAAUUUCUAUUUUAAUGUCUAUUUUUAAAGAGUCAAUUCAUAUUGCGAGAAAUGAGUUGAGCUCAAGAUCACAUGCUGAAUAAAUAAUAAAGAUUGGAGCUGAUUGAAGACACAAGAUUUUGUCUCCCUGAAGUUGCAGUGGAGCUGAUCGAGGAUAUUAGAUAUUGCCUUUCUAAAGUUGCAGAAGAGAAGACUACAAACCUUAUCUCACUGAAGCAAUAGAAGAACAGAUUGAAGUUGUAGAUCUUAUCUUUUUUAAGUUACAGUGAAGCGGAUCGAAGCCACAAAUCUCAUACCCUUGAAGUUACAUUGGAGUAGAUUGAAGCUACAAGGUAUAUCUCCGAAUUUGCAGUGGAUUGAACCAAAGCUACAAGAUGUGGUGGACUGGAAAGAGACUACCUGGAUGAGAAGAGCACCAAAGAAGUCCAUACUUAGCAAGACCGGGAAAAAUUGGCCUUUCUUUGUGUCUUUGCUUUAUUCCCGUUACACGAUAAUAAGCAAAGAGGGGCAGCUGUUGUAGGCCAAUUUUAACCCAUUUACAUCAAAACCCAAUUUAGCCUUACCUAACCCACCAAAAUUAAACCCAAAAUCUUAACUACCCAAAGCCCAAUUUACAUCAAAACCCCAAUGGCCCAAACCUUAAGCCCAAAUCAAAAUAAAAAACCCUAGCCCACAACCUAAACUUUUCUCAACUAAAUCCUAGCCUUUGCCACCACCAACUCCACUAGCCAUACUUGCUCUACUACCUACUCCACUAGUCACACUUACUCUACCACCACUUGUACCUACAAAUGAAGACAUAAAUAAUAAAAAAUAUUUUGUAAAUGGCUAUAUAAGCCUUCUCAUAUUUUGUAUUUAGGAGAGGAAGAAGUUUUGGGGGAGAAAGUUAUUGUAAAGGAUUUUUGAGAGGUUUUUUUAGAGUAAUCAAGGAGAAGAGUUAUUGUAAAGGCUAGUUUUUGGAGAGGCUAGUUUUUUUUUUGGGGAGAUUAAUAAAAAAUCAAAGCAAAAGAGGUUUAUUUGUCUAUUCUCGUUUUAAGUUCUUUGUUUGCUUAUUGUUUUCCUUUCAGUUUUAUUUUGUUUCUUUUAUACGAAAGUAAAAAUAAAAGGAGGAAGCUUUCCUAUUUUUACCGAAAAAGUUUUUUUUGAGGUCCGGCUGCCAUGUACGGUGGCACCGACGGUGGCCGGCGGCGGUCUGGUAACCGGACGGUAGUCGGCCUUGUGGCCGAAAAUCACCCACUCUCUCCCUCUCUUUUUUUUGUUAUUAUUAUAUUUUUUAAUAUUAUAUUACAUAUAUAUUCUUUUAAUAUAUUAGGUAUAUUCUAAAUUCUAUAUUACGUAUAUAUAUAUUAUACUAUUUUAUGUAUAUAUCUUUAAUAUUAUAUUAUUUAUAUAUAUAUUUUUCUACAUGUUAUCUUAUGUAUAUAUUUUAAUUAUAUUAUGUAUGUAUUUUUUACACUAUAUUAUGUACAUAUUUUUAAUAUUAUCACGUAUUUAUUUUUUAUAUAUGUACAUAUUUAUGUAGUAUUAUUAAUUGUUUUAUUUUUAAACAUCAUUAUUAUUUCUAAUAUAUAUAUUAUGUACACUUUUUUAUUUCUAUUUUAUUUUUUUAUUUGUAAAUAUUAAUUAUUAUUAUUCUAAUAUUUUGAUAUUUUAAUAUUUUAUAUUUUAUAUACUUUAUUAUUCACAUCACUAUUCGCAUUUUUUACAAUAAUAUUCUUAGAUUUUUUUUACUAUCAUUUUAGAAACUUUUUACAUUUUAAUUUUAAGAAUAAGGCAAUGUACCGAUUUUAACAUUAAGUCAUUGAUUUCAUCGCUAUGUUGGGUGAAGUUAGUCAGCUCGUGUUAAAAACGGGAUAUCCUUCUAAAAAACCAAAAACUUACAACUUCUCAUUUCCUUCAAUCGGAUCACACUUAAAUUGAAUUUGUAUUUUUGAAAAUCAAGACAACACGUGUUUAAUAAGAUACCAAUUUUGGGCGUCGCGAGGGUGCUAAUACCUUCCUCGCGCGUAACCGACUCCCGAACCCAAAGUUACUCUGGCUUUUGACGUAGACCUAAAUUCGGCCUUCAUUUUUGUGCAAGAAUAAGUUUUCUUUUCUAAAAAAGGAUGAUUUAUUAGGUGUCCAGUCACACCUAGAAAAAAAGAUCGGUGGCGACUCUUUUUUUAAUAAAAUCGAAAGUCGGUUUUUAAAUUUUCAAAUAAUCGCCUUAAUUAGCAACCGAAAGUGAAACUUUUUACGUCACUACAUACACUAUUCACUAUUUCAAAAUUUUUUAUAACUUCACGUUUAACUUAUACUCACUAAAUUAAUAAUAUUUCCUACUCAUUUUUCAGAUUUAGUGAUCUCAAAUCACUGUUCCGACACCACUGAAAAUUAGGCUGUUACAUUUCCUGCUAUGGCAAAUUGUCGAAAGCUACUUGUAUUCGACGUCGACAUUGUGGCCGAAAAUUGGGUUAUGGCAUUUAGUUUGGGCGGUGUUGAAUUUUUAGAAGUACCAACUACUUCGAAAGAAGAAGAAUAAACAUUUAGAGUAGUUCAUUGUUGAUAAAACACGUAGUGCCUUUUUGUAUGUAGGAAUUAUGAAAUGUUAGCUAUAUAUUUGUGUGUGUUGGUCAAGGGCGAAGUCAGAAAAAUUUUUUAAGGGGGCCGGAUGAAAAUUUUAAUUUUUUAUAGUUUAUAUCUUUAUAAUUUGUAAAGGAUUAAAUCGAAUUUUUAUAAUUUUAGGGGGGCCAAAGUGUAAUUUUACCUUUUACUAAUUUAAAUUUUUAAAAAAAUUUAAAGGCCUAAAAAAUAAUUUUACAUUUUAGGGGGGUCGGGGCCCAUGCCAGCCCCCUGGCUUCGCCCCUGGUGUUGGGACCCAUGUUUUGUUUUAGUUUCUUUUUUAUUUUUAAAUUUGAUCCUUUCUUCCACUAGGUUUGGUUAUGUUGUGUGUUUGCUUGGAGUUUAUGCAUUUUUUUAAAUAUAAUGCCUAAAAAAAUAAAAUAUGAGAGUAACUUAUAUUAAUAUUCUAAAAAUAAAAGUUUUUAGUUAUCUGUAAAAUUUCACCAUUAUCAAAAUUUUAAAAAUUAAAGUUUUUAAAUACCAAAAAAAAUUCAACACCAUCAAAAUUCAAGACCUAAAAAUUAAAGUUUUUAGAUAAUGAUAAAAUCUCACUACUAUCAAAAUCUUAAAAAUUAAAAUCUCACCUCUAUCAUCAAAUUUUAAAGAUAUAAAAUUAUUAUCAUGCAUUCAUCCAUUUUCAACCUAUUUUUAAACCUUAGUUAAAUUAUGUAAAAUAUUAGUAAAUAAAAUAAAAAAAUCAAAUAAUUUAUUGAUUAUUCAAAACGGCAUAAUAAGUUUCCAUGUUAUUUAAUUUUUUUAGGAAAAAAUGAAAUCCAUUAAUAAGGAAAAGCAUUAAGACAACAAAUAGAUUGAGAAUAUGGACAAACUAAAACCUAAGCCAACAUGCUCACUCCAUAAGCCCGAACCUAUAAUCCGCAUUCUCCAACCAUAUUAUCUUUCAGUUAUAGAAGAAUCUUAUUAAAAGAAAUAAUGAGAAGGCCAUCACAUUCUAUGUGGUUUGCAUAUAACAAAGUUUCUCAAGUUAAGGAAUGAGUCAUCUUUAUGGCUCACCAACGAAUCCAACAAAAAGACAGGUGUUGAAAUUGAUUCUUCAUCACUAAAUUAUUUUUUAUUUAAUUAAUAAUUUAACUAGGAUAAAAUCCAACAUAUUAUUACAAUAAAGAUUAUAUAUAUAUAUAUAUAUAUAUUAGGCUUUUAUAUAUAUUUAAAUAUUUAUUAUAAAUUUAUAUUUUGUAUAUCUGUAACGAUCCAUUUUUUAAUAGUGUCGGAAACGGUAGUUUCGAGGUCACAAAUUCAAUGAGUAAAUCUUUAAAUAUUAAAUAAUAAUAUUUACAGACUUACUCAAUUAUAGCAAUAUAUUUAAAUUUGAAUUGAUUAUUUUUUCUAAGGGAACAAAUAGAUAAGUUCAAAUGGUUUGCCCUUGAAGUCAAGUAGUUUUGAAAAAUGAGGUUUUGGGACCUCUUUUCUUAAACUAAACUCAUAAAUAUUAUUAUUAAAUAUUUACGAAGUUGUUAUAAGGUGCAUUAAAAUUUGGUUAGGAAAUUUCAAUGCUUAGUUAGCUAAUUAAUCGAAAAGGACUAAAUCGUAAAAGUUAUAAAAAGCAAUUGUAAUUAGUUUAAUUGUACUAAAUGGUUAAGGAACCAUGAAUUAAGAGUUUUAAAAGGAAAAUAUACCUUGUUUAUGAUAAUGGACUGUUAGUGGGAUUGUUUUUAAGUAUUUAUAUAUAAAAUUUUAUUUAAUUAAAAUUUAAUACAUGUUUUACAAUAAAACAAAAGUAAAAUAAAAUCAUUUAAUUAUUUUUAUCAUCUUCUUCACUCCUCUUACCACCGAAAUUGAAAUGAAAGAAACACCAUGGUUGAAGCUUUGUUGGGCCAUUGAUAUUUCCUUGCUUGGUAAGCCAUUUUUCAUUGUUGCUUUUUUUUUUCUUUUUCUUUUUAUAAUUUUGAUGUUUUUGAGAUCAUUGUAACUUAAUUUAGUUAACUCAUGGACUACUUUGUGAAACUGCCAAAUAUUUUGAAUUAUACUAGGGAUGAAUUUGUGAUAUUUUUAAAUUUUAAUGAUAGAUUUAUAAGCUUGGUUGUUAAAUAUGAUUUAUCUUGUAAAGUGAUUUUAGUUAAUUUCAAUGUUUGAAUUAACUUAAAACUGGUUACAUUAAUGGUUGAAUUAACUUUUAAUUUUUAAUAUUUUAAAAUUUUUAAAAACUUACUUUAAUUUGAAAUUAACAAACCAAAAGUCAAUGAAAUAAUUAAUUUAAUUAUUGAUCCAAUUUCAAAAAUAUUCAAAAAGAAAGUAUAUUUAGAAAAAAAAAAUCAUUUUAAAAGAUCGAGAAAGAAUUAAGGGUAAUUCUACAUAUUAUAUUAAAAGAAAACUAUUAGUGACGGGGUUCACCAUCCAUCCAUCCAUCCUCACUUGCCAUUCCAUGCCUUAAAAAGUAGAGAAAGAGAAAAAAAUAAUUUUAAAUAGUUGUAGCUUUUUAUAGGUUUUAUAAUAGUUAAAAUUAGUAAGCUUAAAUCUAAAAAUAGCAAAACUAAGUAGGAGAAAAUUUUUAACCAUAUUUAAUAAUCCCUAAUUUUUAGGGAUAAUUUAUUUACUAAAUAUAAAAAUAUGUCAACAUGUAUAUACACCAUAUAAAAUAUAUAUUAAUAGUUAAAAUAUCAUAUCCAGUAUUUUAUAAAAGUAUAGUUACGAAAUGGGAGGUUUUCCCAAGAAAAUAUAACUUUUAAAAUGCCAUACGGAGCAUAGAGUAGGGCGAGUGGGGGACUUUUGGAGCAGAUUUCAAGAGAACAGCUACCCGGCCAGGUGAGAAAAGUAAAGAACAAAUAACAGAGCAGCAGCAGCUAUAUUUGGUAUGGGUUUAUUUUUAGAUUUUAUGUCCUUGGGGGAAUAUUUGCUUUCCAAUCCUUGCUUUUAAUUAUUUUGUAAAAGUUGAAUAAUUUGUCUUUUAGUAUAUUAUCAUUUAAACUUUUGAAUAAAAAGUCCAAUAAAAAAUAAAAAGAUAAAACUUACACAUAUAAUAACACAUAAUUUAAACGAAAUUAAUUUUUAUAUAGAAUGCGAAUAAUUAGUUAAUGAAUUUACUUUAGUUUAAGAAAUAUAUACAUAAAGGAUAAUUUGGACAUUUCAUGAGUAGAUAAAUAUCUGAUUUUUUUUUAAAAAAAAUUGAUUUUUGUUAGGAACAAUAAUAGUCACAUGUUUAAUCUCCACCAUCGACAUUCAUUAAUGGAUAAAAAGGGAAAUCGGAGAUAUUUAUGUAGUAACCAAUAGGAACCGUUGGAUUUAAAUUCCAAGUUUUAAUCCUAGCCUUUGAUUAAAAUAAAAGAGAGGUUUAGUGCAGAAAAGUAAGGAAUUUGUUCAAAAGUUAGCAGGAUAGAAAGCCACCAUUUUUUGUUUCAUUUUUCUUCUUAAUUUCCACCUUAUUUCUCACCCAUUUUGAUUAAUCCAUCCAUCAAAACUUCAUCCACAUGUCGGAGCUUAGUUUGAAGAAAAAGUGGAAGAAAAGGUUAGGGUUAUGAGAUGAAUAAUGAUCAAGUAGACAGAAAAUGGAGGGAAGGGUUAAUUAUCCAUGCAUGUUAUCAUUUUAGCUAUAGAAUAUCAUUUUUUUGUGUAUGUGUGUAUAUAUGUAUAUUAUAUUGAGUUCAUUGUGAAUAUUUUGAAAUAUUGAAUAGAAAGAAGAACGAGAAAGGAAAAAGGAAACAAGGGGAAAGUAAAGUUGGAAGCUUGAAGAAGGAAUUUUAGAGACUUUUUGAGCUAUUUUAAGUUGAAGUUUGGGUAUGUAAUCUAUGAUUUCCAUUUUCUUAAAAUAAUAUUGAAUUUUUUUUGUGUUCAAUUAAUUGCUUGGGAAAUAUUUAUAGAAUGUUAAUUUUAUAGGUUACCAUGGAAAUGAAUAAUAGCUUAAGUUGUGUUUAUGGAGUGAUUUUUGAAUAAUAUAUUAUGUUAUGUGGUGUUUCAAAAGUAUAAGGGUCUUAGAAAUGUGAUUGAUCAUGAUAAGUUUGAUUGAAUAUUAUGUAUGAAUUAUUUAUGUUUGGAUUAAGGUGUUAAUUAUAUAAACCUUGAAAAAAAUUAUGGUUUUGAGAACAUUGAAUAAAUGAAUGAAUUAAUAAAGCUUAAUAUUAAUGUUUUGAUUCACUAGAAAUUACUAUGGAUUCUCUUGUGUAUCCAAUGUGAUACACUUUACUUGGGAUCAUCGAUGAUUCAGGUAAGGGAUGUUGGUAUAAGAAAACUCGGGUUAAUUGUAUAUGCCAAAUUAUGUUAUAAGUACAUGAUCCACUCUUUUGUCAAUUCUAGGUUGAAAGAUGUUAGCAGACUCUUGUAGGGCUGUAAAUGGCGAAGUAAUGAAUCAUGCAUCGGUUGAAGCAGAAGAUAGAGGUCCUGAUCAGGCACAACAACAGGCCCCUACUAGCACUAUUGGGUCAGGUCAAGAGGCUUUUUUCCAGUCUAUGGCUAAUAUGAUUAGGCAGUAAUUGGGGCUAUACCACAAGCACCUUCGGCUCCAGUAAGCUAUAGGUCUCCUCUUGAGAAAAUUCGCAAAUAUGGUGCAGAAGAUUUCAAAGGGAAGGAAGACAAUGGUCCCUCAGCAGCUGAGUAUUGGUUAGAGAACGGGCAAAGGAUUCUGCAGCAGCUACACUGCACACUUGAGGAAAAAUUAGAGUGUGUUGUAUCCUUACUUAAGAAGGAGGCCUACCAAUGGUGGGAUACUGUAUCCCAUAUAGUUCAACCCUCAUAGUUGACUUGGAAGUACUUUCUAGCGGAAUUUUAAAAGAAAUACAUCAAUGAGAUCUAUCUGGAGCAACGAAAGAGAGAAUUUUUGUAUCUUGAGCAGAAUAACAUGACUGUUGCAGAGUACAAGAGGGAAUUUGUAAGAUGUUAAGGAGUUUGUGUCUACAGAAGCUGAUAUAUGUGCUCAGUUUGAGCCUGGUCUUAAUUAUGGGAUUAGGGUAUACCUAAUAGCUCUAAAGAUUCAAGAGUUCUCUACUUUAGUCAAGCGAGCUUUGAAAGUAGAAUAGGUCAUGAAUGAAUAGCAGAAAAAGAAAGAAGUCUGAUGAAAAGAGGUCAGGGACAAACUAGCUCUAUACCAUUCUCACCUAUGAAAAAGUCUAGGGAUUGUUAUGAUGUAUGUUAGUAAUGAAGAAGUUAAGCAGUGUUAGUUAAGUGUUAGUUAGUUUGUUGUUAACAGUUAGUAGUUGUAAAGAUGGUUACCCUACUAUAUUAAAUAUGUAACUUGUUCUCUUAAAUGCAAUGCAAGUCAUACUUUCUUCAUUCUGAGUAUCUUAACAUGGUAUCAAGAGCGCGGGUUCUCUUGGCAUAAAAUUUUUUUCCUCUUUCAUUUCUCUUUUCUUUUGUGCUCAUGGCAACGGAUGGUGUUCCUACUGUUGACUCACCUCGACAGUCUACAAAUGUUGGUGAAGCUGUUCAUUCUCCUGGUUCUGGUACUAUUGUUUCAUCGAGUGUUCAUUAUUUUUCCAAGCAUGAUACUAUCAAGCUCAACGAACAUAAUUUCCUCUUAUGGAAACAUCAGUUGUCGUUAAUUCUUGAAGGUUACGGUUUUAAAGGGUUUGUGUUAGGUACGGUUCCUCCUCCUCCUUCUUUCAUACCCGAUGAUGGUGGUCAACUUGUGGAAAAUCUAGCAUUUUUGGUCCAUAACAAGCAAGAUAAGUUCUUGGCUUACUAGCUUCUACCUAUAGUCAUGGACAACAUUUUAGUUUAUCUGACUGCAGCUAAAACGAGUCUUGAUAUUUGGACAACUAUUAGCAGACGUUUUGGUGCCAAGUCUAGUAUUAAAAUCUCGAGCAUACGUCAUAUUCUAUACUCGAUCAAGAAAUCCAGUCUUUCUGUCAAAGAUUAUCUGUCUAAGGUUAAAAGUCUCAGUGAUAGUUUGACUGUUGCUGAAAGUCUUGUCACUGAACAAUAGCAGGUGAGUAUAAUUUAGCUGGCCUUCCCAUUGAGUUUGAGUCUAUUCGCGUUCUUGCUUCUGCUACUCCCAUGAAUCUUGAAUUAGUUACUGAGAUGCUUUUGGAUUGUGAAGCACGCCAAAUAGCUAUGUUGACUGAUGUACCUUUGCAAGUUAACUUGGUUUCUCAACAAAGCAAACAGAACUCUAUGAAAGCAGGUUCUGACACUAGUCGUGGUUCGCAUCAAGGCCACAGGAAUUCUGGUCGUAGAUGGUCCCGUGGUUGUACUCAUGGUUCUGGUCGAGGGUGGUCACGAUCGAAACCACAGUGUUAAUUGUGUGGUAAAAUAGUACAUAUGGUACAAACUUGUUAUCAUAGGUUUGAUGAAACUUUCUCUGGUCUUGGCUCGAAUUCCUCACCAUCAGUCAAUUAUCAUAAUUUAAAUGAGAAUCAUUCAUCUCACUGUUCAGCAUCUCAGUGUUGUGGAAAUUUUUCACAGUCUUCUACGACUUCUUCAUCAGUUGUUCGAGUACCGCAAGCUUCCUUGCCAACACAGCACUGGUAUCCCGAUUCGGGUGCAACUAAUCAUGUCACCCUAACAAUGGCCACUCUUACUGAUGUCUCUCCCUACACAGGUACAAGCCAAGUAUCCAUGGGGAAUGGUGAGUCUGUUUCCAUUGAUAAUGUAGGCUCUUCAAAUAUUUUGGCUGGUUCUCGAUUGUUACAUCUAAGGGAUGUGUUGCAUGUGCCUACAGUGUGUAAAAAUUUGAUAUUUGUAGGGCAAUUUGCAAAGGAUAAUAAUGUUUAUUUCGAGUUUCAUCCUAUUUUGUGUUUUGUGAAGGAUAUUCAGACAGGGAAGACUCUUCUGGUGGGCUACAUGCACGAUGGCUUAUAUCGGUUUGAUUUUUCUCGAGCUGAUUUGUAUAGGUUUGGUUCUGGUCAUAGAUUGGAUUCUCCACUGCUGUAUAAUGUUCAAGCUCAUUCCUCCCUUGAUCUUUAGCAUAAUAGACUUGGACACCCCUGUUUCAGUGUUCUUACUCGUGUCUUACGUUCUUGUAAUAUUUCAUUCAAAAAUAGUAGUUUGCCUCUUAAUUGUACACCAUGUAAAAUAGGCAAAUCUCAUAAGCUGCCUUUUACUGCUUCAAAAACAGUGUACUCGACUCCUUUUGAAUUAGUAACAUUGGAUGUUUGGGGUUCAUCUCAUGUGUUGUCCAGUGGGUACUCAUAUUAUGUCUCUUUUGUUGAUUUAUAUAGCAGAUUUACAUGGUUGUAUUUUCUAAAGACCAAGUCUAAGGUUCCUCGUUGCUUUUCUCAUUUCUACAAGAUGGUUCAAGUUCAAUUUGGCUAGUUAAUCAAAAUGUUACAGAUCGAUGGGGAGAGAAUUUCGUUCUCUCUCGACUAAACUUGCUCGGCUUGGUAUUCAACACCGAGUCAUGUGUCCCCACACUUAAGAAUAAAAUGGGGUUAUUGAGCGACGACAUCGUCAUAUAGUUGAAAUAGGAUUGACCCUGUUGGCUAAGGCGUCUAUGCCUUUAGAAUUCUGGUCUAAUGCUUUCUCCCAUGCGGUUCAUCUAAUCAACAGGCUCCUCACUCCUGUUUUGCAACAUUUUUCUCCUUAUGAGAAACUGUACAAAGUUCAGCCUGACUAUGCUCAGUUGAAGGUAUUUGGCAGUGUUUGUUUUCCUCAUCAGACCUUUUCAACCGCAUAAGCUACAGUUUCGCUCCAGCAAAUGUGUCUUUCUUGGUUUUGGGUCUCAUAAGAAGGGAUAUAAGUGUCUUGCUGUUGAUGGCAUUGUGUUCAUCUCUCGUCAUGUCAUAUUUGAUGAGCUAGAGUUUUCCUUUCAAACUGGUUUUUCUUCCCCACAAGUUUUGGUUCUGUCAAGUUCAGUCAUCGACAUUCUCGUGUGCUUGUGGUUAUAGUGCCAAGCUUAGGUUCUGGUUUAUCAUGUUCCAGAACAGAUGUUCCUGGUUUAGUUUCAUCUUCUACUUCUCCUGUCUUGAGGUCUCCCUAUUUAGUCUCCUCUCCUAGAGCCGUUUCUACAAAUGUCGCUAUGCCUGCACCUAGUGUGCAAUCUCACCUUCUUCUAAUGUACCAGAUGCUAUCAGUGUGUAACCGUCUUCUCCUGCAAACUAUUACCCUAUGCAGACACGGUCAAAGAGUGGUAUUUUAAACCAAGAGUGUUUUCUUCUAUCUUAGACGAGAAUGAACCUUCCACUAUAGCUUAGGCUUUUCAAAGUUUUGCUUGGACUGCUGCUGCAAAGGCUGAAUAUGGUGCUUUAAUAGCAAAUCGCAUGUGGGAUCUUGUGCUUCUACCUGCUGGUCGUCAGACGGUUGGCUGUAAGUGGAUUUUAAAGAUUAAGCGAUAUGCAGAUGGCUCGAUCGUUAGAUACAAAGGUCGAUUAGUCGUCAAAGGUUAUCUCCAAGAGGUUGGAGUCGAUUUUUAUGAAACUUUCAGCCCUGUUGUCAUGCCAACAACGGUUAGAAUGGUUUUGGCUCUUGCUGUUUCUCGGGGCUGGUCCCUUCGGCAAGUGGACGUCAACAACGCCUUCCUGAAUGGAGACUUGCAUGAAGAGAUAUACUUGACGCAGCCACCUGGGUUUGAACAGCACAGUUGUGAUGGGCAACAACUUGUUUACAGAUUAUGUAAAGCGCUCUAUGGCCUUAAACAAGCCCCUCGAGUUUGGUUUCACAAGUUGAGGGAGUUUUUGUUAACCACUCGGUUUGUAGCUUCUAAAGCUAAUAGCUCACUUUUCAUUCGAUGGAUAGGCACUCAGCUCCUCUAUGUGCUUGUAUAUGUUAAUGAUAUCAUAGUCACUGGUACUGACUCAGGUAGAAUUGAUGAUUUUAUCAAAGCUCUCGAUGAUAACUUCUCUUUGAAAGAUUUGGGACAACUGAGCUAUUUCCUUGGUAUUGAGGUUACUCGCACUCCGCAUGGUGUCUUCUUAAGUCAAAAGAAGUAUAUUCUCGACUUACUACAGCGUGCCUCCAUGGAAAAGUCAAAUUCCUCUCCCACUCCAAUGAUGACUUUAUGCAAACUGUCUGCUCAUACAGGGACUCCUGUUAAAGACGAGCAUCUGUUCAAAAGCAUUAUAGGUGCCUUGCAAUAUGUAGUCAUAACAAGACCUGAUAUUGCUUUUUCAGUUAACAAGGCUUGUUAGUUUAUGCAUAGGCCUUUGGACACCCAUUACAAAGCUGUAAAAAGGAUUCUGAGAUACCUGCGAGGAACGCUGGAUUUUGGUUUACAUUUCACUUGAACCUCAAAGUUACUUCUUGUGGGAUAUUCUGAUGCAAGUUGGGCAUCAGAUACUGAUGAUCACAGGUCGACUUCCGGUUUCUGUGUCUUCUUGGGAGAAAAUCUGAUCUCUUGGAGUAGUAGGAAACAGUCAGUCGUGUCACAUUCCACAGCAGAAGCAGAAUACAGAAGCUUGGCUCAGGUCACUGCUGAAAUGGUAUGGGUUAAGUCGUUACUAUCUGAACUUGGUACUCUAGUUACUCACAAAGGAUUGUUCUGGUGUGAUAGCUCAGCUACAAUUGCUAUAGCUAACAUCCCUGUGAUGCAUUCCAAGUUUAAACAUAUGGAGUUGGAUUCGUUUUUUUGUCAGAGAAAGGGUUGCGGAUGGUUCUUUUCAGAUUGGUCAUAUAUCUGGCCAAAAUCAAAUUGCAGAUAUAUUGACUAAGCCUCUAUCAGUUGGCUUAUUUGAAAGAUUCAGGAACAAGCUUCGAGUUAUUUCCAAAGGAGAAGAGAGUGCACCAGAAGGAAGAGGUUGAUAGGGGCAUGUUAUGAUGUAUGUUAGUAAUGAAGAAGUUAAGCAGUGUUAGUUAAGUGUUAGUUAGUCUGUUGUUAACAAUUAGUAGUUGUAAAGAUGGUUACCCUACUGUAUUAAAUAUGUAACUUGUUCUCUUGAAUGCAAUGCAAGUCAUACUUUCUUCAUUCUGAGUAUCUUGACAGGGAUUCUCGAGGUACGAUAUAUUCUACACCAAUUUCCACUUAGAGAUAUGAUCAGAGACCAAGUUUGGGUUCGACAAUUACGCCUCGACAGCAAGCAACAUCUGUAGCUAGUAAAGGAGGAUCGAGGGGAAGAUCAUUUCUCCCGGUCUGUAGAACUGUUUUAAAUGUGACUCUAAGGAUCACAUCCUUAGAGAUUGUCCUAAGAAACAGUUUCUGAAUAAACUAGCAAUGUAAAUCAAAACUUAAAUAAUCAGACAAUUUCAGCUUGUAAAUUCAUCCUUUUUAAGACUCAAAUGAUAUUUUAUAUUUUUCAUUUAAUUUCUUUCUAAAUAUGUAAUAAUUAUAAAAUAUUAAUUUUGCUUCUAUAUUUAAUUAAAGGGCACAUAGAGUUUAUCAAAACACAUCAUAUGAUAGUUUAUAUUAUGUCAAUGAUGAUAUUGGCAUUCAUCAGAUUAAAAAUUUUAAAUAUAUAUAUAUAAAUGCUAAAAAAUAGUUAAACAUUUUAGAAAAUUUCAAAAAGUAAUAUAAAAUAUUAUUUAAUAAUAAAAACAUAUACUAAUAUAAAUUUUUUUAUUUUUCAAUAUUAAAAAAAUAAUUUGACUUUCAUGAAUUAGUUGGAACCAAAAAAAAAUAUGAACAAAUAAAAUAAAAAACUUUUAAGUUCCAUCAACUACUCCAAUAUAGAGAUAUCCAAUAUCCAUGGCUUGUAGCUGGUCGAGUCGUGGUUUGAUUUCAAAAAAAAAAAAUUGAUCUAAGCUUAUUUUUGAGUUGGCUCAAUUUAUUAGCUCAUUUUAUUGUUCACAUAUCAAUAAUAUAUUUUUUUAUUAAUAUUGGUAUAUUUAAAUUUAAAUUUAAGUCGAAUUAAACUAAUUUAAAAUAUGAAAAUCUUUAUCUAGACCCAAUGUAAUCUAGGUUAGGGUUGAGCAAAGAAAUUGAGAAAUCGGUUCGAACCUAUGUAUUUGGCUUGAUUCUAGCUUUGUAAUGUUUGGUUCAGUUUCAGGUUGAUUUUAUCACCCAAACUGUACAAUUCGGUUCGAGUUCAAUUUUUCUACAUGAAACUCGUUUAUCCAAAUCAAAUCGAAUGAAAAAAUCUAUAUUUAAAGAAAUAGUCCUAAUAGAAUAAUAAAUUGAUCAUUUCAAUGUCUAUAUGGACUAAUUCAUUUAACUGAAUUAUUAUUAUUAUUAUUAUUAUUAUUAAAAACUAGAUAUGAUCAUAGAAAAAGUUAAAGUUAUAGAAAUAUCUCAUAAAAAAGUUAUGAAAGUGUAAUUUUUUAAAUAUAAUAAUCAUAAUUAUAAUUUUAAAAAAGUAAUUUAUUAAAAUUUAUAACAUUUUAUUUAUAAAAUAAAUAAUUAUACACAAGUUACCAUUUUUAUAUAUUUGAUAAUUAUGAAUUUAAUCAAUUAUAUUGGCAUAUUGUAACGACUCAUUUAUUUUAAGUAUAGAAUGACUCAAUUAUAACUAAUUAAAGUUAGUAACCAAUUAAAAGAAAUGACACAACAAAACAUUAGGUAUAGGAAUGAUUUAUGUAUUAACUUUUCUUUUAAUAACUUAAAAUUAUUUAUAAACUUAAUAGCUCAACUUAAAAUGAUUUUUAAAUGAUCUUAUGGAUAAUUAUAAUAUUAAUUUAAUUAUUUAUAAAUAUAUUAAUGAAUCUAAAGCAUGUGUUAUAAAUAUUAUAAAAAAUAAAAAAAUAAAAAUUGGACUCAAAAUAAAGUGACUUUUUUUUGACAAGCUGAAUUGAACCAAACUGCAAUUUUCGAUUUCAGAUACUUCAAUUUUUAUUUCAAAUUAAUUCAAUUUCAGUUUAAAAAAUUAAAAACCGAAUAAAAUGAUUCGGUUUAAUUUUUGUUUUAAAAACUGAAUCGAACCGAUUACACUUCUGUCUAAUAGAGUGAAAGUUUUAUUUAACUCGUGUGGGGUUUAAAAGCGUGGGAGUGCUUGCAUCAUAUGUGACGGAAUGCUUGUGUAAGCAGCCACCAACAGUAGCAUUGUGACACGAAGACAGCAAAUCAUAGUGGAAAAAGCUAAUAAAUUUGUCUCCAAAAGCCUAAAGGGGAGAACUGAGGGCCUAAAAGGAUGUAAAAACAUUGCUUCAUACUGUCUCUUACCCCACCAAAGCCUUACACAGUGCUCUUUGGGCUCCACCCUCACCCUCCCACGUGACCAUCUCAAACCCAAAAAGAUUUACCACUCAUUUUCUUUUCCUUCUCAAAGUGCACACAUUUUCCAUGCUAUUGAUCUCAACUGUCGACACAUGAAAACUAUAGAAACAAAAAAUAUUAUGAAAGUCUUAAAUUACAUUUUACUUUAUUUUCUUAAAAAAUAGAUAAAUUAAUCUUAUACAUAAAAUAAAAGAAUAAACAGGCCAUUUUAAUAAAUAUUUCAUCUAUUUUUAUUGUCAAAAAUUAAUCUCUAUACUCUAACAUGUGUAAUUAUUUAAUUAUUUCAUUAAUUACGUUAAUUUUUUAAUAAUAAAAACUUUUAAAAAAGUUAUUUUUCUUUAAUCUAACGUAUAUAUUAAUUUGUCCAUUUAUACAUAAAAAAAUAUUUAUAAUACUUUUACCUUAAUAAUAAAUUUAUUAUUAUUGAGUUGAAUUAAAUUUUAUAAUUAAUAAAAACAUUAAAAUAACUUUUUUUCAUUUAAAAAUUGAAUUUUACUCUACAUGUCAAACACAUUGUAUUUUGAGGAAAUAAGAGAUGUUUUCCCAACAUAAUUUGUGGCUGUCCUCGGGGGAUGUUCCGGUCCACGCACUAUCCUCAGACAAGUCCACUUACUUGGAAAUGUAAUUGCAGACGAUAUUUUUCCAUGUUUUUUUUUUUCUGUUCUUUUGGAUUCGGUGCUAAAAUUAGCAAAAUUCCAGAAAUUAUACACUACCCACAAAUAUAUAUAUGUAGAAUACUUGCUAUAAUAAUAUUCCAUUUUCCCUACAAACACAUAUUAAUGCCAUGAUUCUACAUUUGGAUUUAAGAAAAAGCUUUUUUUUUUCUUUUUGUAUAAAUGGAAUUAAUUAACCCUAAAGGAUAUAUCUCAAAGGGGGGCAUCUAAUCUGGCAAGCUAAUUUCAUCCAGAUCAUCCAAUGAUAGAAACACUUCAUCCAAGCACGACAGCUCUGUUCCAUCAUCUUCUUCUUCACUACAAUUUCUUUCAUAUACUCGACAAACCACCCAUUUGCUAUAAUCCUAUAACAUAGGUCAAUAAAGCAAUAAUAUUUAAUAAAAAAAUACAGCACUAAAUAUUUAAUAAUCACAAUGCUUAAUUACGAAUCACUGAAUGUUUAAAGUUAUUUUUAAAAUAAAUCAUAAAAUUUUAUAUCUCGUCAAAAAAAUAAAAUAUAUACACGUAUAUAUCAAAUUCAUCUUAUUUUACCUAAAAAAGUAUCGCAUAUUAUGAUUUGAUUGGUUGAUAUCGUGUUUUAAAGUGAAAUAAAAUGACAUUAAUGCAACAUUUUUACUUAAAAAACUUUAAGUACUAGGUGAGGAAAGUGAUAUAAAUUUAGUCUAUUACUUUGAAUAUCAAAAUUUUAAUCUAUAUUUUUUUAUAAUUGAAGUUCAAUUGAUAACAUUGUUAAUGUAUUUGAUUACUUAUCAUUUUCAAAAAAAAAAAAAAUUCCGCAUGUGAAUAUUAGUCACGCAAGCAAAUUUUUUGGUUUAAAAAAUGCCACAUAAUUCAAAUUAAAAGAUGUAUUUUAGCAACGUUAUCAAUCAAACUUUAAUUAUUAAAUAAAAAGAAUAGAGGGAGUAGAAGAUCCAUGAGAAAAAUUAAACCAACGAAUGAGUGCAGGGUACUAACAAUUUUGGAAUGUCCUCCUCUACGUUUGGAUGAUCGACUACUGGAGCUGGAAUCAGAAUCGGAGAGACGAUAUUCUUGCAUUAUCCAAUUGGUUUUGAUACCGGCGGGACCCGAUUCCCCAAUGUAGAAAACGAAGUAUUUUUUCAUCCCAACUUUCUUGCUGCUAUUGCUAUUAACCACAGGCUCAUCUAUUCCCAUUGGCUUCCAGUACCCUUUGCUGGUGUUCCUGUUUUGCGUCCUCCUGCUGUAGUAGUACCACUGGUUCCCCUCUCCCAAUGCUUUACCUACGUUUCAUUUCCACCAUAUCUGUUAAAGGAACAAAAGGAAGGUAAUAUAUAUAUUUAUAUUUAGAGAGAGAGAGAGAGAGAGAUAAUACCAUCAAGUUCCCAGGGAUCAUAUGGAUAGAGGUCAAGAUCAGGGAUGACAUCAGGGUGGCAAGGCAAGAGGGCGGCCUUACGUUGAAGGAAAUGAGCCACUAGCUCUUCAUCUGUUGGAUAGAAUCUGAACCCCGGUGGAAGAUUAACAUUGCGAUUAUCUCCCAUAUCUAUACAAACAACACGAAUAAGAUGAAGGGAAGAAUAGUGAAGAAGGAUUUGUAGUGGGGUGAUAUUUAUAGUGUGGGUGAGGAUUAACUAUUAAAGAGAGAGAGAGGGGGGGGGGGAGGAAUGCAGAUUAAAACAAAUGAAAGAGAAGAAGAGAGAAAGUGACGUGAAAAGGAAGGUGGGCUUCAUCAUAAAUCACGAAUGAGCAAGUUUAUGAUUUAUUUAGGUGCUUUCUCUCUCUCUCUCUCUCUCUCAACUCUUAAGCUUUCUCCCAUGGCGGCGGCUAACGGAACGCUGUGUAUACUUCCAAGUAACGAUAUCUGCUAUGUUAGCUAUAAGAUAGGCAUCCAAAUGGAACCGAAUCAAACAUAUUUUAUUUCAUACGUGGCAGAUUUUGCCUCUAAACAUAUACAACUCACACGCCAGACAUACGCACACAUGUUAUAUUACUGCACAUAGAAUAAAUUUAUACAUCAAUUUCGUGUUUUUCGUAUUGAUUUGUAACAUUAAUUCGAUGGGAGAAGAGAUGAAUGGUAUAGGCAAAUUUAGGAAAUGGGUUGGGGGCAUCAUCAUACUUCAUGCUUAUAUCACGCAUCUGCUAUCAUACACGUGGCAUACAUGAAAAUGGGUUUGGUCGUGGACCAUAAAUAAAAACAUUAAUGGACCCACAACUUGGUUUAGGAGUGUGGCUAUGUACCAAUAAUAAUAAUUAACAUAAUUAUUCAUACAAGUAAAUGACUCCUUUGGCAUGCCUUUAUUUUAUUCUUCUUCUUAUGCAUCUCUCCGACAACCCAAGAAAACAGCAAUCAAUUGUUUAAGAACACAAAAAUAAAUGAUUAAAAUUUUAAAAAAAGAGAGCUCUAAAUGUAAACAGCAAUCAACCAAUUCCUUAGGAAGGGAGUGAGUUGAACUGAUAUUGUAUGGGGUCAGAAAUACAUAGUCCCCACAUUUAUUUUUUUUUACAUAAAUUAAUAAUUAACCAAUUAUUAAAUCUUAGAAAAUAAAACAAGCUGAAGAAAUGAGGUGAAAAAUGGUGCUACCUUUGCUUAUAUAUUACUUUUCCCAAUUCCAUGUGAAAACUUUAAGACAAGUACUUAUUAUUAUGCAUCCAUCACCCCCACUUGAGGAAGAGCAAAAAGAGUUGGGUUUUUGCACCAAAUUAACACUCAUUUUUUUCUAACUCAUUCUGACUAAGAUAGUUGACUAAACAAAAACCAAUACAAAUAUUGACCUAAAGUCUAAAGUGAAUGUUUGCUUUUUAAUUACCAUUCCACCCGUUGAACUGCUUUCUUUAGUCAAGUUCUAUGUUUUAUGGCAAAAUUUCUUUUAGAUUUUUUUUUCCACUAAAAUGAUCAUAAAAUGUCUAAAUGUAAUGUAUAAUUUUAUAUUUAAUAAUGAGGUGAAGUAGUGACCAAAUGAGAAAUUUUUUUAAGGGUACAAAUAAUAUAUUAUAUUAAUAUCUUUAAAAGUAAAAAUAAAGUUAAUAAAUAUCAUAAUGAAUAAAAUUAAGUUUGAAAAAAAAUUAAAAAUUAUUUAAAUUUCACUCUUCACCAAAAUCGUCAAUUAUUUAAUCUACAUUAAAAGUUUCCGCAAUUUCUUUCUCAAUUUAGACAACUAAAGAAUUUUUCAAAACAUCAUCUUCCAUCUUAGUACAAAGUUUAGUCUUCACAGUUUUCAUAGCUGAAAAAACAUGUUCUAUAAAUGCAAUUGAAACUGAAAGAGUCAAUAUAAGAUGAAUCAACUUAUCAACAAGUGGAUAGUUAAUUGACUUCUCACUCUCAACUAAUUUUUUACAAAGAUCAAAAAGUGUUAAUAUUUUUCUCAAUUCAGUAUAUGGACAAGCAUCGAGCUCAUAAUGUUUCAACUCAUACGAAAGACGCUCUUUCUCUUGUUGAGAAAAAUCUGCUGAAUAGAACUUGUUUACGAGAGCACAAAUUUUCUCAAUGCCAAAGAACUUGAAGAAUUCUUUAGGAUCUAAAGCUACAGUUUCAUUAAAUCUAUUGUUCAAUUCUAGCAACUAAGUAUCUAUCAUAGCAAAAUAUAUAUCCACUCGAUGAUGGUGCUCCACCAUAACAUCUUCCUUCUUGCUACGGCUAUGACCUACGAUGUUUCGAGCAUUUGUAUCUGGAACAUCCAACUCCCAAGUUUUAUGAAAAGAUAUCACAUUGUUCAACAGUUCAUCCUAUCCAUUUUCUCUCAACUUUUGAAUUAAAUAUUUUGUUGUUGAGACUAGACUCAUGACAUUUAAUAUAUCUUGAGAAUGACGUUGUAAAGCUUAACAAAGUGUAUCAGUAAUCCCCAUAACUUCUUUCAUCACAUGCAAAAUAAAAAUAACCUCGAAAGAUCUCAAUCUGUUAUAUGCACUAUGAACAUCUCAUGAAGCAGUAUUUUUAAGGUUUUCAAGAACUAUGCUAGUUGCAUUAUACAUCGUCAAUAAACUAGUAACUAAGUUCAAGUGAAACUCCAUCAAGUCUCACCAGGACAUUGUAAAGUGCCAAUUUGAUUCAUACAUAUUCCAGUUUUUAACUUAUUUAUGGAAACCAUACAAGCAAUUUCAUUUGCUUGGGCUUUCUGCAAUUCAUCAUGAUGUUUGGAAGAAGUAGAAGCCAUAUUAAUAAUAUCAGACAAUUCUUUAAAGAAUUGAUGCACUUUAGCCACUUUUUUAGUUACUACAACCAAUGCUAACUAAAGACGAUAAGCAAAACAAUGAACAUAAUAAGCAUAUUGACACUCAUUCAGAAUCAAAGUUUGCAAACCAUUCAAUUCCCCACGCAUCUUGCUUGCUCCAUCAUAUUCUUGACUUUGGAGAUUUUGUAUGUCAAAACCACGCUACAAGAGAACAUUAAAAAUCUCAUUUUUCAAAGUUAAUGCUAUAAUAUCUUUAACAGGGACAACGUCAAAAAAUAGCUUUUUUAUCAAUCCUUCCUAGCUAGUUAACAAAUCUUGAAACAAUUUCCAUUUGCUUCCUUUUUGACUCAUCUCUUGCUUCGUUUGCAAUAAUACAAAAUUUUCAGUCACCAAUUUCUUCACGAACUGCGUCACCAACUCUACUAGCAUAAAUUUGUAUUAUUUUCUUUUGUAUUGUUGAAGAAGUAUAUGUAGCAUUUUGUGGAGAAAAUUUUAAAACAUCUUCAACUUUCUUAUCAUAAGAUGCUAAAAAGGUUAGCAAUUCAAGGAAGUUUCCACAACUUUUUUUAUGCUAAGCUUUCAUCACAACCUUCAAAGGCAUAAUCCUAAAACGUCAACCAUCAAACAACAUUUACACUAGCUUUAAGACGGAGACGAUUAGUUGCAAUUUGUUGUGUUGUUUGCCUAUUAAGUGAUGCUUUAAUAUGUUGAGCUUGAUUCAUUAAAUCAGCCUAAACUCUUUGUGCAUUGUUAUGAGGUGAACUUAGAUCUUUUCUGACAUAUUGCGUCCUUUAUGUACGUUUUCUCAUUUAUUAAAACCAUUAUAAAUAAAUGCUAAUUUAACCAAACAAUAAAACUACAUCUACAAAACUUGGAGAAAAAUAAAUAAUUAUAUUUACACCCAAUCAAUUUUAAUGAAACUACUUAAUGAAAUACUUUUAGUUUUACUCUUUAAAUCUCUGAUUUUCCAUAAAUAUAAGCUUUUAAGGAGUAGGGCUUACAAAUAAUUUAAUUUAUUAAAUUUUAAUUAUUAAGAUUUAGUGCUGGUUCUCAAAAAAAAAAGGUGUUGUGGUAAAAAAAACUUAAAUUUGAGGUGCCUCAGCUUCGUUUCUGGGUAAAACUAGAUAAUUUUUUAGAGUAGAAAUUAAAUUAUAAUUCUUUUACGAGAGUUAAAAUGUAUUUAUUUUAAAAAUAAUUAAUAUAAAUAGUCAUCUAAUUAUCAAUUUUUUUUAUUUUAGGCAUAAAAAAGCUUAUAAUUUAAACACCCACAUUACAUAAUUCGGUUAUUUUGGUCAUUCCCGUUAAAGUCAUAAAUGGCAAUAUGACGUGACAAUUAAAAAAAUCGGUAUAAUAACAAGUAUAGCCCUUAAUUUUUACCUAUUAUAUCGAUGUAAUUAUAAUUUUAAAAAAUUAACUCUCAAAAGUUACAAAUGUUCUCAAUUUAAUCCUAAUUUAAGUUUGGAUUCCCAUUCGAUCAAUGUUGGUGGGGGAGGGGAGAGGGACCGGGGUGGAGGAUUUUAAAAUUAGGAUCAAGUUGAGAACAUUUAUAAAAUUUGAGGGCUAAUUUUUUAAAAUUAUAACUAAAUCGAUAUAAUAUGUAAAAGCUAAGAGCUAAAUUUAUUAUUAUACUGAUUUUUAACUGUCACGUCAACUUACCUUUUGUGUUUAAAUUGCAAACUUUUUAUUUUUUGUGCCUAAAAUGAAUUUUUUUUUAUAGUUAAAUGACUAUUUGUAUAGUUUAUAUUUUUUUUAAUUAUAAACUUCUAGCUUUAUAAAUUUUUUUUAAAAAAAAUAAAUUAUAAUUUUAUUAUUUUAGACGAUAAUUUUAUCGUAUAUUAACUUAUAUUUUUUUUCAAAUUUUAGGGAGAUUAAAGAAUAACCUUUUCCAUUUUAGAGAGCAAUUGCUCUGUAGCUUCCCCUUGCUUAAGUCAUAUUUGAACUAUUUCUUUAAAUGAGGAAAAUAUCACUAAUGCUUAGUGGCAUUAAUUAGGCCAUAUCUAUGUCUAUAACUAUAUCUAUAUCUAUUAAAAUAAGUAUAAUUUAUCAACGCAUCACUUUUGCUAGAAUUGAAUAAAAAAGCUGGGAAAAUAUUAUCCCAAAGUUAUACAAAAUUUAUUUUUAAUUUAUAAUCUCUUCAAACCCUAAAAUAAAUAUAUAUGUAUAAAUAUAUCUGAACCUAAGUUGUUUUUAUUAUUAUAAAUCGUAAUAAUAUCAAUUAAAUUAAAAUUUAAUUAAUAUAAAAUGUCUUAAAAAAAUGUAUUUAUAUAUUUAGGGUAGAUUGGAAGAGGAGAUUGAUACCAUUUUUGUGGGGGAUAUAAUGAGACAAGGACUGAGGAGUUGAAGCAAGGAGAAAGACCCCGUAGCAUAGAAUAGCACAAUCUUUUGGUCCUCACUCAUGUAUAAGAAAGCUACGGGUGGGGUUGCAGAUCAACAAGAACAAAAAUUGAAUCCCCAAAAAUUAAAAAAAUAAAAAUAAAAGAGAAUACAGUUGCUUGGUGUUGGGUCAUAUAUAUAAAAGGUCAUCGGAUGACAGUCCCAACCGAAGCAAUGCCAGCCGCUGUCCUACCGCACCAAUAUUUCUCAUCUAAAUCACUUCGUCUUAUCCAUCGGUUUUCACUUUUCACACUACUCACCUUCUUUAUUAUUGCUGCUGCUGCUGCUGCUGUUGCUGUAGAUAUCUAUUUACAAUUUUACACGUGUCAUUGCUGUGAACCAAACUUGAUUGAUCAUUAUCUUUGUUUUUUUUGUGUGUGAAAUGAAGGGCAAACAGUCGAAUGUUUUGUCUAAUUAUAUAAGUUAUAGGAUUAAGAAGAUGGUUCCAAUAAUUAUUAGAUGAUGUGGAAGAUGAUAUUAAUGAUGAUGUUGAUGAGGUUAUUUAAUUUAAUUACUUUAUGAUAAGAUUUAUGUGUAGAUAGUUUUCAUAUUAUAGUAGGUAUAGAUUCGGGAGAAGACAAUAUUAUAUACAAACUUGAAUAACCCUAAUAAUUGAUUAUGUAAGUCACCUAGGAGAAAUUUUGUGUUUAAUCAAUACACAGCUAAUUAAUUUUCUUUUUAGUUCCAUAAUCGGUCCAAUGUCUUAUUUCAUUUUAAUUUGUUAAAAUGUAGAAUUUUUCAAUAAUGAUAAUUAUUAUUAUCAAAUCAAGUUGCCUAGCCAACAUGACCAAUACUUAUAACAUUUUUUAUCCACUUGGCUUUUUUAUUUUUAAUGAAUUAUAAAUCUACCAAAUUUUCCUGGCCAUUCAAUAUAUGUAAGGUAAUAUGAAGGUAAGUUCCAAAGCUAAUUAUUAGCAUGGAUUUGGGUGAUGGAUUGGGCACUGUUACAUUAGAUUAGAUUCAAAUCAUACAUCUUCACCACUUCAAGUCCAUUAAUGAAUUUUCUUGGGUCCCCCCUUCUUCUUUUACAUCAAGCAGGAAAAUCUUUAUAAAUAUAAUUUAAUUAAAUGCAAAAAUCCAUAGUAAAAGAACAAUGCUUCAUAUUUAGUGUAAGUGAUUUUUAAGAAUUAAAAGGGCAGGUCUCAUGUGUUUGGAGAAAAAAAAGCAAAAUUAUUGUUGUAAACCGUAUUGGGUUUAGUGGGUCACCUUUUUUAUGAGGCAUUUUUGUAUGGAUAUGACAAUUUGCUGUUAACCCAUCAUCAUUGAAAAUCACAGGUAAUGGAAAUGGGAAGUAACUAAGAAAGAGAGAAGGAAAAUAUCAAUCCAAACUCAUAAAAAGCAAUAUAUACACUAGCUUUGAACACCAUAUAUAAACAAUUAUAAAAAUAAACAAAAAGCUAACACAUAAAAUAUCAACGUACUAGAAAUUAGUAUAUGUACAAGAAGAAGAAGAAAAUGAAUACACCAAUUAUGAAAGGGGGAUUAAGGAGAGCCGUAAAAUGGGGUUGAAUAAGAGGCGUGUUAACCUUUGGAAGUGGAUUGCUUUUGGGUUGAUGACUGCAUAUUUAUGUCAUGCAUCUCUCUUUCACUUACUUCAAAUUGUGAGCUAGGAUAGAUUUUGUGCUCCACUUUUCAAUGCUUUGACUCCAAGAAGAAGAACAAAAUGAGAGUAGAAAAACCCUAAAAUUUGAAAAGAUUUAGACGUUUGAAAAAAACAAAUAUUUAAAAUAUAUAAGUUUAAUUUGAACUUAAAUAUUAACGAUUCAAAUUAAUGGAUAUUACCUUUAUCAUCACUAUCAUCUGUUAAGUUUAGCAAUAAAAAAAUAACAAUUUGAAUUUGAAUUUUAUAAUUUUAUCUUCUAUUACUCUAAAUUUAAUGUAAUUAUCUAAUAAAAAAUUGAGGUGAAUCAACUUUUAUCAUCUCCACUAUAACCUCUCUCUUUUUUUAUGCUUAAAAACUUUGGUCACUUUAUUACCUAAAUUAUAAUAAUUCUGAGUAGGAUUUGGUCAUAUGCAACAAAUGAAAGAUGAGUUGAUCAUAGUAGAAGUGAAAAGAAAAUAGAGACUAUUGAAAGAGAGAAAUUGAAGUACUGAGCCCAAGGAAGUAUUUUUAAAAGGAAUUUGAAGUGACAUUAAAAACAUCAUGUUUGGUAAUGGUAUAAAAUUGAUGGCAUGUCACAUCUUCAUUCUUAGUUGGCAUGAAUUCAUGAUUAGCAUGCGCUGUUAGAUUACUAAUCUAUUUUGUUUUUUCCCAUUUUUCCUUUUUUCAUUAGAUUGAUUGAUUUUAUGGGUUGUUUUGGCAUGAUUUAAAAUACAAGGAAAACAUUGGGAAGUUAAGAUAUACAUGAAAGAUUUAUUUAAUAAAUAUAAAAAUAGUUGGAUAUUAAAAUUUUCAAUCGAUUUCUUUGUGGUGGUUCGAUUAGUAUAGAAAUCUAAUUAUAUUGUUUUUUAGAGAUAAAUAUCAUAUUUAUUUAAGAGUGUUUUGAAGCAGUGGGAAGAUUGAUUUAUAAAUGUUGCAUGUGAUAAAUAUUUAAGAUUAUUAAUGGGAUAAUUUCAGCUUUUAAAUAGAAGUUCAAAGCCUGUUAAAACAUUAUUGAUUGACCAUUUGAAAAGGCCUAUAAAUAGGUUAUUUUGUGCCACACAUUAAGAGCAGUUUUUGGAGUGUCUUUAUUGACAACUUUGUUGUGUUCUUGUAGUUAUUUUGUGACACUUUUUCAAGCAUUCUUUGAAGAGUUUGUUGAUUGUAUCGUGAGGUAUUUGGAUGGGUGAUUUAUGAUGAUUGAGGUCAGUUUUAGGGUUACAAUUACUUUUUUUAAAUUAUUUGUUGACAUAGCAUAUAAGAUAAAUAGUGUUAUGUCAGCAUGAAAUACAAGUGGAUUGCUAUGCAGAUUGUCACAUAGCAUGCAUUGUUAAAAAAUUAAUAUUUUCAUUUAAAAAGCAAUUUAAGUCUUUUUGACAGUUUGAUAGCCAAAAUUAAUUAAAAAAUAAAAAUUAAAUUGACAAAAAAUGUAAAUUUUAAAGUCUAAAUCUAUCAUUAUUCUAAUUAAUUAUUUAAUUUUUAUUUAUUAAAAAUACAGUCAAAUUUUCAAAUAGUUUUCAACCUUGUAUGACAAUUUUGAAAAAUUCUAUUUUUAUUUAAAACAGCUCAACUGGUAAAAAUAAUAAUUGAUAUUAAAAAACCAAUGUAGAUAUAUUAAAAUAAUAUAUUGAAAUGAAAGCAAAAUUAAAGCAUAUUAUUCCAUUAUUAUAUAUCAAGCAUAACACGCUCGACUUAUAUUCUUUUAAUUAUAGGUUACAUAUUUUGAUGAACAAAAUGCGCACACACACACACACAUAUAUAUUAAAAAAAUUAUCCUUCCAUCCCAUUUUGUUGUUGAUUUGUUAAUUAUGAAAAAAAAAAGUAGAAUAAUUUUUUAGCAUUAAAUAUUUACAAUUUUUGUUAAUUUGAUAUUUACUUUUUAAAAUGACAUAAAAAUUGUAAAAUUAUUUUUUUACUUUAUAUUAAAAAAUAUAAAUAAUUUAAAACAUUAUAAAUUUCAAAAAAAUCAAAUAUUAAGAAAAAUUUUUAAAAAAAUUUAAAAAAUAAUACACUGAUAUAUUAUUUACUCCUUAAAUAGUAAAUAGAAUUGUUCAACUUGACUCACUUUCGAUUGAGCUUGAACUUAUAUUUUUAACAUUAAAUUGAACCAAACUGGUUAAUUUUAUUUUUAAUAAUAAAUAUAAAAAAUUAAUAUUAAUAUUAAUUUAUUUUUACAAUUAAAUUUAAAUGAAAAAUUGUUAUUAUUUUUAAAUAGUGAAUUAUGUCAUUUGAAUGCAACAGGCUCAAGCUUAGACUCAUCAACACUUCUUAUGAUAAUAAAAUCUUUUCCAAUUUAAUCUAUUCAUUCAAUUAAUUCAUAUUAAAUCAUAUUUGAUAAAAUAUUUUAAUUUAAUUCAAAUUAUUUAUAUAUUAAAAAUAUUUUUAUUUAAAUGUAACUAAAAAUAUAUAAAAUAUUAUUAUAAAAUAAUUUUUAAAUAAUGAUUUAAACUUUAAACUUAUUUAAAUUGAAUUUAAUAUAAAAUUUUGAAUAAACUAUAAAAAUAGCCAUUUAUAUAUGGAUUAAAUUACAUUUUGGUCAUUGAACUUUAAUUUGUUACAUUCUAAUCACUAAUAAUAUAAUUUUGUAACAUUUUGAUCAUUGUGCCGCUAUUCGACUUUAGUAGUGUAAUGAAACUUUGACGACACAAAUUGUGUCAUUCAACAUGACGUAUUAUAUAUGUCAUUACCACAAAUUUAAUUACAUUUUUUAAAAGUAACCUUUUUUUAUUUUUUUACACUUUAUUUCCUUUUUCAUUAUUUCAUAUUCUUUCCAUUUUUUUCAUUGUUCUAUUGUCUCUCCUAAUUCACCCUCUCUUUAACGCACUUCUUCUCUCAAGCUUCAUCCACACUUUUUAAUGGAUAUAAUUAGGGGUGUGCAUAAUUCGGGUAAAACCGAAAAAAUUCGGUUAACCGACCGAAUUCGGUUAAUCGGUCGGUUAACCGAAUUUUUUCGGUCGGGGGUCGGUUAACUUUUUUAUGAUUUUCGGUUAACGGUUAAUUCGGUUCGAAACCGGUCGGUUAACCGAAAAUUUUCGGUUAACCGAAAAAAUUAAUAAAUAAAAUUAUCCAACCCAACCCAAACUCAAUUACCCAACCCAAUAAAACUAAAACUAAAGUUUACCCAAUUACCAAAUCCAAUAAAACUAAAACUAAAAGACAACCCAAUUUACUAAAGUCUAAAACCCAAUUUACUUUAAUAAUUUAUAAAUUUUUUAAAUUUUAAAAAUAAAAAAUAAAAAAAAUUCGGGUAUUUUUCGGUAAUUCGGUUAAUUCGGUUAAUUCGGGUAAUUCGGGUAAUUUUUAACCAAAAAUAAAAAAUACAUAAUUUUCGGUUAAUUCGGUUAACCGACCUUAUUAACCGAAAAAAUUUCGGUUCGGUUAAAUUUUUAAAAAAAAAAAAUCGGUUCGGUUAACGGUUAAAAUUUUUGGAAGGUCGGUUAAUUCGGUUAUAGUAAUUUCGGGUCGGUUAACCGAAUGAACACCCCUAGAUAUAAUUGAAAGAGUUGAUUAAAUAUAAAUUUUAAAAAAUAAAUCUCAUAUUUUUUCUUGAAGCUAUAAAAAAUAUUGGAUUUAAUAAAUUCCUCAUCAUCUAUCAAAUCAAACAUGAGAAAAAUAAAAUAAUGGCAGAUUUAUCAUAGCAACAGUCACAAGCCCAACUUGAAUUUGCAACAAAAUUCUCCAAUAUAAAAUACUAGCAAACCUCUCAAACAGUAUCACUUUCACCACUAGCUUUCAGUCUCAUUCAAGGCACCCCAACAACAUCAUUCACUUAUCAAAUAAACUUAUAUUCAAAUCAAUCAAAUAGUCAAGCAAACAACAAUCGAUAAGCACAAAAAAGAAACCCAUAUUAAGCCUAAGAUCAGAUUUCUAAUAAAGAAAAAUGUGUCAAAAAUAGAAGAGAACAUCAAAGAAAAAAAAUAGGGGGUCAAAUUCAGGGCAAGGGGUUGGAGGUACUACUAAGACUUGCUUGCCAAUCCCAGCAAUCGGAAAGAGGUACUGGUGAGGCGGAACACGUAUAAAAAAAUGAGCCGAUUUAACAACAGAUGAUGGAGAUCCGAGCUUGGGUAAUUCAAAAGUUAUGUUUUAUAUCUAAGGAUUUUUAAUGAGUUUUGAAGAAAAUUUAUUGGAGAUUUGUGAACAGGCAAUCGAGGGAGCAGUUCAGCGUAUGUUCGUCGGGGGCAAUGCGGUGACGGCAUUGGAACAGGCAGCCAGUGAUCGUGAAUGAAGCUUUGAGGAAGGGAGAGUGUUCUAGAAAACAAUGAUAAGUAGAAGAAAUAAAAAGAAAUAAAAAUAGAGAAAUAAAUAAAGAGGAAAUAAAAGAAAUAAGUAAUUAAAAAAAAACAUGUUUAAAUUAUGUGGUGAUAACAUGGAUGAGAUGUUAGCAUUUAAUAGUAAAAUUUAUGUUAUAUUAAACUUCGGUUACAUCAUUAUCGCUAGAUAACAGAACAAUAAUCAAAAUAUUAAAAAUUGAUAACGUUAAUAACCAAAACGUAACAAAUUAAAGUUUAAUCACUAAAACAUAAUUUAAACCAUAUAUAAAUUAUUAUUUUUAUAAUUUUUUUUUUCAAGUGUAAUAUAUCCCAAACUUAGAUGAAAGUAGAAGUUAUUUAUAAUUGAAGAAAAAUGGUAAUAAGAAGAAGGAUGAAGUCUCGAAAUUCACACCAAAAAAUUGAAAAAAUUCCCAAGUUGGUAGUAAAAAUAUAUAUAUAUGAGGUUGCAAAAUUUGAUGGCAUGAGAAAGUGUGUGGUACCCUGUUUGCUAGACAGUUUUGAGGUUUGCUUUACCUCCAAGAAACUGUCAUUUUGCGAUUUUGUUAAUGGAAGUAUAAUACUUACAUGCAUCCUUGGACACAAAGCACUAACUUAGCCGAAGGAACUGAGGUCUAGGUCUACCACUAGGACUAGGACUAGGGGCCAACCGGUAUGGAGGCUGGGUUAGGAUGCUAUAGCACCAUGCAAAGACCCAGACACCCCACACCCCCAUCCUGAAUUUAGAAGGAUGUGUUGUUCAAUAUUUAAUUAAUAUUUAAAAUGUCAUUUAACCUAUAACAUAUUGUAUUCUAAAUAAAAGAACUUAAAUUCAAAUUUCGAAGACAAUAUUAUUAAAAGUGAUAAUCAUGCAUUUUUAUAAAAAAGAACAACAUUUGCAGAAACUUUCCUUAAUUAGCUUUCUAUUGGGCAACAGUACCGAUCGAUGGCAUUGGAACAAGAUACAGAUAAAUAAUUUUUUUUAUACCCAUUUGUAAGAAUUUGUCGUGGUGAUAUGGGGUUCACAUAAUUUUCUUCAUUGUUUCAAACAACUUCUAUGCUUUAAAUUAAUUCCAGAUUUCCAGUUUUGUAAGUUUUGCUUUAUCUCUCUCUGGAAUCCAACACUAUCCAUCAACACAGUUUUGUGGCAAAUUCUAGGAGACCAACACAAUACAAGGAAUUUGUCCUUCAAUUUAGUCCUCACUAAAAAACCCCUCCAAUUUUUUUUUUAAAUAUCAAUAUAUAAUAUUUAUGUUAUCCAAAUUCAGAUGGUAUAAGUUUAGCCUUUCUAAAUAAUUUGGUUAUACACAGUUUCCUAUAGUAGAGUAUGUAACUUUCCAAGUUUCAAGUUUUCUAUGAUCUACCAAUAAAAAAAUAUUAUCUUUUAAAUUUAUCAAACUAGACUAAAGGCAUCACAGUAUAAAGAUUUAUCCUAGAAAAACAAACCAUUUAAUUCUCAACUCAGCUAUGGAAGCACUUGGUUUAUUGUUCCACCUGCUCCUUCUAGGUCUUCUCGUCCAUGCAGAGUUAAAUUUCACGUACAAAGGAUUCCUCAAAGCAAACGUGACAACGGAAGGAGCUUCAUUUAUCAAGUCCGACGGGAUAUUGGCAUUAACAAACGAUUCAGUGCGACUUAUCGGGCAUUCUUUCUAUCCAUCUCCAAUACGAUUUAAGAAAAGCAAUCCCAACAGAACUGAAGCAGCUGUUACAUUUAGCACAAACUUUGUAUUCUCUAUCAGUCCAAAGUACCCUGAGAUUGGAGGUCAUGGUCUUGCCUUUGUUCUCAUGCCUACUGAAAAGCUGAAAAGUCUUCCAAACCAAUACUUAGGCCUUCCGAAUGACACCGACAAUGCUCGUUUUUUUGCGGUGGAGUUUGAUGUAGUCCAGAACGUUGAACUUCAAGAUAUCAAUGAUAACCAUGUAGGAAUAGAUAUAUCCAGCCUGAUAUCCAACAUAUCUGAGCCAGCUGCUUACUAUUCCUCCAAUGACAACCGGAGCAACUCGGUUGCUCUCAAGAGUGGGGAACCUAUUCAGGCAUGGAUUGACUAUGACAGCAACAAGAUGCUGAUGAAUGUCUCAAUAUCUCCUUGUGGCACGUUGAGGCCUCACCGCCCCUUGAUAUCAUUCCCCAUUGAUCUCUCAUUGGUGCUAGAUGAGUAUAUGUAUGUUGGCUUCUCUGCUUCCACCGGCUUGCUGGCAGCCUUACAUUAUGUACAUGGCUGGAGCUUUAGUAUUGAGGGAAGGGCACAAGAUUUAGAUCCAAGAAAGCUCCCAUUUCUGAAUAGUAAGCCUAAUAAACUGAUGCACAGCAAGGGAUUUGCAGUAGGUAUCACUUUAGCAAGCAUUACUCUGAUUUUCCUAGCGAUCAUUGGUGUUAUUCAGAUCAUAUUCAGAAUCAGAGAUGGAGAUGAGAUUAUGGAGGAUUGGGAAAUCGAAUAUAGGGUGCAUAGAUUCAAUUACUCCGAGCUCUUCUCCGCAACAAGAGGGUUUGAAGAGAAAAACCUCGUCAGUUCUGGAGGGUUUGGGAGAGUUUAUCGGGGGGUGAUUCGGGGUACCGGACUAGAAGUGGCAGUUAAGCGGGUGUAUAGUGGUUCUCGUCAAGGAAUGAGAGAAUUUGUUGCUGAAAUUACAAGUGUGGGGAGGCUUAGGCACCGGAAUCUUGUACACUUGCAUGGCUGGUGCCGGAAGCAAAACGAGCUCCUUCUUGUUUAUGAUUACUUCCCCAAUGGGAGCCUGGACAAGCUUUUGUAUGAAGAUGGUCCACUGAAGGGAAAAAACCUUACUUGGGACCAAAGGUACAAGAUUUUAACUGGUAUUGCACAUGCAUUGCUAUAUCUCCAUGAAAAUUGCAAUCAGAGAGUAGUUCAUAGAGAUGUCAAGCCAAGCAAUGUCCUGAUAGAUGAAGAUCUAAAUGCAAAGCUAGGGGAUUUCGGCCUGGCCAGAACUUACGAACACAAUAAUGAUCCACAGACCACACACAUUGUUGGUACACUUGGGUAUUUGGCUCCUGAGCUCACAAGGACCGGGAAAGCCACCACAAGUACUGAUGUCUAUGGUUAUGGUACGCUUAUGCUUGAAGUUGCCAGCAGAAGAAGACCGAUUGAGCCCCAGGCGGUGCUGAUGAGCUGGUGCUGGUGGAUUGGGUUAGGGAAUUGCAUUCUCGAAGAGAGAUCACCCGAGCCAUCGAUCCCACACUCAAAAAUUAUCAUUCAGGCGAAGCUCAGCUGGUGCUUACCCUUGGUCUUUUAUGCUGUCAUCCCCAUCCUGAUUACAGGCCCACCAUGAGAAGAGUCGUGCAACUUCUACUAGGAGAUGCCACCCUUCCUCCUCUACCCCAUGAUAUUCAUAUGGAAGUUCCUAUUGCAAUAACAGAGUAUUCCGAUACCUUUGGUGAUGAUUCCGACAAUCCUUCUAGCCAAAAAAUGCCUUCAUCCUCAAGUAAGAAUAGUUGGACAAUUGGUCACACUACAAGAGUUACCUUCUAGAUCAUCUUGUCAUGAUAAGGAACCAUCAAAUAUGACAGUAAAAAACAGGGCAGGAAUAACACUAAAUCAUUGCUACGAGUAUAUGACAGAUUUAAGGGAUUAUAAAAACAAAAAGUGGAAAAAUCAUGUCCAUCCACUGAUUCCCUAGCUUUUAGUUUUCCUUAUUUGCUUUCAAGCAUCAUAUCCAUGUCUACCAUAUAAGAUCCAGUAGCUGCAGCAUUUUAAACUUUUUAUGACAAAUUCACCAGAAAUGUUGACUUGUGAUGAAUAACAUGGCAACUUGACAUCUCUCUUUAACUUCAGUUUUCAAUCAAUCGUCCAAUUUUCAUUGUUCAAGUACGGUAAAUAUAUAACCAACUUCUGACUGUAAAUUAAUCUUCACUGUGUUCAAUAAGUUUAUGACCAUAAGUCCAUAAAAUAUUUUCUUUCAACUUACAGUGUCAAAAAAACAACUAUCAAGGGAACUUCUCAAGGAAAUAGUUAAGAAUAAAAUAGAUGAAGAAAAUACUUUUAUACAUAUAGUGAACCAAAAUAGUUGGCAUGAGAUUAUAUCAAUAUUAGUAGAUUAAAAGAUAACAGUAAAAGACAAAACAUUCAUUAAUCAAGUAAUUAAUUUUUCAAGUAAAAAAUAUGAUUAAUUUAAAAAGAAAUUAAAAUUAUUGAUAUCCAUGUCAUUUUCAAGCAAACAAUUCUAUCCUGCACACACGUAAGUGAUUGAUUAUGUCCUCAAAUUUGGACCUGAAUCAAUCAGCACAUGCAGGUGAUGAACUUGGUACUUUCUGACACGAACUAAGUUGCUGAUGUAUUACCUUGAAUUUCUCUUUGAGCCUAUUAAUCUGCAAAAUCACCAUUCCGUAUAACACGUCAAUUGGAAAAGAAGCAUGCCAAGAUUAACAUUUGUAAAGGACAUUAAAUAGAUUUGGAAUAAUACCCUUUUGAGAUCAAUCUCUGUAUCUCUCUUUCGUUGGCCCAAAGAGUGUCGCAGAUUGCUGAUGUUAAAUACAUUAUCCAUGUCAUCGGAAAAUGCAGAUUCUAGGUCUUCCCGGAGAAGUGCAGGUAAUUUGUCCACAACUGGCAUUAGAAGAAAGCAGUUGAACUGCAAAAUAUUGAGAAAAACAGCGAGGGAAAAAAUCAAACCACUAUGACAAGUUAGUAAAUCAAAAACGUGUGUUCCAUUUAUAUGCAUUUAGCUAAUGAGAAAUCAGCUUAGGAUGGCAGGUGGCAACAACAGCAUAGCAUCAAAUAAUUAGAAACAAAAUAAAAAUAAGCAAACCUUUAGUUCAGCAGAGGCCAAGAAGUAUUCUCUUAUGCCAUGAAAUAUCUGUUGUACCAAUGCAUAAACAAUCCUUUCUGAUGAAGGACCAAGUCUCCGGUUCCAAAGUGUGCUAUCUAGAAGGUCAGCAAGUUUUGUUUCUACUGUCUGAGCAGAAGAGCCUGAAUCGAUGCCUGAGGAUAGAGGAACUUGCUUUAUAUCUGCUCUUGACUUUGUCUCAUUCUUCUCUGCAGCAACAGACCCAGGCAAUGACUCUUGGGAAUUUCCAGGAGAUACAGAAUUCACUGCCACACUGGAUUGCUCGGUUCCACCAAAUGAGUCUAAAAAAUGACGUAGCCCAGCCCGAUUCUGAAAAUUCAACAUAUGGUGCAAGAUGAACAGAGCAACAGCUCAGAUGUACCAACAGAUCAGAACAUAUGCAUGUCAUUCUAAAUUCAAGAGUUUAUGAAAAAUCCUAAAGCAACAUGGAACAACCAGAAAGAAAAUAAACCAUAAAAACCGUGGAAGAAUUGCAAGAAUUGUUUUUCUUUAGCAAGCAGUAACAGUAGACACAUAAUUCUUAUAUUGGACAUGUGAAUCAGCCAUGGCCAAUUCCACCAUCCAAGUCCAGAGAUAUUAGACUUCUUUAUGGUAAAUUUUAAGAUUAACUUUAGAGGCUUCACUUUCAUGAAAUAAUAUGUGCUCAUAAAUAACUGACCUUGUUGUGGAGGGACCAGGAUACGUAACGGGUUGUGCUUACUAAAUCCUCCAAGCAUCUGCAGCAAAUAUCAAACACUGGGUAAUAUUUGGUGAUUAAGAGGCUCCAUCAUCUUUACUUUAUUAAUUAUUAGAAUGUAUUUUUAUGGCUUAAAAGGACCAACAACUUAAUAUGAGUCAACCAAAAAACACCUCCAAGCAAAAUCAUUCUUUGCUCAGUACCUCUACUAACAAAAAAUUUAUACAAAUAAUAGCAACUGGAAUAAAUUAUCAAACCAUGCAUUGCAAAUUAGCAUUAACGAACAUAAUUGGGUUGCAAUAAAGGAAAGUGACCUACUUCUCACGGCAUGCUCUUUCAGUAGAUUCAGCAAAGUUGUUGAAAGCAGUAGCAACACGCCUGAGAAACACCUCAUGGCCACUUAAAAACUCUCCAUCUUUCUGUUGGAAAUCAGGAACAUUCAAAAGAAUAAACCAUAAUAAAAGAAGAACAAUACUUAAUUGCAUGAGAGUCCUAGACUCUGGAGAAGGAAAAAAAGCUCACAAACCUGCAUAAGAUAUAUGGAUAUAGGAAGUAAUCUCUUCAGAAUGUACAAGAGCCUACAACCCAACUACACAAGGAAAACAAAUAUCUCAUUUAGGACACUAGUUACAAAAUCAAGCAGACAAAAUCAAACUUUCAUUGUCAAGUUGGUUGUAUGAUAUGAUGCCUUGCACCUUUUGACCAUGAUACAUCCUCCCCACUCAUAUGCCUAGAAAGUAAUAACUCAUAUAUCAAGUCAAGGACAAUCACAUAAUGUCCACCUUUUUUUGCCUUAUUACAAGUUUGGUUGAGAAGUAAGAAACUGGAACAAAAGGAUACAUUAUUACAAAGCCAAUGGCACCCGGUUGAAAAACCUAUCCUUUAUCUGCUUAUCAAAGACCCCAAGCAAACACAUUCCUCUCCUAAAUGUUAUCAACCAGUAAUUCUUGGUGCAAGAACUAAAUGGAUCGAGAAUCUAACUAAGAGGUUUCCAUCAUCUCAAAAUCUUAAUUUUCAGGUUUUAAAGUAUUUCACAACCAUUAAUUGAGUUAACAACAAGAAAGCAACAGAGAAACAUGAAAAGAAAAAUAAUAACUGAAAGGUACAGAUGGUUAAUAUCAGUUUUCACCUGAUGGAGGAAAGGUUCAAAAGUGUCACGAGCCUUUGAAACCGCUAUAACACAAGCUGUCCUGAUUUCCAAAACAAAAGGUGGAAAAGAAAUAAUUAGAACUGUUCAUUGCACAUGAAAUGAAAACGAACAAUUAGCAACAGAAAGACGAUAAGCCAUAAGUAGAUCCUACCUUGAGUAAUUUGUUCCAUCAUGAAUAUCUUCGACUCCACAAGCAUUGACAAUUUCUUCCCUUGUAAUUGGUGGGCAUUUUAUCCCUCCCACAAUAAAGCGGAAUUCAGCCAUGGCACGAUGAUAUUGUGCACCUCCAUAAAGACGCAUUCCAAAAUUCUAAAAUACAAUGAAACCCACAUGAGCAGAAUCUGGAAAAAUUUUCUAACUCACAAAUUUCCAUCGAUUUUAUGCAUGGGAGGAUUAAGGAAGAAAGGAAAAUAUCUUUUCUAAACCAAGAGAUCUAUGAAUUCUAUAGAAAAAUCAACUUAAUCUAGAGAUUAAAGCUCUGGCCAAAAGAAAAGGAUUGAGAUUGAAGAGAAAAGCAAACUUGACUGGUACAUUAGUAUAACUAAAACAAGAAAUACACUGAAAAUUCCAGUUUUCAAGAAUAUUUGAAGUCAACCAUCUCUUUAGCUUACAGGUAUUAUAUUUACUUAAAUUAGAGAUUAUAAGGUCUGGCCAAACGAUAUGAUAGAGAUUGAAGUGAAAAACAGACUUGCUUGAAGUGAAAAACAGACUUGCUUGAUUAAAUCGUGGUCAUUAGUACAACUAAGACAAGAAACACAUUAAAAAUCCAGGUUUCAAGAAUAUCUAAAGUUAACCAUCUCUUUAGCUUACAGGUAUUAUCUUAUGUGGCAAUUGAAGACCAUCAGCACCCACAAAUGCUCCUCCAUUAGUUCUCUCAUCUACUAGUGUUUCCCCUGUAAUAAGUCACAUCGCAUUACUGUUAGUGAUCCAACAUCACAACUGAGAACAACUUAAUUUAUAAAAACAAGUGAUAUCUUCAAAAGAAAUAUUUCAAGUACCAAAUUUAUCUGGAGGUGCAACAACUGUCCCUUUCAGUAGCAACGACAACUGAGAAAUAAAGUGUAUUUAAGUCAGAAUGCAUAACAUGAACUGGAAUGACAAUUUUGAACUUAAUGUCAAUGUCUUCUAUAUCCAUUUGAAUUUGUAUGUAAAAUUUCACUGAUUCAAAGGAACGGUAUUUAAAUCCUGAUAUGACCUUUAAAGUGUCCCACCUUAUUUGCAAAGCAAGCUGAAAUAAGAUAUGCAUGCAACAGACAGAAAGACAUGAUAAUACAUAAAAACCUUAGUUAGGAAUAGAUCAUGAAAAGCUCUUCCUUUUUCCCUCAAUUUCACUUCAUCCAAAGUGCUGCAUGUAAAGAAAAGAAUGAAAAGAUUAUGGUGAAGAAACUGAAAGCAACACAACCAGAUAUAUAGGAUUGAACCAAGCUCUAUAAAACAAUAAUAAUAACAGUAAAACCAAUAAUAUAUAUUUGAUUCUGCACACUGCAAAUCAUCAUCUUAUUUAAGUAGUCAAACAGCUUUAAUAAAAUCCAUCAAAAUUGCUAAAAGGAAAAAGCUCAGCAAGAACCUGAGUUCUUUAUUUAUUUCUGUCAACUUUCUUGUGGUGCUGUGGUACUCCUUCUCAAGAAGUGGAAUGAUCGAAGGAACGCUAUCCAUAUACCUAGCAAUUAUAUAUUUCCAAAUUUAAUUUGCACAGUACAGUCUGUAUAUCCUUGUUUUAAGUUUAUCUGAAUGGGAAAAAGCAGCGUGCAUACCUUUUCUGUAACAAUUCUUCUAGAAAAUGCCUAAGUUUGCUUACACCUAUUCUACUUCUUUCUUGCUUUGACAAUUGUCGACCUAAUUUCUCCUCCAAAGAUGCUAUGUCUUGCACCUCUCUAGAUAUUAUUGCCUACAUUAGAAAUCAAAGAGUGGGGAAUGAAUGGAUCAACCAGGUUUAAAUCCCAAUAGACCAUAGUGUACAGCAUCAAGAUAGUUAAUAUUUUAGAUUUAUUGACUACAUAAAAAAAAAAUCGUUAAGCUCUUUGCGUUAUGCCCGUUUUAGGGAUGAUGCUUUAAAGACUUGCCACAGAAAACUAGACUACCCACCAUAAAAGGAAGGAAACAAGUAUUAACAAGCACAAGUUACAAAAGAAGCAGAAACUUCUCAGUAUCAUAACCAACUCCAUGACUUUACUGCAAGCAAAAGCAAACCUGUUUAAACUCAUCAUUUGAUCUGUAAACAGAGUCAUGCUCGGAACCAACUCUUCCAGAAGGCACUGAUGUAAAGAACGGAGAGUCACCCAAUAUGAAGCCAUCAAGCGUACAUGCAGGUGGAGAGAGAAAAACUUCCACAUCUGAAGACCGUGCAAACUGAGGAAUCUUGGUAUCAAGCUUGGUAGAGACAACAACAGUUCUUGAAAGCUCUGGAUCAAUCUAACCAAUUAUCAACCAACAAAAUGUUAAGCUAUGCAACAUUGUAAGAACCGAAAUACAAAAAUUUAAAUGAAUCAAAUACUUUCUUUGCAACUACAAGAGGUAGUUUAUAACACCAGAAAACUAAACAGCUAAAGCUAACAGUAUCUGUAAAUAGGAAUGUCAUAGAUUAUUUUAGCUGGCUAGAUUACUUAAAAGCAUUGCAUCAACCAAAGAAUUCAAAAGUGCGUUGGCUUUGAUCCACUUAAGAACUAGUAACCUGUCUCACAUUCUCAACCCUGCAUUCUUUGAGCUAAAAAGUUAACACAUAUAAGCAGUUGGCAGGAAAAUUACAUACUUGCAUUACAACUCUUCUUGUCAUUGCAUUACUCCAGUCACUACAAUCUUCGAGACAUAAUAUAAUGAACUCCUUAUGCUGCAUUUUUUUUCUCACUAUGGACUCCACAGCGCGCGCUUGGCUCUGCUUGAAUAUCACCGCUCGUCACCAGUACAACCGUCACAUUACAGAAAUGUAAGAAACAAAAUUAAGUAGAAACGCUUGGUGGGUUGAGAAAACACCUGCAAAGCACGAUUCUUUCGAGCCGGAGCAGGAGCAAUAAGCCCAGGAGUAUCAAUAAUAGUCAAAUUGGGACAGUGUUUGUAUUUCACUUUAAUGAUGAUUUCUUUAGCUGAGAAUUGACAUGGCUCACGUUCCAACCUCAUAUUUUCAGCUUCAAUGUAGGCCUAAAAUGGAAAAUCAUAUUGAUGGGUUCAUUUAAAAAAUUUAAACUCGAAUUGCAGCUAGAAAGAGAGAGAAAAUAAUGGGAAAAGAAAUUGUAUAAGAAAACCUGAAUAUCGGCGAGAGAUUUUUCGUGGGCGAGAGUGGGGUCAUCGUCAGAGACGAGAUGACACAAUGGGACGUCGCAAAGAGGGUCGUAAGACAUAUGAAGAGUGAUGGGUCGGCGAGUCUUUGUUCCGCCGCCGACGUGGUUGAAUUGGAAGCCCAUGAGUGCUUCGACCAACGCACUUUUGCCGUCCGUUUGGUGUCCAACGACUAACACAGCCGGCGCGUCGAAGGGAGCUUCUAGCUCUUGAGCUAGACCGUGAAGCUCGUUGUAGGCCUCGUAGAGAGUUGAGUGUGGGUUCAGUGUUUCUUCCUCCAUUUCAGUUUCUAUUUUACUUGCUUAGUCCUAAGCCUUAGGCUUAGCCACUGCUGUGCUUCAUAGUAGUCACUGUAGGGUGAAUGAAAGCGAAACUACCUUUUUUUGGCUUUCAGCUUAGCGGAAAUGGAUGACCUGAAUGCGCUAUUCGUCAAAUCUUCACCGCAAUCCCCCUGGAUGAUGUGCCACACGGCAGAAUUUUAUUGUUGUGUUUUUUUCUUUUUCCAGCUAAUUGGGGUUUAUGACUGAUAUUUCAAUUUAUUUUAAUUGUUUUACCAUUAGGCAUCAAUUCGCCCUUCAUUUGGUUAUUAAAUUAUUAAACCAUAUUUUUAUAUACAGUAAGUUAUCAUCGUCUUCUGUGUUUUUUUCUUUUUUUUUAUACGAUAAAUCCAUAAAUUUGGGAAAGUAUUUAAUAUAAUUUUGUAAAAUUUAUAGACUUCACAAGUAAGAUUAAGAGUUUAACAAAUAUCUUAUAAGGUGUAGUAAAAUAUUAAAAAAAUACAUGUCAAUUUUAUAAAGUUGUUUGUUAAUAUUUCGUAAUUUAAUAUGUUAAAUUAAGCUCUUUAAAACACUUUACGAACUUAUUCUUAAGCAAUUUAAAUAUUUUUUUCUAUAUUUUUGUUAAUUUUUUGCUUUAACCAUGGCAAACUUAACAAUAUGUUUGAAUUGAUGUAGGGAAACGACAAUGGUCUGACCACGAGGAAAACAAUAUUCAAUGUGUGUAUCGCAACACUGAUGCUAUGAAAGUCGUGUUCCUUUACGAGGGUGCAAAACUUCAACGAGAAAUUAACCUAGAGCCAAUUGUCAAAAAAGUCGAGACACCAAGCCUUCAAAGUCAUGAGAUCCCUAAAAUUGAUGGAAGUGAAGAAAGUGUGGUCAAAACCAGUAAUGCUACGACACCGAAAAGCCCCCAUAACCACCAAUUGUCAAGGAUGUUGCGACACUGAAGCUUAACAGGUGAAAAACUACAAAAGUAAUCUUUUAUUCAAGCAAACUUUAAGUCACUUUUCACUCCUUUAUAAAGUUUUAAGGAAAGAAUUUGUUAACUGAACAUUUGAAUUUAUAAAUUACUUUGAGUUGGAUUUAGAAAAAAAAAUUGAAUUUAUUUAUAGGAGUAGCUCAUAGUUUGAACUAUAGAAGGGAGAAGAAUUUAAAUAAACCAAUACUAGACAAAUAAUUCACAAGUCUAAUCUAACCUUUUGUUUAUAUACAUGCGUGGAUGAAUUAAUAGAAAAUGUCUCUCUUUUUUUUUAAUAUUUGUGGAAUUAAGCCAUUUUUUUAAUAUUUCUAGGAUUAGGCUAAUUUUUGAAAAUGCGUUGAAUUAAAUUUGUUUUUAGCGUGCUUUGCAGGAAAAUGCACUGAGUUAGAUGCAUUUUUGACGUAAGUUACAAGAAAACGUUUCCAUUUGGACGCGUUUUGCUACUUUAUCAGCAAAACACUUCUAGCUGGACAAUUUUUUUCCUAAUGGCUACCGACAACGGGCAAAUUCCAACGAGUACUUCCCCCACCCCAUGAUAAUAAAAAAAAAGACCUAUUUAAAAAACUCUAUUCCUUUUUUUUUUUUCCAACUCACUCUCAAUUCUCUUUCAAUUCUCUCUAAGUUCUUUCUCAAUUCACUCUCAACUCUCUCAAUUUUUAUUAAAAUUGUCUUAAGUUUUUUUAUUAUUUAAUUUUGUAUUAUGAAAUGAUCAAUUCUCUUAUUCGUUUAAUGACAACCACAUUUCGACCUUCCAAUUGCAAAUGGUAAGAAAAUAUUUAUAUUAUUUUUAAUCUAAUUUAAUUACAUUAUUAAGUUGUUAUAUUGAAAUUUAAAAUUUUGUAUUUUUUUUUAUAAUUAGGUGGAAGAUCAGAUUUUGAAGACAUAUAUUAGCAAUCUAUCUGCUCCCUCCAUCGACUUUAAUCGUACCAUACUUGGGAGAUGCAGAUUCUUUCACGUGGCUCGUAUGCUUAGGGGUGUAAAUUGAAUCCCACACUUGUCAGUGCGUUAGUGAAUAAAUGGAGACCCGGGACACACAUAUUUCAUCUUUCAUGCGAAAAAUGUACAAUCAUAUUGGAGGACGUGCAAUUACAACUUGAGUGUACAACCCCUUAGCAAGUUCAGGGUUGAAUGUCCCUUCACAAGUGGAGGUUGUAGGGAGUACAUCAUCCUUUCUUGUAUAGUUGUCGGUACAACCAAAAUCACCUGCGGAUUGCCAAUCGGUGAAACUUGAUGACAUAACCACUAACAGAGUGUCGUGCUGGGGUGUAAAAGUCUCGGUUACUGCCAUACCCCGACUGUUGGACAUUUUUUCUGUCGCGAUAGAAAUUUAGGGAUGAAACCGAUGAAUGUUUUCCCAUUGAUGAUUCCGGGAUAUCAUAAUGAGAGCUUUCUAACAAAGUCGUAAACCCACUACACAACCAUGUCAUUGGACUCCCAGCUUUCUCUUUUGUUCCAACCUUUCGAAUUGGAACAGAUAUCAACCUCUGUUUGCCUUCACCUGUGUUGCCAAACUCCGCAUAUAACUUGAGUAUUGCGCUUUUGACAUCAAAAACUUCAUAUUUAACGGGGUCUGUCAACGCUAAAAAAUCCAUAUUUCAAGGACGAUAGUCUUAUCCAGGUGGAUCCAAUGACUUUCUGCCUAAUUCUUCUACGGAGUUUUGACAAUUGUAUGUUUGAGUUGAAAGCCAACCGUGCUAUGUACACUGAUGAAAAAAUGCCUUCAACGUUGAUGUCACGAACUGCACCGUUGUAAUAAACAAUAGAAUUAACUUGUCUACUAAUUUCUAACCAAAUAAUUUGUUUCACAUGUUUAAAACCAAACAUUAUGAAAAAAGAAAAAAAGAGUAGUAAUUAUCCAUUAACAACAAAAAUCGAAACUUACUUGAUAUAAUCACAUCUUUGCUAAAAUUUUUGUCUUAUGGAACGUCUUACGAAUUUCACCUUCUUGUGUUUCUGGAUGCUCAAAUUUUCCUUAUGGCGACACUAGCUAAACUACUAUUCCAUUUAUACAACUUUUGCCUCAAUAGCAUGGCCUGCAAAAAUAUUAUCCCAAGAAUCCUAGGAUAUCUAAAGGAUUCUAGCGUGAGGAAAUGUUUCACGGUGGGUUGAUAAUGGGAGAGUGAAAAUGCUCCCAGCAAGGCACAUUUUGAGUAACUUGGAAUGAAAGCGCGCCCAACUGGACGCGGUUUCAGUGAGAUGUAAAUUUCCUACUUAAAUGUAAAUUUAAAUGAUUUGACAAAAAAUUUAAUAUAAAAAUAUUUAUUAUAAUAAAAUUGAUAAUAAAUUAAUUAAUAUGAAUAUUUAAAUUAAAACAUUAACAAUAAAUAUUUCAUUUAUAAAAGAAUAAACUUAAUUUUUUUGAUAUUUAUACUAGUCUUCUUUCCUAGAAUAACAAUUUUGCGUUGAAUUUUUUUUUUAAUUUUUAAUGCUUUUAUAAAUUACUUUAUUGUUAAUUAUUAAAAUGAAUGUUCGAUUGAUCUUUUCAAUCUUCAAAUCCUAAAAUCAAUAUUGAAUGACAAAUUUCAAUAGAAAUCAUUGGCAAAAUUCAAUCAAAUUUAAAGUUUAAUUGCAAAAUUCAAACACAUCAAAAAGGAAGAGUAUCAAAUUUGUCCUUAAUUUCAAAUUACAAUAAAAAAUAUGAAUUAAAAUAAAAUAUUUUGACAAAUUUUAAUAAUAUCUACUUAAUUUCUAAUUUUAAUAAUAUUUUGACUCAACUCAUAAACACCUCUAAUCAUAAAAAGAAAAUUCUCGCAUCAACUUUGGCAUAAAACAAUUAGGGUCAUUUAGAUUGCAAAAUAUUAUAUUAUCGAUGAAAUCUUAUAUUCUUUAAUCACAUGAUCGUGUUUGGUUCAACAAUAUUACCUUUAGUUGAUAAUAUAAUAUUAUCAGCAAUGCCAAAUUUUAAUAAUAUAGGGAUAAUCUUAAUAUCAUAUGUUUAUGGAUAAUUAUUUGAUACACAACUAGUGGAGGGUUUUUCAGACUCCAUCAGUAAAAAUAUAAAAAAUAAUAAUUACCUAAAUAAAUAUAAUACUUGUUAGACCUUUGAUCCGUUUGUAAAAUUUAAAAAACUCUAUUGAUAAUGUAUCAAAUAAUUUUCUUACAUUUAAGGUUUUCGAUAAUUUUAUAUUAUUUAUUAGGUAAUUGUGAGUUUAAUCCAUUUUCAUAAAAACAAAAAUACUAAAUGUUAAUGAAUCAAAUUCUAUUUUUUCUAAUAUUUUCUUUUAAUUAACGUUUCAAAUUUAUUUAUUUAUUUAUUAUAAAUGAGAUUUGUCUACUACUAUCAUCAUUAGUUGACAAAGUGUAAUAUUUACCUAUUAUAUAAUUACAUUCCAUCGAUUAUAGUAUUUUAAUUUUUACAAAAUUGAAAAUGAUUCAUUUACAUUAGUAUAAAAUUCAGGUAAUUUUAUUUAUUUUUGUAGUUUUUUUUAUAAUUAAUAUUGUAACAAUCUAAUCAUUAAAUUUACUAACAUAGUUGAAUUUGUCAUGCGUGUAAAACUUUAUCUUGAUUUGAUAUCUCUAUUAUAUAGAUUCAAAAUAUUAGCUUUAUUAAUAUAUAUUUAAUGAUUGAAAAUUUAAAAUUAAAUAUGUAGAUAGACGUUUUCAAUUUACUCAAAAAAAAUUGAUACAAUAUUUGGGAUAGAGAAUAGGGUAAAACACGAUUUGAACCCAUGCCAAACGAGUAUCUAACAAGAGCUUCAACCACCGCUUCAUACAAGUCAAGAUUAAUUUAAUCAAAGUUUAACCUACAUAAUCUACAUAAAUAUAUAAAAUAUGAUAGUCAAAUUGCUAACAUAUCAAUAAAUAUUUUUAUAUUAUCUUAUAUUCUAUUAACUAAAUAAUAAAAUUACUGAUCGAAUCUUAGCUCGAUUAACAUUGAUAUUGUUAUCCGUGCAAAAAAACGUGAUUUCAAGUGCAUAAAUCAAAUAAGAUAACUCGGCAGUUACGUAAUCUAAACAAAGAGUAAUCAUAUUACCAAACAUAAUCAAACAUUUCUAUAACCCAAACACCCCUUAAAAGGCUACUAUCUUAGUUGUCAGAACAAAAGUUAAGUGGAAGAUCUUCAAGUCAUGAGCCGCUAAGUGAGCUCUGAAAUGAAAGUACAAACAGCAAUAACCAAGAUGUAGAGCUAAAAAUAAGCCAGGGUGCCGGAAAAAAUAGUACUUAAACUAAUACACUAGAACCUGGAAAGAAAGUUGAUUAAUGUUUCUGUUACUGUUGCUGUUAACCAGUUAGACAGUAACUCACGAGAAAUCAAUCUUUCUCUGAAAAUUCCUUUUAGUUUUCCUUUAUUUUCUCAGUAUCCAAACAUAAUCCUUGACUCAUUUAUCAAGAAUCUAACAAAUCUGACCGAAAAUUAGAACAAAAAAAACAUUAUGGUCUUGGUUUGUAAGUUCUACUGUAAUGGUUAUGGAAAGCUGUUUAUGUUUACUCCUCAAUGUUGAGUAGAUGACCAAAAUUUCUACAGUUUGGUACUAAUAGAAAGAAAAUAUUGAUUAUACCUUGAUCCAAAGCUGAGAAUCAAAAAGAGAUCAUUACUCUGGACAAAUGGCAGAAAACACUGGCAACCUCUUCUUUGUAGCAGGAGCAUGGAGAACAUUGUCGAUGUAUGCAUCGAUGUCCCCCUUUGAUGGUGUUUGGCCAGGAAAGGAUGGCAAGGUAACAUCAAUGCGAUCAUCUUGAGGUGACCAGUUGGACCCAUUGGUGAAAGUGGUGGCACUCGUAUCAUGUCUGAUGGUGGAGGUGGAGGUGGGGUUGAUCUUGCUGGUUUUAGUGUUACGUUUCAUCGUGAAGUUUGUAUUCAAGCGGGUAAUAUCAGGUUGGACAGUGGAGAGGGAGUUGAUGAUUGUCUCUUCAGGCUUGAUAGGAGUGCUGAAGCUUGGGCCUGUGUAACCAGGAUUGGCAAAUGAGUCCUUUUGGGUUAUAAAAGCAGCCGUUUCAGUGACUGGAUGCAAAAGGCGAGGUUUUGAGCUGUAUGAGUUCGACACGGUGCUCGCGUAUGACUUGUAUAUCUGUGCCUAAGCAACUCAGAGAGAAACGGGCAAUGACCUUCUAGCAUUUAAGUACACCAAUGUUUUGGUAUGGGAAUAUAUCAUCAGAUACAAUUUUUUGGAUGCUAACCUCAGAUUUGGUCCUGAAAGGCAAACAAGCGGGGCGUACCUCCUCCUUUCCAUGUGCAAACUGCAAAAAUAGUCAAGGCUUCUUCAGUAGAUUAGUGAAAUUGACACAUUUCAAAAGGGUUCAAACAAGCAUAAAACAGGGUGGUUAAAGUUGGAUCAGAUUAUGAAAAGGCAGUUUUGGUUAAAUAAAAUAAAAUCACUGGACUAUAACAUCUUCACUGGAAGAGGUUGGGAAGCAAUGUAAAUUGUACAGCAAGAACAUGGCAAUUGAAAUUUGCCACACCUCGUGCUAGAAAAAUGCGCCUCAUAUUCAGUUGGCAUCUAAUGAAAUUAAAAGUUCCUAGUUCAUGCCUACAAGCUAACAUUCACAUUUACUAUCUAAAACAAUUGAAUCGUUUUUCAACUAGUCAAAUAUUGACUUUUUGGUUUUUUCUCAAUCCAUUUCCAAUUUUCUUGUCAAAAGAAAACUGGAGAAAGAAACCCAUUAACCCAAAGUCAACAAAUACAAAAAGACAUAUUGAUUGGUCAUUCACAAUAUCUCUCCGAAACAGGUGCUAAAAACAGAUUCUUACAGCUCAAGUCCACUAAAUCAUCAAGUUAAAUAGACAAUGACACCAAAAUAGAAGAGCUAAGACAAAUCAGACCAAAAUAAAAUCUCCCUCUUAUUCUUUUUCUUAAAAUUGGUUUAAAGUGUCGAUGCUCGAACUUUUUAAGUCGAAGAUGCUACUUAAAUCAUCUACCUAAUGGAAUUAUUAGCGAAACUAGAACCCUGAUGCUUGCCAACAAGCAAUCAACUGAACCUCCUUCAUUUUUGCAAAAGGUUCAGAAAACUAAACAAAGAAUUAAUGCAAAAUAUCAUCAUUUUAGUAUCCAAGAAAUAGCAUAGGCGGAGUUUCAUUAUAACAUUUACGUAAUCAUGAAAUUUUAAUCAUAUUAGACAAUGCAGCAGAGAAAUAUACCUGACACUUGGAUCCGUAUCGGCAAUGGCCAAACUCUUCCCAAGCCCUGCAAAUCUCUGAUUUGUAGUAACCAACACUUCCCGAAGACGACGAAGAACCAGAUCCUACAGUGUUACUAUCAGAAGCAACAAGAACUUCGUCCAUGACAAGCACAUCUUUCUCCACCACCUUCAGUGGCGUCUUCUCCGACUGUGGUGAAACCGAUGAUCUGAAGCUGCUUUUCCCGGAGGAGCUGCCGUUGCCACAACUGGAGAGAGAAUUGGAGCGUAGGUACUUUAUGAGGUUCUCUGGUGAUGAAUAGUAGCUGCCACGGCUUCUUGCUGGAGUCAUCAGCUUCGGAAUGUUGCUGUUUUUUAGGACGUUGAGUUUGUUGUUUUCAUUGUAGAACGAGUCCAUUGAGUUCGAAUUUCUGCAUUUCGUAUUAAUCAUCAAUUACCAGCAAAAGAAAAUGUGAAUUACACUUGAAAUUUAGAUGCAAGGUUUAAGGAUUUUAAAUUAAGAACGGAGUUAUUUUUCUGGUAAUUUGUCUCUUUUAUUUUAAAAGUUUUAAUUCCCGCCAAAAAAGGUUAAUGAUCAGUUUUUUUAAGCAACACACUCGAAUCAAUGGUUAAAGUGAAUCAUACUUUUCGCUCGAAAUUCAAAUUUCUGAAAAGAGAAAAAAAAAUAUUUUGAAGGAAAAUAAUAACAGAGGAGAAAAUUUUGACGAACAUUGCAUUAUAAAAUAGAAAAGGAGAAACAGAUCAAACUGAAGGUGAGGAAAAGGAUUCAAAGCAGAAAAAGUCAUGGCAAUUCAACCAAUUCGAUCGUAAACUAAAAAGUUGCAGGAAAACAAUAUAUCAAAGAAUUGCGCAUUCAAUUCAAAUCUAAAAGUUGGAAGUCAUUAUAUUAAAUAUAUAACCUAAUAAAAAGCAUGAGAAUCGAAAAAUGAAAAUGGAGAUAGAAAUUCGAAGUGAAAAUUUACCUAAAAAAGAGUGGCGUUAGAGAAUUCAAAAGGUGAAAGGCGAUGGUUGAAUCUUCAGAAGUGAAAGUCAAAAAAACGAACCUGUUUCUCUCUACGUGUGUGUAUAUAUACUGUUAGUGUUAGGAGAGGGAAAGAUAGACAAAGAAGGGCGGCACCGAGUGAGCAAAAUAAAAAGAGAUUUAAGUUUGGCUGAAGCCUUUGCAAUGCGGGCAAAUAAUAAUAUAACCAGAUAUAUAGCCAACGGUCUAUGACUAUUACGACGUUAUUAGAACACAACAGAUUACAAAAUCCAUGCGUAACUGGUUCUAUGCUGGGUUUCAUCAAUCAACACAAACCGUGUAUAUGUGUAUCAAGUCUUUUGACGGCAACCAAAUUUUAAGAAUAAUUUCAAGGUACAAGAACAACCUAAAAAAACCAAACUAGAUUUCUACAUGAUUUGACUUUAAAUUCCUUCAAAGGGGUUCUUUAGAUUUCCACCAAGCAAGGACAUGAGACCACCCCAUGGACCCUACCCUCCGGAAUUAUGAAGUCAAAGCUCUUCUUAUUGACAACGCCACCGAUGUCCUUGCGGUCCCCAUUUCUUCGUUCUUCUUGCUUCUCAGCACUCAAGAAACUUGAGUAAGAGGAUGAGGAUUUCAUAGAUAAAGGAACCAAUACCUGAGGUGGUAUUAGUUGUUGCCUUUUCGCUGGUUUGUCGAGGGAAUCAAUACCAUCAGAAAUAACACUAGUGCCUGAGGAUGAGUGAUUGUUGUCCCAACAGCUUCUUGUGAAUGUUGCUGCUACAAGCCCAUGGAAGACUUCGGGUGCGAUAAGCCCUCCCAUGUUCGCCUGUCGCUCUUGUACCAUAUUGCUAUGAGCAGCACAUAGCCCAUUACGGCCCCUUGCAAAUUUCUCACAUUUGCUCUCCCCCCAGGAGCAUUUUUUACCUCCACCAUGUGCCUUGCAGAAGUCUGUGCUUCCUUGGGCACUCUUGCCACAAUUCUCAACCUUGCAUCGCUUUCCACCACCAUGUUUGACACAACAAUCGGUACAACCUCGUGCACUCUUUGUACAGCCUGGCACAACACACCUCUUCCCACCACCAUGCGCAACACAAAAGUUGGUGCCUCCAUGCACACUCUUGGGACAAAUGCCACCUCCAUUGUAGAGGCAACGUUUGCCCCCACCGUGUCCUUUGCAUAAUGGUGUGCUCCCUUCGGCAGCUUUGGUACACCCUGCAAAUAUACAACGUUUUCCACCACCAUGAGCCUUGCAAAACAUAGUACUUCCCUGAGCACCCUUAGUACAUCCCUGGAACUGGCAACGACGUCCACCACCAUGAGAGAUGCACAAACCAGCUUGUCCUUCUGCACUGUGCGUGCAACCUUCCACCUUACACCUCUUUCCCCCACCAUGUCUGAUGCAAAGCCCUUUUUUACCUCGUGCAGCCUUUGUGCACCCUCUAGGAAACCCACAUCGUCUGCCUCCACCAUGUGCUAUGCAAAAAUCUGUCUUCCCAUCAGCACUUUUAGUGCAGCCCAAGUGUUGGCACCUCCUCCCUCCACCAUGAGCCUUACAGUAGGCAGUGCGGCUCUCGGCACCUUUGUUACACCCUGGUUUUUGGCAUCUUUGUCCGCCCCCAUGACCAAUACAAAGACCAGAAGCCCCUCUUGCUCCUUUUGAACAGCCAACAAACCUACAUUUCUUCGAAUUGCUUGCUUGAUUAUCUGAGGAUGUUAUAGUGGUGGUUUGCUCAGAGAGCGUGUCUACUGAGAAGUCAGUGUGAGAAGAGGGCUCACAACUUUGAUGAAAUUGAUAACGAAGUGAUUUAUCCCCAAACUGAAAAAGUUUUUGUGCAUGAACCAAACCUUUGCCACUAUCCAUUUUCGGAGCAAAAAGGAGUGCUGGCAUAUAACCACCAGAUUUCUUGGCCGAAGUAGAACCCUCAUCAACAACAGGAAUUGAAAGUCUACAAUCCUCUGCAAGAACCUGGUGAGGCAUACUAACAUCAGUUUCUGUUGACAGAGGGCAUUCCAACAGGCUCAUACUUCCCUUUGUCCCACCAGAAAGGCCAAGUUUUAGGAUUGAGUCAUCCUCAAGUAACAAACCCUGGGUGGAUAAAGCAACUGUUGAUUUAUUCUUAUUAAGACCAACAAUGUAAUCAUUAUCCAAGUAUACACUUGGAGUUGGGCCCAACCCCAAAACCAACAUGCAGCCAUCAUCAGGUGCAUUAGAAAGAUCAGCAUGUAGAUCGUUUUGAGUAGUUCCAAAUCUGGCCUUAUUGCUUCCUCCGUGACCAAGAAAGUUCAGGCACAGGGUGGUAUCACCAAAUUUUUCAUUUUUUGAGAGUUCUGAUACAUGAGAAAACUGUACAUUCUUAUUCAAAUCCAUAAGCUUAAUUUCUAAAAGCUGCAAACUAUAAGACUAAGGAACAAGAGGCCCACCUUAAUGAAAAAUCUUUAAUACAUGACUGGUAUGGUAUAUAUAUCAAAAACAAAUUAGGAAAAUAAGAAAUUCCGAUGACGCUCCCCCUCCACUUACAAACCCUGAUGUAUCUUCUCGGUCCAUCUUAUAAAGCAUCAACACAACAACACAGACCUCAACUUUGUGAAAGCUUAGUUGCCAGCGUAUCUGACAACAUCUCUAGGAUAAAAUCCUUUUAUUAGAACAUUCAAAGUGGAUGCAAAGAGGUAUCUGGAGCGUCUUGUGCUCCUUAACAACAAAUACUUUGGAUUCAUUAACCCUAACAAGAAUAAACAAUCAAGGUAACACAUUCAGAUACUAAUAAAAAGCCAUUAAAGUGGAUUCUAAGCUAUAAAAUAUUCCUCUAAACUUGAAUUUCCACACAAUUAACUGAAAUAAUACAGCUGUGGGAUUAACUAUUUAGUAAAAGAAAAAACAGAACGAACUCUUUUUACUCUCUUUAUCAAUCUAACAUGAAAAGAUAACAAAUAUCAUUAACAGAUAGCUAAAUUCCUUCUUAAAUUUUUUAAUAUACCACCCAAACAACAAAACUACGAAAACAUAUCAGCUCAAAACCAUGCAUACAUAGCGCAAAAAACCUAAACCUUAACGAAGUUUUAUGAAACCAUGUAAACAAUAAAGUCAUAUGAAAUACAUAAGCAAACUUAUCCUCAAAAAGAAAAUUAGACAAACAGAAUUGACAGCAAAAAAAGUAUUGAAAUAAAAUAUGGAACUGUGAACUAAUAACUAGUAAAAAUAUUAAACUUGAUGGAUAUGAAAAGAAAAUUCGUAGAUAUACCGUGAAGAAUCCAAAUUUAGAGAAAAUAUGGAGAAAACUGAAGGAUCUGAGAAGUGGCUAAAGACAUGUUAAACAGAGCUAAAGAAUCUUUAAAAUAGGGGAAAAAAAAGAUUGUAUCAAAAAUAAAAGAAGAGAAUUUUAACAAAGCAUGAAGGAGGAAGAAGAUUAAAAGAAAUAUAGGAAGAGGAGAAACCGAUAAAUGAUUUUUUUUUUUAAAUAAAAGACGAAAAGAAAAAGUGGGUUGUUUAUAUAGGUUAAAAUAUGUCAUCAGUCCCUAUAUUCUUCACAAAUUUAAAAUUUAAUCCUUUAUUUUUUUAGAUUUCGAAAUUUAGAUUCAAUUGUUAAUGUUGUAAUGAAUUUAAGUUUAACAAAAUAGUUUUAACACCGAUAAUAAUUAGAUAAAUUUAGAUUCAAUUGUUAACGUUGUAAUAAACUUAAGUUUAACAAAAUAGUUUUAACACCGAUAAUAAUUAAAUAUGAAUUUUGAAAUAGAAAAAAUAAAAGAAUUAAAUUUUUAAAAAUAAAAAUACAUAAAUUAAAUUUUAAAUUUGCUAACCGUACAGGACUUAUAAUAUAUUUUAACCUUUUAUAUAAAUUGGCCGGUUGUAACGAUUUUCUUUUUAAAUUAUUACAUUUUGAUUUUUAAACAAAAAAAAAAUUUGUUGGAAAACAGUUUAAUGCCAAAAUAGCCUCAAUUGACAGUAAGGAAGCGACUGAUAACAGCCUUGCAGGAUCGAAACGCUUCCUAGUGGACAAUGCAUGUUUUUCCGUCGUUUUGAAAGUCUCUAGAGUACCCUUAUUAUGGGACCGUCCUCAAAAGAUUGUGGAGUGCAAAAACGUCAAGUGAAAGUGUGAAUUUAUUUUAUUUAUUUUUUUCAUGGGAAUUGUCUCCCCCCUCGGCCAGUGACGUGGUGUGCCCUUAUCAAAGAAAGUUCCAUAAACUGCCAAAAUGUUCACUAUGAAUCGGCUUCGCUGCUCUAUUCAACAGCUGCCCAGCCUCCGCUUGAGUUGGCCGAGUUCAGAAAUUUUUUGAUAAUUUUAAUAUUUUUAUCUUAUUUUCUUUUCAAAAAAUAAAUGUCAUUAAUCCAUGAAAGUCUGAAAGUUUCUAGUCAAUGGAUUUAAGUGUACCAAAUUAAACAAUUGCAUAAAUAAAGUGACAAAAAUAGCCAGGGCCACAUCAGCUACCAAACCCAGGUCCAAGUAGCCGGCUGUUGCUCUCGGCUGGGCACGAAACUCGACAGUUAAUUGGCUGGAUUCCCGAACUGAUACACAUGACUUCCAGUUAUUGGUUCAUGUGACAACUAUUGAGGAUUCGAUGCGGUCCUUUAGGAUCCACUGCUGUGCCGCAAUUCAAGUGCGCGCAUGUACAUGCCUAGACUUAUCAUGAGUGGUGCUACCCAAUUCAAAUUUAAAGAGAUUAGAUGAAAAAUUAAGUUUGGAUAAAAAAUUAUAUUUAAAAUAUGGGUUAAGUUUAAUUUUGAAUAUUUAUAAUUUGAGUUUGGUCCGAUUAAUUUUAAGUUAGUAAUAUUUUAUAUUUUAUAAUUUAUAAUAUAUAAAAUUAAAUCUAUAUUAAAAUGUAACCAUUAUAAAAUGUUAAAGAUGAUUAUAUAUAAAAUUUUAAUAAAUGAAAAAAAUAUUAAAUUAAAAAUAAUAUAAAUAUAUAUUUUAAAUUUUUUUAAAAAAUAAUAUGGAUAGACUUAAAAUAGGCUCAAGUUAAUUAAUUAUAUAUAUGAUUAAAUUUAGACAAAAUUUUUAAAUUAGACUUGGAUAUUAAUAAAGUUUAUUAAUAUCCUGCCUAGACUAAGCCCAAAUCCACAAGAUCAAUAUAAUUAAACCCGAAAAUUUUAUUUUAAUAAAUUAUUAACUUUAAAUACCACAAGUUUAUUGAACUGUCGCGGGUCAAUGGAAGUGGGCCACUUCCUACUUACACAUAGCAAACCUUCAUGCCGAAACAAAGUAAUAAAUGGGUUUUUUCAAAAAAUAAUUUAUCUCAUCAAAAUAAAUAAAAAUAAAAUAAAUAAAUUGUUUACCUUGUCGUGGAUUAGGUAGACCGAAAAAUUGUAAGGAUUUCUAUGAUUAUUCAAAGUUUAUACCAAAAUUUCUUUAAUUUGCCAAAUUUCUCUAAUUAAUCAAAAUUUCUUACACUUCUGUGAGAAAUCUUAGUAUUGGUAUAAACUAAAUUUUUUGUUUAAUUUGAGAAAUUCUGAAGUAAAGAUUAUAGUUGUAAUGUAUUUAAUUGUAUGGGAGUAUAAUUGGGAAAAAAUUUAGAACCAUAUCUCAAAUUAAAUAAAUAUUAUGAUAAAUAUCAUUUAUAAAAAAAUUUAAUGUAUUAAUUUAAUUGAAAUUUCAAAGGAAAAAAAUUUUGAGGCUGAAUCAACACACUUAGAACAUCUUUUAAAGGAUUAUGUGAUAUGAUUAGAUCGAAUAAACUCUUAUAAAAUAAAAUUCAAUUACCUAUGAACCUUUCGGUAUUGUUUUAUUCAAUGUUUGCUUAAUUAUUCUUUUACUUGCAAAUGCAAUAUAGGCAUUGAGUUCAACAACAAUGACAUCCCUCAUCAUGUCAAAACUUACCAUCACUCUACCAAAUUGAUACGUAAGAUAACUAAAGUCAUUUAAUUGAUAAUAAUAUAAAAUAAAAGAUAUUUUAAUCAUUUGUAUUAAGCUAAAACUUAUUUUUUGCAUGCAUGCUGCUCCGGAACCACACAUAAUUAUUUAUACGUUAAAUAAUACAAUAGGCGAAUAUCAAUACGACCAAACGAGGGAGACACGAGUCUCACCCAGGCAUUAGUAUACAAAAACAAGGAAGUGAAUGCUUUCUUUUUUUCCUUUUGCAAUUUCGAAAUGUUCAAAUUUCAACAAUUGGGUAAAAAAUUAAAAACCAGAGAAAAUCACUAUAACUCUCUCACAAUUAUUCCAGGCUCUAUUUGCCAUUCCCUUACUUGCCUUGGGCAAAUAUCACAAAAGGAUAAUUAAAAAGAUAAAAAUAAAUAAAAAUCACAGAGGAUUUUGAAAAACCUUCUUUUCAAAUCCUCACAGUUAAUGAGUGUUUCAAGCUCCCCACAUGCAGCAAAUGUUGUCCCAAUGCUACUUUUCGGCUUCCAAGUUCAUCAACCACACUCAAAUCCUUACAAACAUCCACCUUAAACCUCACCAAUGUCUCUGAUUUCCCUGUUAAUGAAACUUUCUCAAAUCCCAACAAAUGCUUUUGGGGUGAGUUGUGCACUGAUGGGGGACUCGAAAACAAGAACACCGUGUGGCUUCCGCCGUAUUUCCCUCUGUUUUGAACUCUCACAUGAAUGUCGAAUGCUAGGUUUUUACAACUUUGUUCGACGGCUUCAACUGAUUUACAUUCAGAUGAGCGGCAAACAUGGUCUUCCUCCAAUGGGAUUGAUACUAAUCGAGGUGCUUUGGCUAAUUCGUGGGUGAUUUUGGAGUAGCUUAGCCCAUCUCCAAAUGUAUAAAUGGUUUCCCCUGUGUAGAACCUGUAGGUUCUGCCUGGGUAACCAUUAGAAGGAUCGGGUCUCAUGUUCAUGUUUGUCAUCGGGACCUUAUCGACAUACGAUUGUGGGUACCAUGUCAUUGGUAGCCUUCCACUUGGAUUAUAAUACCCAAAUAUCACAUCGGCAAUGGCGGCUCCACCGGCUUCGCCGGGGUAACCAACCCAAAGGAUGCUUGUGAUUUUAUCAUCGUUUUUCGCAAACGAUAUGUCAAAGCCUCCACCCGACAUUAUGACGAGAAUCACGGGUCCCUUUGCAGCUUUUGCAACUUCAGUUAUUAAAAGUGGUUGUUCUCCUGGUAAAAGAAGGCUAACUCUGUCAAAGCUUUCCCUUUCUUGACUCUGAUCUAUGCCCAUAACAAGUACAGUUGCAUCAGCUGAGGCAGCUGCUUUUUUAGCAUCGUCUACUUGGGCAGUGCCACAAGCCACAUUGGUGCAGCCAGGCACGUAGUUUGUUGCCACCGAGGUCGUUAAACCCUGCAAUGGCGUCGUAUAUUUGCAUGGAAUGCCUGCAAACAAAAUAAAAUGUCAAAUUUUGUGAAUUAAAACAUGUCAUUUUUUAUUCCAAGCAAUGGGUUUGAUUUACCUUCAUAGUUGCCGAUCAUGGUUUUUGUGACAUUGGCAUUGGGUCCAAUUACGGCCAAGGUUUUGAUUGCAGUGGGAGAUAGAGGCAACGACCCGGGGCUGUUUUUGAGCAAGACAAUCCCUUCUCUUGCAGCUUCACGGGCCAAUUCUUGGUGCUCUGGUGUACAUACAUCUUUGGGGCCAAGUUUACCGUAAGGUUGCUUGCUGGGAUCACCAUCGAAGAAUCCUAGUCGCAUUAAAGUGGCGAAGUUGUUCGUCACGGCCUUGUCAAUGGCCGAUUCAUUCAAAAGCCCUGCUUUUACUGCAGCCUCAGUGUGUUGCCCAAGAAAUGACCCACAGUUCAAAUCCAACCCUAGAAUAUCAUUAACAUUUUGCAAUUAGCACAGCAUUCUAGUUUACUAGUUAAGAUGUUAUUUUGCAGAAAUAUGAUAUCAAAUGCACAAUCUCUUCAUUUUAUUGCUUAUUAAGAAGUUUCACCUGCCAAAAUUACUUUGGCUGCUGCUUCCUCUGGUGUCUUGGUAUAGUGCUGGUUCUUGAACAACACGUCUACCGAGUCACAAUCUGAAACUAUAUACCUGCACCAACCCCAAAAAGCCUGGUAAACAAAAACACUGCUUACUAAAUAUAUAUGGGUCCAGAAAAUGGAAGGGAUGAAUGAAUAUAUAUACCCAUUUAGUUUCCAUUGGCCUCGAAUAACCCCAGCAAGAAGAUCAGGGUCUGCACAAGUUGGCUUACCAUUAACCUUGUUGUAAGAACACAUAACACUAGCCACGUUCCCAUCAAUUACACAACUCUUGAAUGGUGGUUGAAAUGUAUCAUCCAGAUCUUGUUUUGUUACCUAACCAUACCCCAAAGCCAAUCAAAUGACUUUUGGAUCCCAAAGAAACAACUUUUGAGAAAAAAAAUAAAAAAACUCAAAUUGCAUUGUAACUUAAACUACCACAGCAUCGAAAGUGUAGCGUUCGAUCCCUUUCCAGUUAUCCACAUCAUAGGCCGUAUAGUGUUUACAACAUGCGGCGACCUUGAGCCGAGAAGGGUCACCUCCGUCGGUCUGCUGCAAACCUUUGACGUAACUUGAUCCGUAUUUGCUGGCCAGCAAUGGGUCCUCUCCUGGUGUUUCUUGCCCCCUUCCCCAUCUCGGGUCUCGGAAUAUGUUAAUGUUUGGUGACCAAUAUGUUAGCCCUGCCAAUCCAACAUUGUACAUUGCCCUAGCUUCAGUUGAAACCACCUGCAUUUUAUUAAAAAUGGAUAUGGAUAUACAUUAGAUAUCAACUUGUUCUUUAAUGAUUGAUUAGUGGCUCAAUUCGGACCUCGGGUUUAAUCCGGUUUAUUUGUAAGACGCGAUAUCUAAUAAGUAUGGAGUUUGAUUUACGGCAUUGCAAGCUGGAGAUCAGUAAAAGGUUGCAAAGUCUUCUUGAGUGAUCAAAAAAAGUCUAUAUUCUUCAGCAUUUGGUAAUCAGAGACAUUAAUAAAUCAACCACUUUCUACAACAAACAUAAAAUAAUUCAACCAUAUAAUUGCAUUAAUAUCUUCCCCUUUCUUCAAUAUGAAGCAAAAGACAGUUCAUUAUUUUAAAUUUUUCUCUGGUCUCCAUCUACUUAACUACUUUCCCAAUAUCAACAUUGAACUUUUCACUAUACAGCCAACUUCAUUGUCAUUAAUAUCCGAUAAAGGCAACAUUUGAAAAUAGUUAUGAAAAAUAUAGAAAAACCAAAAUCUAAAGAACAAUGAAAAUGUCCAAUCCCCAACAAGUUAGCAUCAUAUUCUAAAACGUAUACACAAAAGAAAAAGGAAAACCACUGAAAAAGAACGUUAAAACAAAAGGCAAAACGACAUGAACCUGAUGAAGAACAAGCCAAAACAAAGGAUAAAAAAUAAAGGAACAAGGCACAAGUUUUACCUUGCCAAUGGCUUCAUAGAGAGAAGUGUUGAAAGAAGCUGCCGUCAAGAUGACCUGAGGGAAGCUCGUGGCUCCAGGAACCAAGCUAGUAAACUUGGUCCCUGGACCGACGUUGGAGACUCCAUGAAGUGCCUCGGACCACCAUUCGUAUUUUGGUAUCCCGAGCCGGCUAACACUCCCAGCACUAUUCACAAUGAAGAGGAUUUUCUCCUGUAAUGUCAGCCUGUGAACCAAGUCAGCCACCCUAGCAUCGGUUCCCAACUUUGUGUCACAAAAACCAUAGCUCGCAACUUUUGGGUCUUUAGUAGCGUCACAGGCGAAAACAGGUGAUGUUUGGGCCAAAACCCGAACCGAGAUCAAUGACAAACAAUGCAAAGAAAUCAAGAAGAAUAUGAAAACAGAGACCUUAGGUGCUCUGUUUUGUAAAACAGAGGAGAACAAGGUGGUCAUUUUGACCUUCCCUUUGAUCCUCUUUUGCAACUUAAAAAAAAAAACAAAGAGCAAUAUCUUGAGGAACCUAAUCUUCCUCAAGAAUUAGUGAAAAAAAAAAGGGUAUGAAAAACUGGUUCAGCUAGGUGUGUAAUUUAUAUAGUGGGGGAGAGUUGUUAAAUAGACACUCACACGUUGUUUUGUAGUAGCCCGUGAUGGGAACUUGGUGUAAAUGCAUUAAAUUUCCCUUUAGGGUUGUUUUUUCUUGGCAAAAGAGAAAUGAACCCAAAUUUUUUCUAGGGAAUCCAAGAGACUAUUCUUUGAAAAAAUAAUUAAAAAGAAAGAAAAAUAAAAGAGACCAUGGUCGAGUCCGUGAUGGAUUCAUCUUUUUUCUAACUUAAUCAAGGGUGUUUUUUUAUUAUUAUUUGGAAGUACUGAAUGCAUGGGAUGUUACUUUUUGAUGAGUGUCUUCGUAUAGCAGUAGCUUCGAAGCUUUUUUUUAUGUAUAAAUAUGUAUUUUGUAGUACUGUAGAGUAAGGUUAGAAUAUCGUAAAUUUAGAUUCCUGGGCCUGUUUUUCUGCAUUUCUGUAACUCACGUGAGGGAUUUUGUUUCACCGUCAUGUUUUACAAUAAGCUCAAGUUUAAAAGUUUUAUUUACUCUGGCUAUUCUAAAACAAUAAUUAACUCUAAAUUAUAUUUGAGGUUGUAAAUACUUUGAUCAUCAGGUCAACACGAGAUUAAUCUAUCUUCUUUUCAAGUUUUAGAUAAAAAUCUAUGAAGCCUCCUAUUAAAAUAGAUCAAGUUUAACUUUUUACUCAAUUGGAGUUUAUAUUAAAGGUUGAGAUUUCUACUAUUUAUUACAGCUUAUGCUUGGAAAGAGGGAGUAGAAGAGUUUUAGGUAAAUUUAACAACUUAUAUUUAGUAAUUCAUGUCAUAAUUAUUUUAUAUGAAUAAAAUUUGAUAAUUGGAAAGAGAAAAUGGCAAGACAAAAAGUGAAAAAAAGCAAAACCGAAGCCCGACUUCCAAAUUGACCCCUCGUUUGGGGUAAGAUGGCGAUAUCAGAAACUACGUCGUGAUUGGUCUGUGAACCAAUCCUGGAAAAUAAAUAGUAAAAUAUUCCUAAUUUUCUUAACCUCUCAACGUAAUCAAAAAAGUAAAUGCGUCAGACCCGAAUGCAGUAUUAUGUAUUUAAACCACCGCUAAAAUUAUUGUGGAGAUUUAAUUUUAUUAAUCCAAAAGAAUAAAUCAAUGUAUGUAUGUAUAUUUGAUUAUAAAGAAAAUUAGUCAUUUUUGUUGUAAUUUUUUAUUUAUUUUUAUUAUUAAAAAUUGAUAUAAUUGAUAGGAAUAAACAAAAGGGUAUAUUUUGAAGUAUAGAGAUCAAUUUUUAAUAGAAGAAACAAUUUGUUCUUUAACCUAAUGUACAGAUACUAAUUUAUAUAUUUUUUUAGUCGAGGGGACAAAAUAUAAUUUAACUCCUAAUACAAAACAGAUUUUAACUCAACUAUGACACUGUAACCUACAUUAACAAAUAUAUUUAUUAAGAUUAUGUUUGAUAAACUAAAAAAUUAAGUAUAGAAUUUAAGUUAUAAUAUUUGUUUUGUAUAUUACUUAAAAUUAAAUAUUAAUAUAACUAUAUUGUUCGAUAAAGGAUAAUGUAAUCUUAAAUGAAAUAAAAUAAAAUAAAAACAAUUGGAUUUGUUCUCUAUUAAGUGAUAAGUACGGCCCUAUUUACUUAUCAUUUUUACAUUUUUUAUAGAAAAAUUUUAUCUAGUAAUUUUUAUUAUAUGUUAUCAAAGGUGUCCAAAAAAUUAGGUUUCUGAAAAUAUUAAUUUUCAAUGGAUUAUAUUAUUUCAAUACUCCAUCAAACAUGCCUAAAAUUCACAUAAAAUUCAUUUCAUAUUUUGACUACAAUAAUAAAGUUAAUUGUUUAUUAUACAUAGUGUCUCGGGUUCAAAUUUUAUUAUCAUCAAACUUUUAUUGAUUUAUUAUUUAAAAUGAUAAAAACACCAUCAUAAAAAUAUAACUUAAUUUAUAUAUAUGAGAAUAUUUUAAUAAUUUCAUAAUUGAGGUGAUAUCUGAUUAACUCAUGACAUCAACUCAGUAAAAUAUUUAAAAUAAGUAUAAAAAAUUAUAUAUAGAGUGGGUAAUUUUUUUAAUGGAAUCCAAUGGAUGGUUAUAAAAAUUAAAUAUCUAUAAAUAUUGAAUAGUUAUAAGAGUCUUUUGUUGAGUUGUGUCACGUGUUAAUGGCGUAACAACUUAAUUGUGAAAUUAUUAAAAUAUAUUCUCAUAUACAAAUUAAGUUAUAUUUUAUAAAAGUAUUUUUGUUUUUUAUAUAAUAAAUCAAUAAAUUUUAAUUACAAUUAAAUUUGAAACCUGAAACACUAUAUAUAAUAAACAUUUGAUUUUAACAUUAUUAUCAAAGCAUCAAUUGAUUUUCAUAUGAAAUUUUAAUAAAUAUAUUUGUUACAUAUAAAUUUAGUAUUAUUUAAAAAAAAGUUAUUUUCCACUCACGAAGUGAGUGCUAAUAAAUUCUAGUGCUAUGAUAAAAGCUUUAAUCGAAUCUAAUGUCACUUAACUUAGUGCACCAACUAAGUUAAAAAAAAAAAGAAGUAAAAACUAAAUUAUAAAAUUUAUACCACCACAAAAAUCUUAAUUGAGUUUAGCAUCACUCAAUUUAGUGAGAGUAAUUUAACACGUCAUUUUUAUAUAAUGUCUAUUUUUACUCAUAAUUCAUUUCUAACUUUUAAGUUAGAGGAAAAACGCACUUAAAUCUAUGUCCUACUAAUUAUUACAACAAUAAUAAUACCAAUUGAAUUAAGACUUAAUCAACGGUUACAUAAAAUUAAUUAAAACAUUACAUAAAAAACAAAAUAUAAAAAUAAAAAUAAUAUAUUUAUAGAUUGUAUUAAUAAUUUUAUUUUUUUUUUAAAAAUACAUCUCUCAUUAAUCUAUAUCUCUUAAACAUAAGAAAACUAUACAUCAUUACUUAACUUUCAACUUUUUUCUAUUCUAAUUAUUUCAUUUUAUUAUAUAUUUAUAUAAAUAAUUAAGCAUUUAUUAAAUUCACUCACAGAGUGAGUGUUUAGUCGACUAAUAAUUUUUUAGGUACAAUCCAUAUUUGUUUUAUAAUUUAUGUUCGGGAUUGGCUCUUGUAAACUAUUGUCUUUAAAAUUUGAACUUACAAUUUUUUUUAAUAUACAAUUUUUUACAUUUGCACCCAACAUUUAUUAGUAGAGAAAAAACAUAUUAUUACAAGUUUAUUUUAUGUUAAAAAAAAUACAUUAUUUAGUUUUAUUUUUUACCUCACAUUGUGUACAAGCUUUUCGUAUGAUAUUAUCAGUUAUCUAUAAAAUAUUGAAAAAAUUGUAAUUAUAUAUUUUCUCUUUAUACACAAUUAAUCAUAUUUUAUAUUAAACUUGGAAAAAAAUUGGAUUAUUAUUCCAAUUCUAUAUAAUUAAAAAGGAAGCUGUGGUGCAGUACAGUACUUGAAGUUGUCAACAUUCUCCAACUUGGCCGGCAAAUUUUAAUCAUUCACCUAAUACAACAAAAAGAAAAGGUAAAAAUAAAAUCCUUAUGAAUCUGAUAAUAGCUAUACUUUAUCUGUGAGAUAUAUGGUUGGCGAAUACUAUAUACAUAAUAAAAAAUAUAAAUAAUUCGUACCUAAAAUAUAUAAUUAAUUUUUUAUUAAAAAUUUGCCAAGUAACUUUGUGGUCUGUUCACUGUUAAGCGUCAAAUUCUGAUAAUAUCAAAAAGGAAAAUAAUUAAUUAAAAAGUUUACUUAUUUUUUACUAUUUAAAAAUACCAACGCAAUACAAUUUUGUGGACAUUAUCAAAACGUAAACUGAUUAUCUAAAAAUGAAUAACCUAUGUAAAGGGGAGAUAGAGAUAUAGGCUUGUAAUAAUAAUAAUAAUAGUAGUAGUAGUUUUAGGUGCUGGGCCUGUUGGUAUAGUAUUCAGGUUGUGUUCAUUAGUACUUUUUAGAAAUAUUUUUUAUAUGAAAAAUAUUUUUGAAGUAAAAGGAAUGUUAAUCAAGUAAUUUUUGAAUGAAUUUUUUGACUUUUUUAGAAGUACAUUUUUUCAGGAGAAGUUCAAAAUUUUAGCUAUUUUCUCCUAAAAGCAGUUUUAAUUAUUUAAUUACGUUUUCAUCCCUCCAACACAUGGUACUUUCUCUUCUCUGGUUAAUUAUUUAAAAAUAUUUAAAAUUUGUUUCUCAUAUAUUAAAAUAUUAACAAUAAAUUACAAUAAAUUAUUUUCUAUAUUCUUAUUAAAAUAUCAUAAUAUUAACUGAUUUGAAAAUUAUUUAAAUGUUUAUUUGUUAUUUUAUAACACCAUGUCUAAAAUUGACAUUUUAUUUUUUAAAAAUAUUUUUUAACAGCAAUACUAAAGACUUAAAUCUUAAACCAAAUUUUUUCAAAAUACUUCUCAAAGGCAAUACUAAACUAUCCCUCAAUGUUGGAAAGUGCGGUCUCAUUUCCUGGUGAAAUGAAUUUUUUUUAGUUAAAUUUAAGGUUAAAUUUUACUAUUAGUCCUUGUAUUUUAUGAAAGUUGUUAAUUUAAUCCCUGUAGUUUAAUUUGCUUUUCAAAUUUUAAAAUUUUAGUCCUCACCAAAAGAUAAAUGCCAAAUUCAUUAAAUUAAGUUCUACUAUUUUCAAAAUAUAAUAUGACAAAUAUAUUAUUAAAUGUAUAAUGGCAAAUCAAGUUGUUAUUUCCACUGAUUCCACAUAUUACUCAGUAAAACUUUAGUUAAUGGAUUAACAAUUGUCAUUUGCAUCAAAACUGAAAUCUCUAAAUUCAAAAAAGUAUAGGGACUUAGAAUGAUCCAAUUGGAGAAUAUGGACUAAAUUUACAACUGUACACAUAGUAAAGUCUAGUAAUUAAAUUUGACCAAAUAGAUUUAACUAUUACUGUUUGGGUAAGGACUAAAAUUUUAAAUUUUGAAAAGUAUAGGGACUAAACUUGAUCAAUUCAAAAAUACAAGAAUUAAAAUUGAUCAAAUCAAAAUAUAAGGACUAAAUCUACAACUUUCACAACCUGAACUUAAUAUAUGUUGUUUUGUAGAAAUGAUUGUUGAGAUAAAAUAACUAUGUAACAAACAAUGUAAAUGAUUUUGUUUAAUUACGGAUGUAAUGGGCCAAAUUUGCCCGGCCCGUAUAAAGACAAGAACCAAAACGAAAAUACAAACAAAAAUCACAAAAAAAUAUGUAUACUACAGUCCAGGUCUUUGGUACAAAGCAGCCCAAAUACAUUAACCCUAGCCCGAUACCCAUCAUGAGCCCAAAUCAAAACAAGCCCAAUAGGCCCAUUCCCUUAACAGCUCCAGAAACCUUAGGUCUCCCCCUCUUUUCGUUUUGCGCCACAACCAAGAAACAGCCCCUUACCUCCACUACAGCAGUCCCAUACCUCUACAGCCCUCGUACGCCACGCCUGCACCCUGUACGCAUGCCAACAAGCUCUGUUCAUGCAAGAGAAGACAAAAAACAGUAGCAAGAGUAGCAGCCAAUGAAAAUUUUCUAUAUUUUCUCUUCUUUUGAUUAUUCGGCUAUAAAGCCAUGGGGUUAAGACUGAUGGUGGUUUGGGCGGCUGCUUAAUGAACCCAAAGAGAAUGAAGGGUUUUGUUUCUUUUUUAAAUUGCAAGGUUAUUUGUGCUUUGAAAGGAAAAUAAAUGGGAAUAAGUAUUUGAGCAUUAAAACAAGUCUGCGCCUUUUCAUUAGAAGUGGGGUAUUU
rnacentral:lncRNA from 1 species